rnacentral:lncRNA from 1 species
AGUAGUCAUUGCCGGUGCCACAGUACCCGUACUUACUGCAACAUUGGUCUGAGGCACACCCACAGUUCUGAGCCACUGCAGCUCCGCAAAGGGCCCCGACAAGAAGGAUUGUUAGUAGCUUGGCUGCCAUUUUUGGGAGAUGUUUUGUGGAAGAAAGAAGGGAGAAUAUGUGAGGUGAAGAUGAAAACUAUGCUUGUCUUGGAGAGGUAUUUAUAGGGCAGGUAGGAGAGUUCUAGUACAAGAUGGUAGUGUUUUUUUCAAAUUCAAUUGCAACAUGCAAUUGACUGAAUGGAGGAGUGUGGAAAAACGGAAGGCUUUGUUUCAAAUUCAUAGAUAUAAUGUACAUUGCAUCAAUGUCCUGAUUUUUUUGGGUUAUCUAAUAGAAACAUAUGCAUGUUUCUCCACAUACAUAACAAAUGAUAUUGCCUAACUUUGAAUUUAGAAACCCUAGUAAUUAAAGAAGUUGGAUGAAGAAAUGUUUGUUAGACAUGGGAAAAAAUUGCAAUCAAAUGACGUGUGAGGAAACUUGUUUUUGGCCUUCACUGAUAUCUUCUUUGGCUCAAUUGGGAUGUGGGGUUGGAUGCAAAACGAUCAUAUGCAGGGUUUGAAAAUUUUUGCCACUCCCAUCCAAGACAAGGAUCAACUCAUCAUUUCCUUACUAUGGUUGCAUACCAUUCUACACAAAAAUGUGGGACAAACUUGGAUUGAAGUCAGCCAAAAUUGAUGGGAAAAAAAGUGACUAGAUAAAAUCAAGUCAAGACUCGUUGCUAAUUCAGUUAGAGUCGUUAAAUUUGAAUUUAACAGGUAAUGACAAGAAUAAGCCAUUAAAUUUGAAUUUAACAGAUAAUGACAAGAAUAAGCUCAUCAUACCCAGAAAUUAACAUUAAAUUAGAAUAAUAAUAAAAUUUAUUUUCGAACAUGCCGUAUGGAAGAACAGUCUUAAUUUGCUUGAUAUGUUUACUUUUGAAGAUGAAUGUAUUCUUUGUGGAGAUUGAACUGAAGUUUGGUAUGGAAUUUUUGGAGUCAUAAAAAUAAAAUUUAAUAUUCAUCUAAUCAUUUGAUUAAGAAGGUUAGUUCUUGAACUUCUUUUAGGAUUCAAUUUCUAGCACCACAUCCUCCAUAACAAGGCAUCACAAGCAGCUCCACGACGCCGGGUCGCGGCAAGGGCUUUCAAUUCAUGGCCCCAUGAGAAAUAAGAGUUCAAAAUAGAGUUGCUAAUUCAUGGGCCACAUGAGAAAAUAGCCAAAGUCUAGGUCCUGCGAGUCUAUGAAGAAGUUCAACUAAAGCUGCAGUUUUAAGAUACGGUUUCUAAUUUAUAUUAAAAUUGUCAUUUUUUUUAUGUGAUUUUGAAUGUUUCCUUGAGUCACGAAACCAUGUAAUUAUCUUUUUUAUUUUUUCUAUCUUAAAAAAAUUAGACUAGCUAUUGUUUUGCUUAAAAAGGCCAAUUGAUUCAAAAUUCCAUAUUCUAGUAAAAUCCGUAUAAAAUAAUAAUAUUCUUAAGAUCAAAAGAAAUUAUUUUUUAAUGGGUUAUUGAUUUAAUAAGUGAAUGAUUUAUUAGUUUAUUGAUAAGUAAAUUUUUUAUUAAUUCAAAGAGAGUAUUAUGUUUUUAUUUCAGGUUUAUACAUGAAAAAUAUAUAUUUAAGAUGACAUUUUAUGCAUUGUAAGAAAUUAAGGAUGAGGUUGAAUUUAAUUUAAGUAUAAAGAAAAGGCACACAACUUUAGACGCAUAUUUUAAACUUAGUUGAUGAGAAAAUAGAAAUCACAAAAAAUUAUUUAAUAUUUUAUUAUUGAUUCUUGUUUGUUAUUGGUUUAUGUACUUCAUUAAUUUAAAUCUUGAAGGAUUUAUAAAACAAAAUUAUUAUCUUUUACAUAUAGCAACGUUAUUAAUAUAGUAUAUUAACUUGAUUUGAGACCAUAAAAUUUUAUUAUUUAAGCAAAAUUAUUAAUUUAUCAAACAUUUAUUUAUUGAGAUUAUUAGAGUUUGGUAACCCGAAUUCUAUUUAGUCCGACUCAAAAAGCUCACGGUACAACAUAUGGAGUGAAACUAAAAUUAUGAGAUUUUUGGAUGGUCUAUGGUCGUAGCAAAGGGAUCGAGCUUAUGUAGUAAUCAUUCAAAUCUCUCAUUUUUUGUACUAAUUUUUUUAUAUAAUGGAUUUUCUUCUCCACUACAUGUGAUUUUUCCUGUGUAAGGCAGUUUUUCAUGUAAAUUCGUGUGUUUUUUUUUUUUUUCUUAUUACAUAUUCACGUUUUUCCAUAACAGAGAUUUUAUUAUAGAAGUAUACUCAAUGCCAACCUCUUCUACUCUAAUGUUAUCAAACACACCACUCCUACGCUAUUCAUUAAUUUCCUAUAUGCAAUAAUACCCCAUAAAUGAAUGAGUGGAUGGCAUUAGAGCACUAAUUUCAAUAGUAAAUUACUAGCCGCCCUACCAUUGUUUUCUUUGGUAGAUUUCUCCAUAUCAUUAGUGUAAGAGUUUGGUACCUAAAUUCUAUUUGUUCUAACUCAAAAAGCUUGUGGGUCUGAUCCCAUGACCUAUGAUUGAUCUAAGGGUUUCACCCGCAUGGUAUGGAUUUGCUUUGUUAUUGACUCUCAUGAAUUUCCUUCUCUAUUCAUUAUUUUUUUGUCUAAGAUUUUAUACAUUAAUCUAUAGAUUCUUAUUCUUUUAUUCUUUUAUUACCUUUUCUCGUUUUUGUGUUACAAAUAUAUACUUUACAUAGAUCUUAAUUAAAUUCACAAAUUUGUAUCUCUAUUAUCAUAGAAGUCCAAAGCUUUUAUACCGAUAAAUUAUAUAACUGAAUAAUACAAAGCUUUUAAUACUAAUAAACUAUAUAACUUUUAUUCAUUGAUGGAAGAACAUUACAACUGAUUUUAGGACAAAAAAUCAUGUUCAUGUUCUCAAAGUUACUUCAGAGACUCCAUGGGAAAACCCUAAAUAGGAUUUGAUACGCAUUUUUCUUAUUUUCCUCGUAGCUCACAUAUACUCCUCAUAUAACUUGGCUAGGGUUGUUAUAUUAUUGUCUGCCUUAGCAAGCGAGGUUCUCACCGGGCGAAAUGCCGAAUUAACUGCAGCAAUCCUUAUAAUACUUGAGUCGUGUGCAUUAACUGCAUCCGUACGUGUUUCCACAAUUACAUUCAAUAGCACCAUUGAUGACUCGAAUUGUAGCACCAAAACCUUGGCCUAUGACAGAGUGAACAUUGGUCAUCCAAUACCAUAACGCAGGCUUGAAUGAAACAACUACGUCAGUUGCAACAAUAUCAGGGUUUCUCAAGCCAUCAAACCCAUUGUUUUUCCGGCAAGGCCAUGGUUAUAGUUCAUGUUAAUUGAAGUCAUAGUAUUUCUGCCCAGCCACACAUGGAUAUUGGGUAUUGCUAUUAUCACAAUUGUUCUUAGAGGCACCACCUAUUUCAUUUAUGGAACAAAAGUCUGCCUGUACAAAUUAAUAAUAUUAAUUCCAUGCAACAUUUGUGUGAAUUCAUCAUAAAAUUAACUCAGAUGUAGCAUUACCCGUCAAAUUCAAGUUAAGAUGGCACCUAUAUAAGAUAGGAUAGCAUAUGAUUUACCUAGUGAUAGAUGACCAUUUUAAUUUUUUUUUUUUAAAUGAUUAAUUCAUAAACAUUUUAAAGCCCCAAGGGAAAAUAAUUACCUUUUUUUGGGGUCCAGCAUAAAUGUAAUUCAUCGCCUUUUAUCAUAAUAUAUAUUUAGGUGAAGCAUACACGCAAUCAACGUUCCGUGAAAGUAUACUUAAAAUUAACUUUUUUUGGAUUAAUAGCUCGUAGAUGAAAUUUUUUUUUUUUUUUUCUUACUACCAUGCUUUCUUAAAAAUAACUCAUUUUUCUAUCUAGUAUGUAUAUAAUUUUCAGGUUAUUUACCAUAUUAUUUAGGUAUGAGUAAUAGUUGUGGAGACAUAUCCAAAACUUAAAAAUAAUUAUUUGAUGCAAUUUAGGUAAAAUAAUUGUUUGAGGCAUGCUUAAAACCCAAAAAUUAUUUUGUGAUGAAUUUGGAUUGAGCACGAAUGUAGUCAUAUAUCAUAUUUAUUUAGAUGAACCUAAAAACAACUCAUUUUAGAUUAAGGAUACAUGCAAUUAAUACUAUGCAUAUACAAUUUCAUCCUCAUUUCCUGUACUACUGGAAUACUCAGAACUUUUAAGUCAAUACUUUGUAAGUAUAAGUUAUUUUAAUAAACUCUAAGGCUAUAUUUGGUUCCCAUAAAAUUUGAGGGAAAAUAUAAGGAGAAAAAAAUACAAAGGAAAAGUAGAAGAAAAAAAAAUGAAGGAAAAUAAAAAACUAUAUUAAAAGCCAAUAAAUUAUUUUUUUUAUUACUUCAAACUCAUUUUAUUUAUUUUAACUCAUUAAUAUAAAUAUUAAAAUAUUAAAAAAUACAUAAGUUUUUAAUUAGUUUUAAUUAUAUUUGAUUUUCUUUUAUAUUUUUUAUAAGAGAACCAAACAUGAAAAAAUCAUUUUUCUUGAUUUUUUUUUUUUUCUUUCCUUUGUAUUUUUUGGUAACCAAACAUAACCUUAAUGAAUAAUAACAUCAACGUCUUGAAUCAAGCAUACAUGCAUGUUUCUCUAGUGACAUGACAAAUAACAUUGCAUAACCUAGAACUUAGUAACCCUACCAAGGAUUUUUGACAAAGAAAUGUCUCUUAUAUAUUUCAAAGCACACGUGUAUCAUAUUUAUCUUAUCUGGCAACACCUAUCGAUACUUAUCUUCUUUGACUUAUUUGGAUUGCAUGUGGGGUUAGACGUAAAAAAAUCGGAUGCUUUGAAAAAAAUUUCUCAUCCAUUUAAAACAUGGACCAAUUUAUUUUCUAUUUGUCCCUUUUAGAUGGGACAAAGAUAAUUAAUUUCCAUCGGAUAAGACAAUGCAUCAUACUAUUCAACCUAAAAAAUUAAGUUAGACAAACCUUAUAAAAGAUUGCCAAACUUGAUGGAGAAAGGUGACCAGAUAAAAUUACGUUAAGACUCUUUGCUAAGCUCUUGAUGACUAAAAUUUGAUUGGAGCCGAAGUUAACAGAACUCUUUGCUUGAUAUAUUAUAUAUAUCAUGACUUAGGAAUCAAUUCAUACCACCGCAGCCUGGCUGGUCCUAACCAACACGGCAUCGCAAGCAGCCCCACGGCACCGCGUCCCGCCAGGUGUUGUCAGUUCAUGGUCCCCAUGAUAAAAUGUUUGAAUGGGUAUGGAUUAUGUGUGUUAUUAUAUAUCAAGCUAAAAAUAUCAAGAUAGGAACAUCUAGGUUGGAUUUUAUAAAAAUAUCAAAAUAUAAGACAAAAAUUUUAAGAAAUAUAUUUUUGUGAAGGUAAAAUUUUAUUUAAAUAAAUUUUAAUAUUUUAAAUACCUCAAAUGUUUAAAAGUGAUUCCUCUAAGAAGCUCAUAAGAAUCUAUUAAAGCGAAGUGUUAUAUCACAGACAUAAAUCAAGGUAUAGGUGUUGGAGAGUAAAUCUUUAAGAUAAAGCGAUCAAGUAAAUCUGUAUACUUUGAUCUUAUAUGGUAAAUUAUAAAUUAGAACUCUUAGACCACCGUGGUUUUUUGUCUCCAUAAUUAGUAUGAGGGUUUUCUAUAUAAAAAUUCCUAUGACCCUGACUUGAUCUUUGAUUACUUUGAAUAUCCUUAAUAUCUUCAAGUUUUAAUUGGGGCUAAUUUAUUUAGGCCAUUCUCCCAAAAAUACUUUUAGAGAAAACAGUUUCACCAAAGCCAUGUUUGAAUCCUGAAAAGUCCUAAGAAAAGAAAAAAAAAAAUACUAAGGAAAAUAAUUUUUUUAUGUACUUUGGCUUCACCAUGGAAAAUAUGAAAAAAAAAUUAAAAUUAAUUAGAAAUGUAUACAUUUUAAAAUUAUUUAAACUUUAAAUAGAAGAGAAAAAAAAAGUAAAAUGAGUUUGAAAUAGUAUAUAAAAAUAAUUUAUUAAUUUUAAAUUUUUUUUUCUUAACUCUUUUUUUCUUCUCUAUUUUCUUUCCCUCAAAUUUUUCAAUAACCAAAUAUAGCUUAAAAGUAUUUCAAAUAAAAACACUACAAAAUGUAUUCUUAAUGGUUGUAACUUAGAAUAAUCUGUAUUUUUUUUUUUUAAAGAUAGAUUUAUCCGAAAAAAUAAAAUAAAAAUCUCAAUCCUACUAACCCUUUUUUUACAAAAAUAUUCGACUCCUAACUUAAAAACAAAAUGCUUCGUAUCUAAAUAUGGUUAAAUCUCUUUCUCUCCAAAAUUCCUUGCCACCCAAAAUUUUUAAGAAAUAAAAUAUAGAAGAACAUGAAUUUUAUGAGGACUUUAAGGUAUUAUACCUUAAUUAAAAUCACAAAUUUGUGUCUUUAUUAUCACAUAGAUCCAAACCUUUUGAUAGUAGUAAACAAUAUAACUUUUAUUCAUCAACGGAAGGACAUUAUAACAAUAUGAUUUUACAACAAAAAUCAUUUGUCAUGGUGUCAAAAUUACUUCAAAGACUGCAUGCAGAGCAUUAUAUGGCAAAAGCCCUACUAAGGGUUUCAUACCACAUAACUCUUUAUUCUUCCCAUAGUUUACGUAUACCCUUCAUAUGUAUAAUUCAAUUGGAGUUUGCAUACGUAUGACUUAUCAGCAAGUGAGGUUGUCACCAGGUGAAACCCCGAGCUGACUGCAGUAGUCCUUGUAAUACUGAACGCGGGCGUUAACGGCAGCUGUGUUUCCACCAUUACAUUCGACGGCACCAUUGAUGGCUCGAAUUGUGGCACCAAAACCUUGGCCUAUGACAGAGUGAACAUUAUUCAUCCAAAACCAUAAUGCGGUCUUGAAUGAAGUAACCACGUCAGUUGCAACAAUUCCAGGGUUGCUCAAGCCAUUGAAUCCAAUGCUGUUUCCAGCAGCGCCAUAGUUGUAGUUCCACGUUAGUUGAAGCGGUCCACGGCCGUAGUAAUUUUGACCGGAGACACAUGGAUAUUGGGUAUUGCUUGAAUCACAGUAGUUAUGAGAGGCACCAUUGAUUUCUUCAAUAUAACAAAAGUCUGCAAGCAUGUACAAAUUACUAAUAUUUGAGUUUACAAGUAUAUGAAGUAUUUUGCUAACAAAUCAUAGUCAAAUUAACGACUAAGAGCAAUAGUAAAAUAUUUUUAGAGUAUUUUUAAAAAUAUGAAAAAUAUUUUAAUAACUUUUGUAUUAUACGACAAAUGUGAAAAAUAUUUUUUCAUAUUUAAAUUUAUAAAUAAAAUUUUGUCUUUAAAAAUAAUUAUAAAUUAUUUUUUGAAAAAGUUGUCGAAGAAACCUAAAGUUUCAUAACUAAAAAUAAAAAUAAAAAAAGAGUAUUGGGUAUAUAAAAAUAAAUAAAUAAAAUAAGAUAGUUGGAAUUUAAGACUUCACAAAAUAUUAAAAAGGGAAAAUCUUACGUCCAGUCUCGUGUGUGACAUGAGCGAAGAAAGCUGCAAUCUCGCGCUUAUUAGCAUCGGUAGAACCAUCGUUGCCGAACCCAGAAUACGAAUUCAAGGCACUGAGAAACGCUGCACGGGUGUAGAAAUUCUUCCCAGCACAACUCGAAGCAGCUUGAUUAAUUAUCCCAUCGAAAAAUGACUGUGUCACAAUAUCAGAAACCGAGCUACCACUGCCGCUACUUGAAUCACAAGGACCCGAUUGGCAACCGUCACCGCAGUAGUCACUGCCGGUGCCACAGUACCCGUACUUACUGCAACAUAGGCCUGAGGCACACCCACAGUUCUGAGCCACUGCAGCUCCGAAAAGGGCCCCAACAAGAAGGACUGUUAGUAGCUUGGCUGCCAUUUUUGGGAGAUGUUUUGUGGAAGAAAGAAGGGGGAACGUGGGAGGUGAAGAUGAAAAAUAUACUUGUUUGGGGAGGUAUUUAUAGGGCAGGUAGGAGAGUUUAGUGGUGUUUUCAAAUUCAAUUGGAACAUGCAAUUGACUGAAUGGAUGAGUGUGGAAAAAUUCCACACUUGCACUUUGGCCAUAUAUGGUAUUGGUUUUGAAUUUAUCAGUAUGUAUAAUUUUAUCAACAUUUCUCAUGUACAUUGAAUCUAUGUCCUGAAUUUUCGGGUCAUAUAAUACAAACAUAUGCAUGUUACUCCACAUGAUACCGCCUAACUUUGAAUUUUGAAAUCCUAGUAAUAUUUGAGGAAGUUCAAUAAUGAAAUGUUUGUUAUUGCACGCCAUUGUAAUGACGUGUGAGGAAAUUUAUCUUGGACUGAGUUGGGUCGUGGGCUUAGAUGCAAAAAUAUCAUAUGCAAGGUUUGAAAAUUCUUUCCAUUCCCAUCCAAACCAAGGAUCAACACGUACAUCAUUUUAUUUUAUUUUUUUUAUUUUUAUUUUUUUGAGGACAGGCCGACCAAACUUGAUGCUAAAUAAAAUUACGUCAAGACUAAUUCCUAACUUCUAGAGAGCUAGAAUUUAAUUUGACAGGUAAUGACAAGAAUAGGGAUCAUCAUAUCGAGAAAUUAACAUUAAAUUAGAAUAAUAAUAAAAUUUAUUUGCAGGCAUGAGGAUGGAAGGCGAUCGAGUCUUAAUUUACUUGAUAUCUUGGCUUAUGAAUAUGAAUGUGGAGAUUGAACUGAAGUUUGGCAUGGAAUUUUUGGAGUCAUAAAAAUAAAGAUUAGGAAUCAAUUUAUAGCACCACAGCGUCCACCACACGGCAUCACAAGCAGCCCCACGACGCCAGGUCGCGGCAAGGCGCAGGGUCGCGGCAAGGCGCCGGGUCGCGGCAAGAGCUUUCAGGCCAUGGUCCCCAUGAGAAAUAAGUGUUCAAAAUUGACUUGUUAAUUCAUGGUCCACACGAGAAAAUGUUCGAAGUCUUGGUCAUGCGAGUCUAGAAGUUCUACUAAGCUGCAGUUUUAAAAUAAGGUUUUCAGAUUUACAUUAAAAUUGUACCGCCUGUUUAGUCAAUUUUUUUAAAACUUAUUUUUAAAUUAAAAAAGUAAAAAAUAAUUUUUUAGUGUUUUAUAACGAUAAGGGUGUUUGAUAAGUUGCUUUUACAAAUAAAUAAUAAAAAAAUUUCUUAGAUAAGUUGUUUAAAAAAAAUUCUUUUUUGGUUUUAUAAAAAUAUUGUAAAUUCAAUUUAUAUAAUAUAAAUUAAAUUUAAUUCAGUUCUUAUUAAAUAUAUAUAUAUAUAUAUAUAUAGUUUUUUAAUUACGAAUAUAUUAAAAAUAAUUUUGAGUAAAAUAUGAAAAAUUAUAUUAUUAUAAAUAUAAGUUUAUCAUCAUUUAAUAAUUGACAUAAUGAUUUUCUUGACAUAUUUUUAUUUGUAUAAAAUAAACAAAAGAUUGUUACCUUAAUGCAAUGAGACUUUCAACUUGUUUAUAUUUUCUUCACCACAAAAAUAAAAUUCAUCUUCAACAAUAUUAAGUUACGAAAAAUCUUAAAUUUUCCAUUCUCCUUCCUAUCAAAAUGAUUAAUAAAGAUUAAAAAAAAUGUGUUUUGUACUCUCUAAAAUUUAUUAAAUUAAAUUGUGAUAAAUAUUAUAUGUAAUAUAUUUAAUUCAUUUUUAUCUUAAUUAAUUGAUUUUUUUCAUUAGGUAGUAAAACUAUAUAAAAAUUCUCUUUAAUAUAAUAAUGUAUUAAUUUAAAAGAAUUGCGAAAUUUUUAUAUUUCUAAAAAUAUAUAGAAUCAAUCUCACUUGUACUUUUUUUUUUCUUUUUUUCUUUUUUUGCAACUAUCAUAUAUUACAUCUUGUAGCCAAGUUUGACCCUUAAGUCUACCAAACACCACCUUCCACAUCCACUACCCAACCCACUCUCACCUCUCACAUUUUCCUCCCAACUUCCCUUAUAAAUCAUUAAAGACACCACUCCCACCCUAUUUAUUAACCCACAACGCAAUGCCCCAUGUGCAAUGACACCCACGUGAGUGAGUGUAUGGCAUGUAAGAAUGGCAAUGGAUCGGGUUUUUUCGGAUAACAACCCCGUCCCACCCAUAAUGGGACAGAGUUCAAUUUUAAUAAACAGGUUUUGAAUGGAUUUGAGAAUUUUUCUUAAAACCCAGAUUGGGUUCGAGUAUUACCCUACCUCGUCCCGAUUAUAUAUAAAAUUAAUUUAAUUUAAAUUUUAAAAUUAAUUUAAUUUAGUUUUUAUUUUACUAUUUUUAAUAUAUAAAUAAUAAUAAAAUAUUUUUAAUAAAAUAAGUUAUAAAAAAAUAAUAAUUUAAUUAUUUAUAAAAUAUAUUUAUUUUAAUGUAAUUAAAAAGUUUAAAAGUAAUUUAAAAAAAAUUAAAUUCAAAAAAAAAGUUAAAAGGGGCGGAACAGGUAUAGGAAUUUAUCAUACCCGUUCCAUUUAAUUUUUUAAAUGAGAUGGGGAUGAAAAUUAUUUUGAAUAAAUGGAGCUGGGUUGGGAUGGGGGCGACCCGUCCCGAACCCACCCUGUUGUCAUCCUUAAGCAUGAGAGCACUUAUUUCAAUUUACAUUACUAGCCAUACCACCAUGUCUUUUCUUAUCUUUUCAUUGUCUUGUUCUUAUGGAGGUAGAGCUCUCCUUUUUUCCUUUUUUUGUUUUUUUAAUUUAAUUUGUUAGUAUUUAUCAUAGAAAUCCCAAGCUUUUUAUGCUAAUAAACUAUACAAAUGAAUAAUCUAAAGCUUUUAUUCAUUGAUAGAAGAACAUUACAACCAUAUGAUUUCAGGACAUAAAUCAUGGUCAUGUUCUUAAAGCUACUUUCAAAGACUACAUACAUACCACAUAUCUCUCAUUUUUCUCAUAGCUCACUUAUUGUCUUCGAUACAUAACUUAGCUAGGGUUUGUACAUUGUUGUCUACCCUAGCAAGUGAGGUUAUGUUGAGAUAUUAUGAUAUAUUCUAGGAAAGUCGUUGUCUAAACAAUCGAAACUGUAGAUUUCUAGAUUUAACUUCCAGGACCAUUCCUCCAAGAGGUAAGGAGGUUAACCAUACGCAGUCAUUUUCACACAAUCAUAAAGAAAAUUUAUUUCCAUCAUAACCCGGUUUAUCAUUCAUGAUAUCAUUUGAAUCAAUGGUUUUUUCAUCAUCCACUAAGGAAAUUUUGGUCCCCUUAUGUACCUAACUGAUCAAUCCAAGUAAUACAUGGUAGCUACCAACUGGACAUGUCCCAUAAGCGUUUUGCAUCACGAAAUUUAGAUAGGGUACUCUUUACCUCGGGAUCGAUUGUGUUUGUAAUCCAAGAAACCAACAUUGCAUUGACGGUGUUCCAAUCAGAUUGGGUAUAUGGAGGUUGUGGUCCGGUGAUAGUGUCUUCCAAAAAUUCGAACUUGCGGCGUGCCUCCAAUGCCAACUGAAUAUCGGAAGCCCAAUCAUCGUAAUUGUCGCUGCGUAAGCGAGUGGGAGUGAUGAAGUAGCCUGGUCGGUCUCCUGUGCCGAGAAAAAAAGGUGAAUUCAUCUCCCUUUUAGGUGGCGGCAAUGGUGGUUGUUCAUCGUCGCCGGCCAUUGUUUUAUUGUGUGUGCAUGUCAGUGCUCUGAUACCAUGUAAAGUGUGAUUAAAGGGUCAAAGCUUAACCCUAAUUGAUAUUCAUCCAUGUAAAUAUAUAGUACAUCAAGCAAACCUAAUUAAGGGAAAACCGUGAGUUUAGGAAACAAUCCUAAACAAUAUAUAGUACAUCAAGCAAACCUAAUUAAGGGAAAAUCGUGAAUUUAGGAAACAAUCCUAAACAAUGCCGUGAGUUUAGGAAACAAUCCUAAACAAGAGCAACGACUUUCCUAGAAUAUAACAUAAUAUCUUAACAGGUAAUCACCUGGUGAAACACCAAAUUGACUGCAGUAGUUUUUGUAAUACUGGACACGUGCAUCAACCGAGGACGGGCUACCACCAUUACAUUCAAUAGCACCAUCAAUGGCUUGAAUUGUAGCACCAAAGCCUUGGUUUACAACAGAGUGAACAUUGUUCAUCCAAAACCAUAACGCGGUCUUGAACGAAAUAUCUGCGUUGGUUGCAACAAUUCCAGGAUUGCUCAAGCCGUUGAACCCAAUACUUUUUCCAGCAGGACCAUAAUUGUAGUUCCAUGAUAUCUGAAGUGGUCCACGGCCAUAGUACUUCUGCCCAGCCACGCAUGGAUUUUGGGUAUUACUACUAUCACAAUAGUUCGGAGAGGCACCAUUUAUUUCAUUUAUGUAACAAAAGUCUGCAUGUACAAAUUAAUAAUAUUAAUUUCAAGCAACAUAUAUGUGAAUCGAGUCAAAUUCAAGUUAAGAUGCAACGGAUAUAAGAUAUGAUAGCAUAUGAUUUGACCUCCACCGUAGUCAUGUCUAACUAAAUUGCUAAUAGGAGGAAUAUACGUAUAAAAUUCGAACAAUUGGAUCUCAAAUAUUUGAUUGGAAACUAUUCUCAAAAACAGUUUUACAUCGGGUUUGAACUUUAAAAACACAUACGAAUAUUAAAAUAUUGAAAAUAGGGUUUUGAGAAUUUGUUCAAAAAAAAACUAACUUCUUAUAAUAGUUUUUUUUUUAAAAAAAAAAAAGCAGUAUAUUUCAAAUAGUUGGAAUUUAAGGUUUUAUAAACAUUAAAAAAGAAUGAAGAUCUCACGUCCGGUCUCAUGUGUGACAUGGGCGAAGAAAGCAGCAAUCUCGCGCUUAGACUGAUCAGCGGAACCAUCCUUGCCAAACCCAGGAUACGAAUUCAAGGCACUAAGAAACGCUGCACGGGUGUAGAAAUGCUUCCCUUCGCAAUUCCCGGCAGCUUGAUUAAUAAUCCCAUUGAAAAACGCCUGUGUCACAACAUCAGCAACGGAGACACCACCGGAAGAACCACCACUUGAGUAACAAGGACCUGCUUGGCAACCGUCGCCGCAGUAGGCAUUGCCGGUUCCACAGUAGCCGAACUUAUUGCAGCAUAGGCCUGAGGCACACCCACAGUUCUGAGCCACUGUGGAGCCCUGCAAGGCUGCCAAAAGGACUCCAACAAGAAGGAUUGUUAGCAGCUUAUUAAGGAAAUUAUAUGUUAGUUAUGGUAUGAUUAUCUUGACAUAAUUAGCUGAUUGUAUAGGAGCAUAAUUAGUCUCAUAUUUCUGAUUCUGUAGCUAUAAUUUAGGAGAAGAUUAGAUCAAACAUGUGUAUAUAUAUACUACAUUCUGUUAAUGAGAAAAGUAUCCAAUUUGAAGCCAAUCUCUUUAUUCUUGUUAUGGUAUCAGAGCCAGAACAACAAACCACCAUGGCUGGCAGUCAGAAGGCUUCUAGAUCAGAAAACAAGACCAUCGAUCCUUCACAUCCCCUCUAUAUUCAUCAUUCAGAUCAACCAGGCCAUGUUUUGGUGCCCAUCAAAUUAAAUGGGGUCAACUAUCAAUCAUGGAGCAAAGCAGUUAUUCAUGCCCUUACUGCCAAGAAGAAGAUCGGCUUCGUCAACGGGACAGUUGAAGAACCAUCGCAGGAAGAUGAACCCUUUAUGUUUGAACAGUGGAAUCAAUGCAACAGCAUGAUACUUUCUUGGCUAACUCAUGCUGUUGAAUCGGACAUUGCUGAAGGAAUUAUCCAUGCUAAAAUAGCACGCGAAGUGUGGGUUGAUUUACGCGACCAGUUUUCUCAAAAGAAUGCUCCAGCGGUUUUUCAAAUACAGAAAUCAAUCGCCACCAUGUCGCAAGGAACGAUGACAGUAGCUGCAUAUUUUACAAAGAUCAAAGCCUUAUGGGACGAGCUUGAGACAUACCGUUCCCCGCUGACCUGCAACCAACGGCAAGCACAUCUCGAGCAAAGGGAGGAAGACCGUCUUAUGCAAUUUCUAAUGGGUUUGAAUGAGUCAUAUAAGGCAGUGAGAUCCAAUAUUUUGAUGAUGCCGCCAUUGCCCAAUGUCCGUCAAGCAUACUCUUUAAUUAUCCAGGAAGAGAUGCAACGACAAGUUUCUUCUGAGCCAACCGAGAAUUUCUCAAUAGCUGCCGCAGUCCCGGGAAAAGGAGGUAAUCCAAGACAGAAAAUGUGUGACCAUUGUAACAGAUCCGGACAUACCAUAGAUGAAUGUCGGACUCUUAAAUUUCACUGUAAGUUCUGUGAUAAAAGAGGUCACACGGAGGAUAGAUGCCGACUGAAAAAUGGGAGCAAUAACAAAACGGGACAAUUCCGAGGACAACGUCCUUUUGGUCGUGGGAAUCAGCCCUCAGCAAACGCGACAGAAUCCCAGGAAAUGUCUGAUUCGACUUCUUCUAGUACAGUCCAGGGGUUCACUACAGAACAAAUACAACAGUUGGCUCAAGCAAUUCGUGCAUUAAAUCACAGUAAUUCCGGUAAUAUUGACGCAUAUGCAAAUGUUGCAGGUUUGAUUCCAUCAACUCUUGUGUCUGUUAAUUCUAGUAGUACAAGUUCUUGGAUUUUGGAUACAGGUGCCACGGAUCACAUCGUUUCCCACAUGUCUCUUUUCACUGAUCUCAAACUUUCUAAUGUCACAACUGUUAAUUUACCAAAUGGUGCAGCAUCACCAAUAACACACACNNNNNNNNNNNNNNNNNNNNNNNNNNNNNNNNNNNNNNNNNNNNNNNNNNNNNNNNNNNNNNNNNNNNNNNNNNNNNNNNNNNNNNNNNNNNNNNNNNNNNNNNNNNNNNNNNNNNNNNNNNNNNNNNNNNNNNNNNNNNNNNNNNNNNNNNNNNNNNNNNNNNNNNNNNNNNNNNNNNNNNNNNNNNNNNNNNNNNNNNNNNNNNNNNNNNNNNNNNNNNNNNNNNNNNNNNNNNNNNNNNNNNNNNNNNNNNNNNNNNNNNNNNNNNNNNNNNNNNNNNNNNNNNNNNNNNNNNNNNNNNNNNNNNNNNNNNNNNNNNNNNNNNNNNNNNNNNNNNNNNNNNNNNNNNNNNNNNNNNNNNNNNNNNNNNNNNNNNNNNNNNNNNNNNNNNNNNNNNNNNNNNNNNNNNNNNNNNNNNNNNNNNNNNNNNNNNNNNNNNNNNNNNNNNNNNNNNNNNNNNNNNNNNNNNNNNNNNNNNNNNNNNNNNNNNNNNNNNNNNNNNNNNNNNNNNNNNNNNNNNNNNNNNNNNNNNNNNNNNNNNNNNNNNNNNNNNNNNNNNNNNNNNNNNNNNNNNNNNNNNNNNNNNNNNNNNNNNNNNNNNNNNNNNNNNNNNNNNNNNNNNNNNNNNNNNNNNNNNNNNNNNNNNNNNNNNNNNNNNNNNNNNNNNNNNNNNNNNNNNNNNNNNNNNNNNNNNNNNNNNNNNNNNNNNNNNNNNNNNNNNNNNNNNNNNNNNNNNNNNNNNNNNNNNNNNNNNNNNNNNNNNNNNNNNNNNNNNNNNNNNNNNNNNNNNNNNNNNNNNNNNNNNNNNNNNNNNNNNNNNNNNNNNNNNNNNNNNNNNNNNNNNNNNNNNNNNNNNNNNNNNNNNNNNNNNNNNNNNNNNNNNNNNNNNNNNNNNNNNNNNNNNNNNNNNNNNNNNNNNNNNNNNNNNNNNNNNNNNNNNNNNNNNNNNNNNNNNNNNNNNNNNNNNNNNNNNNNNNNNNNNNNNNNNNNNNNNNNNNNNNNNNNNNNNNNNNNNNNNNNNNNNNNNNNNNNNNNNNNNNNNNNNNNNNNNNNNNNNNNNNNNNNNNNNNNNNNNNNNNNNNNNNNNNNNNNNNNNNNNNNNNNNNNNNNNNNNNNNNNNNNNNNNNNNNNNNNNNNNNNNNNNNNNNNNNNNNNNNNNNNNNNNNNNNNNNNNNNNNNNNNNNNNNNNNNNNNNNNNNNNNNNNNNNNNNNNNNNNNNNNNNNNNNNNNNNNNNNNNNNNNNNNNNNNNNNNNNNNNNNNNNNNNNNNNNNNNNNNNNNNNNNNNNNNNNNNNNNNNNNNNNNNNNNNNNNNNNNNNNNNNNNNNNNNNNNNNNNNNNNNNNNNNNNNNNNNNNNNNNNNNNNNNNNNNNNNNNNNNNNNNNNNNNNNNNNNNNNNNNNNNNNNNNNNNNNNNNNNNNNNNNNNNNNNNNNNNNNNNNNNNNNNNNNNNNNNNNNNNNNNNNNNNNNNNNNNNNNNNNNNNNNNNNNNNNNNNNNNNNNNNNNNNNNNNNNNNNNNNNNNNNNNNNNNNNNNNNNNNNNNNNNNNNNNNNNNNNNNNNNNNNNNNNNNNNNNNNNNNNNNNNNNNNNNNNNNNNNNNNNNNNNNNNNNNNNNNNNNNNNNNNNNNNNNNNNNNNNNNNNNNNNNNNNNNNNNNNNNNNNNNNNNNNNNNNNNNNNNNNNNNNNNNNNNNNNNNNNNNNNNNNNNNNNNNNNNNNNNNNNNNNNNNNNNNNNNNNNNNNNNNNNNNNNNNNNNNNNNNNNNNNNNNNNNNNNNNNNNNNNNNNNNNNNNNNNNNNNNNNNNNNNNNNNNNNNNNNNNNNNNNNNNNNNNNNNNNNNNNNNNNNNNNNNNNNNNNNNNNNNNNNNNNNNNNNNNNNNNNNNNNNNNNNNNNNNNNNNNNNNNNNNNNNNNNNNNNNNNNNNNNNNNNNNNNNNNNNNNNNNNNNNNNNNNNNNNNNNNNNNNNNNNNNNNNNNNNNNNNNNNNNNNNNNNNNNNNNNNNNNNNNNNNNNNNNNNNNNNNNNNNNNNNNNNNNNNNNNNNNNNNNNNNNNNNNNNNNNNNNNNNNNNNNNNNNNNNNNNNNNNNNNNNNNNNNNNNNNNNNNNNNNNNNNNNNNNNNNNNNNNNNNNNNNNNNNNNNNNNNNNNNNNNNNNNNNNNNNNNNNNNNNNNNNNNNNNNNNNNNNNNNNNNNNNNNNNNNNNNNNNNNNNNNNNNNNNNNNNNNNNNNNNNNNNNNNNNNNNNNNNNNNNNNNNNNNNNNNNNNNNNNNNNNNNNNNNNNNNNNNNNNNNNNNNNNNNNNNNNNNNNNNNNNNNNNNNNNNNNNNNNNNNNNNNNNNNNNNNNNNNNNNNNNNNNNNNNNNNNNNNNNNNNNNNNNNNNNNNNNNNNNNNNNNNNNNNNNNNNNNNNNNNNNNNNNNNNNNNNNNNNNNNNNNNNNNNNNNNNNNNNNNNNNNNNNNNNNNNNNNNNNNNNNNNNNNNNNNNNNNNNNNNNNNNNNNNNNNNNNNNNNNNNNNNNNNNNNNNNNNNNNNNNNNNNNNNNNNNNNNNNNNNNNNNNNNNNNNNNNNNNNNNNNNNNNNNNNNNNNNNNNNNNNNNNNNNNNNNNNNNNNNNNNNNNNNNNNNNNNNNNNNNNNNNNNNNNNNNNNNNNNNNNNNNNNNNNNNNNNNNNNNNNNNNNNNNNNNNNNNNNNNNNNNNNNNNNNNNNNNNNNNNNNNNNNNNNNNNNNNNNNNNNNNNNNNNNNNNNNNNNNNNNNNNNNNNNNNNNNNNNNNNNNNNNNNNNNNNNNNNNNNNNNNNNNNNNNNNNNNNNNNNNNNNNNNNNNNNNNNNNNNNNNNNNNNNNNNNNNNNNNNNNNNNNNNNNNNNNNNNNNNNNNNNNNNNNNNNNNNNNNNNNNNNNNNNNNNNNNNNNNNNNNNNNNNNNNNNNNNNNNNNNNNNNNNNNNNNNNNNNNNNNNNNNNNNNNNNNNNNNNNNNNNNNNNNNNNNNNNNNNNNNNNNNNNNNNNNNNNNNNNNNNNNNNNNNNNNNNNNNNNNNNNNNNNNNNNNNNNNNNNNNNNNNNNNNNNNNNNNNNNNNNNNNNNNNNNNNNNNNNNNNNNNNNNNNNNNNNNNNNNNNNNNNNNNNNNNNNNNNNNNNNNNNNNNNNNNNNNNNNNNNNNNNNNNNNNNNNNNNNNNNNNNNNNNNNNNNNNNNNNNNNNNNNNNNNNNNNNNNNNNNNNNNNNNNNNNNNNNNNNNNNNNNNNNNNNNNNNNNNNNNNNNNNNNNNNNNNNNNNNNNNNNNNNNNNNNNNNNNNNNNNNNNNNNNNNNNNNNNNNNNNNNNNNNNNNNNNNNNNNNNNNNNNNNNNNNNNNNNNNNNNNNNNNNNNNNNNNNNNNNNNNNNNNNNNNNNNNNNNNNNNNNNNNNNNNNNNNNNNNNNNNNNNNNNNNNNNNNNNNNNNNNNNNNNNNNNNNNNNNNNNNNNNNNNNNNNNNNNNNNNNNNNNNNNNNNNNNNNNNNNNNNNNNNNNNNNNNNNNNNNNNNNNNNNNNNNNNNNNNNNNNNNNNNNNNNNNNNNNNNNNNNNNNNNNNNNNNNNNNNNNNNNNNNNNNNNNNNNNNNNNNNNNNNNNNNNNNNNNNNNNNNNNNNNNNNNNNNNNNNNNNNNNNNNNNNNNNNNNNNNNNNNNNNNNNNNNNNNNNNNNNNNNNNNNNNNNNNNNNNNNNNNNNNNNNNNNNNNNNNNNNNNNNNNNNNNNNNNNNNNNNNNNNNNNNNNNNNNNNNNNNNNNNNNNNNNNNNNNNNNNNNNNNNNNNNNNNNNNNNNNNNNNNNNNNNNNNNNNNNNNNNNNNNNNNNNNNNNNNNNNNNNNNNNNNNNNNNNNNNNNNNNNNNNNNNNNNNNNNNNNNNNNNNNNNNNNNNNNNNNNNNNNNNNNNNNNNNNNNNNNNNNNNNNNNNNNNNNNNNNNNNNNNNNNNNNNNNNNNNNNNNNNNNNNNNNNNNNNNNNNNNNNNNNNNNNNNNNNNNNNNNNNNNNNNNNNNNNNNNNNNNNNNNNNNNNNNNNNNNNNNNNNNNNNNNNNNNNNNNNNNNNNNNNNNNNNNNNNNNNNNNNNNNNNNNNNNNNNNNNNNNNNNNNNNNNNNNNNNNNNNNNNNNNNNNNNNNNNNNNNNNNNNNNNNNNNNNNNNNNNNNNNNNNNNNNNNNNNNNNNNNNNNNNNNNNNNNNNNNNNNNNNNNNNNNNNNNNNNNNNNNNNNNNNNNNNNNNNNNNNNNNNNNNNNNNNNNNNNNNNNNNNNNNNNNNNNNNNNNNNNNNNNNNNNNNNNNNNNNNNNNNNNNNNNNNNNNNNNNNNNNNNNNNNNNNNNNNNNNNNNNNNNNNNNNNNNNNNNNNNNNNNNNNNNNNNNNNNNNNNNNNNNNNNNNNNNNNNNNNNNNNNNNNNNNNNNNNNNNNNNNNNNNNNNNNNNNNNNNNNNNNNNNNNNNNNNNNNNNNNNNNNNNNNNNNNNNNNNNNNNNNNNNNNNNNNNNNNNNNNNNNNNNNNNNNNNNNNNNNNNNNNNNNNNNNNNNNNNNNNNNNNNNNNNNNNNNNNNNNNNNNNNNNNNNNNNNNNNNNNNNNNNNNNNNNNNNNNNNNNNNNNNNNNNNNNNNNNNNNNNNNNNNNNNNNNNNNNNNNNNNNNNNNNNNNNNNNNNNNNNNNNNNNNNNNNNNNNNNNNNNNNNNNNNNNNNNNNNNNNNNNNNNNNNNNNNNNNNNNNNNNNNNNNNNNNNNNNNNNNNNNNNNNNNNNNNNNNNNNNNNNNNNNNNNNNNNNNNNNNNNUAUAGAAUUCUCUCGCUCUAAAAAGGGAAUCUUUAUGUCUCAAAGAAAAUAUGCAUUAGAUAUUUUGCAAGACACAGGAUUGACAGGAGCGAAGCCCGAAAAAUUUCCGAUGGAGCAAAACUUGAAAUUGACUGAUGAAGAUGGCGAGUUACUUCAUGAUCCAAGUAGGUAUCGGAGACUGGUUGGCAGAUUAAUAUACUUGACUGUAACCAGGCCUGACAUAGUGUAUUCAGUACGUACACUAAGUCAAUUCAUGAACACACCUCAGAAGCCGCACUGGGAAGCAGCAUUACGGGUCCUCCGAUAUAUUAAAGGAUCACCAGGUCAAGGUCUUUUUCUUCCAUCUGAAAAUAAUUUAACACUCAGCGCAUUUUGCGAUUCAGAUUGGGGAGGAUGUCGUAUGUCAAGACGUUCCGUUUCUGGUUAUUGUGUUUUCCUCGGAUCAUCACUCAUCUCUUGGAAAUCAAAAAAACAAACGAAUGUUUCACGUUCAUCAGCAGAAGCAGAGUACAGAGCAAUGGCGAAUACUUGCCUGGAAUUGACUUGGUUGAGGUACAUACUUAAAGAUUUGAAGGUUGAAUUGGACAAACCAGCACCAUUGUUUUGUGAUAAUCAAGCAGCUUUAUAUAUUGCGGCUAACCCAGUUUUUCACGAACGUACUAAACACAUUGAGAUUGAUUGUCAUAUAGUUCGAGAAAAACUUCAAGCUGGGGUAAUUCGUCCGUGUUAUGUUUCUACAAAGAUGCAGUUGGCGGACGUUUUUACAAAGGCACUUGGCAUGGAGCAGUUCGAAUUUUUGUGCACCAAGUUGGGAGUUCUUGAUUUGCACUCUCCAACUUGAGGGGGAGUAUUAAGGAAAUUAUAUGUUAGUUAUGGUAUGAUUAUCUUGACAUAAUUAGCUGAUUGUAUAGGAGCAUAAUUAGUCUCAUAUUUCUGAUUCUGUAGCUAUAAUUUAGGAGAAGAUUAGAUCAAACAUGUGUAUAUAUAUACUACAUUCUGUUAAUGAGAAAAGUAUCCAAUUUGAAGCCAAUCUCUUUAUUCUUGUUACAGCUUGGCUGCCAUUUUUGGGAGAGGUUAUUGUGGAAGGAAGAAGGGAGAAUGAGUGAUGUGAAGAUGGACUUGGGAGUGGGGUAUUUAUAGGGUAGAAAGGAGAGCUCAAGAAGAAGAUAUUAUGAUUUUUACAAACUUGCUCUUUGGCCAUUAUUGUUAGCGGCAUGGUUUUGGAUUUAUAAUCUAGUGAUCAUCAUUUGAUUUGAAGAUUAAUUAAUUAAUUCUAAACAUUUUUUAUCCCCCAUGGGAAAAUAAUUACAUUUUUCUAGGUCGAGCAUAGAUGUAAUCCAUCGCCAUUUAUCAUAGUAUUUAGGUGAAGCAUGCAAAUAACAUUUGCCGAUCAAGGCAUAGUUAAAAUUCAAAAAUUAAAUCAUUGUCUUUGGAUCGACCAUUGAUGCAAUUUCAUUUUCAUUCUUCUUACUACCAUGCUUAAAACCUAAAAAUAACUCCUUUUAAAUCAAGCAUGUGUAUGAUGCUUUGGUUAUUUAUCAUAUUGUUUAGGCAUGAAAUAAUAUAUAGUUGUCGAGGCAGACUUAAAACCUAAAAAUAAUUAUUUGAUGCAACUUAGGAAAAUAAUUGUUUAGGCAUAUUAAAAACUCGAAAAUAAUUCAUUUGAUGAAUUUGGAUUAAACAUGAAUGUAGUUAUUUAUUAUAUUUACUUAGGUGAACCUAAAAACAACUCUUCUUGGAUGGAGGAUACAUGCAAUGGGCAUAUGCAAUUUCAUCGUCAUUUCGUGUAUCAUUUGGUAUAGCCCAUACAUAAAACUUUUAAGCCGACACUUUGUAAGUAUGAAUUAGUUUAACAAACUCUAAACGAACAAAGAGAUCAACGUCUUGAUUCAAACAUAUAUGCUUAUCCGGUUACAUGAAAAAUAAUAUUACAUAACUUGGAACUUAGAAACUUGUUAUAUAUGGAAAAGUUUUUUCUAUAUACGGCAUUGUCAAUCAAAGAACAUGUGUAUGAUAUUUAUCUUGUCUUAUCACUUAUGUUUAUCUUCUUUGGAUCAAUUGGAUUGCAUGUGGGGUUGGAUGCAUGAAAAAAGAUCAAAGGCUUUGAAAAUUCUUCAUACCCUAUCUAAAACAUGGAUCAAUUCAUUGUUACGUCGUUAUAUUUGUCCCUUUUAGGUGGGACAGAGGUAAUUAAUUUGCAUUUGCAUACUAUUCAACCUAAAAAAAGUUGGACAAACUUUGUGGAAGAUUGCCAAAACUUGAUGGAGAAAGGUGACUAAAUAAAAUUAGGUCACGAUUCCUUACUAACCAUUCGAUGAUUGGAGCGAAGUUAACAGAUAAUAGUAAGACUAAAAUCAUGGAGAUCGAGAAAUUAACAUUAAACUAGGAUAACAAUAAUAAAAUUCAUUUUCAAACAAGGGUUUAAAGGAUGAAUCUAAUUUGCUUGAUAUUCAAUAUAUAUAUCAAGAAAUAGGAGUCAAUUUGUACCAUCACAGCCUGGCUGGUCCUAACCAACACGGCAUCGCCAGCAGCCCCACGACACCGCGUCGCGGCUGGCGUUGUCAGUUCAUGGUCCCCAUAAGAAAAUGGUCACUGGGUUCAACAUGCAUGCAUGAAUAGCUAUGAAUUUUACAUAUAUGAAAAUAUCAUGAACUGAAGGAAUCUCGGUUGGAACAUCCGGGGUUGGGGGCUUUAUAAAAAUAUAAAAAAUUCCAAAUUCCAAAAAAAUAUAUUUUUGUGAAGAUAAAAACUUAUUUAAAUGAAUUUUAAUAUUUUUAAAUGCAUUAAAUUAGGUUUAAUUUCUAAAUUGUUAUCUUUUUUUUUUCAUCUCUUGGUUUUAAAAAAAAAAUUGUAAUUAUGAUUACAAGUUUAUACCUUCUCGUGAUUUUUUAUAUUUGCAAUAGGUAAUUUGAUGAAAUUUGAAUAUGAAUAAAGAUCAUUAUAAUUUAUUUAUUUAUUAUUUUUGUGAUGGGGUGAGUUGAAUCUUUUGGCUUUUUAAACUAGUCAUGGGAUAACAAUUGUAGCAUUGAUUUAACCAGGGAUACAUUAUAAAUAAGUCUUUUGCCAAUACAAAAUUUUCAAGUAUGCUUUAUUCCCAUGCUUUUCUUACUUAGAUUCCUUCAUUCUUGUGCCCUUGAUCAUAUAGAAAUCAUGUUGAUAGAUAAAAUCCAAUUCUAGAUUAAAUUUGCAUUCAUAGUUAUAGUAGAUGAUGCUAAUAAGAAGAUAUGAUUUUUAAUUUUUUAUAAUUUUUUUAUCAUGUUAAGAUUUGUUUUGAUUAAUAUUAUAGAAAGUUUUUGAGUUAAAAAUGUUACAAAGUUCACUAUAAAACACUGUUAGACUUUUUAUUGUUGUAUUAAAACUUAUUUAAUUAAUGUUAUAAAAAGUUCUUUUAACUUAAUAAUGUUAUUAAAAUUUUAUAUUUGAUUCUAUAUAAUUUUAAUAUUGUCGACCCAUAGUUGCUAAUAACACGAUAUAUACAAACACAUCAAAUUUGUAAAUUAUACAUGAAAAGUGGAUAUAAGAUAAAAAUCCACUAUUCCUAUAAUAAAAUUAAUACACAAUUCAAGAUUGUGUUACAUAUAAAUUAAAUUUAAAUUUUAACCAUCAAGUUAAAAAAAUGUUUUUGAGAUAUUUUAUGAUCUAUGUAUUUUGCAUUAAAAAGGUCCUAUUUAUACUAGAAAAUUAUAAUUGCACUUGUUAUUAUCAUUCAAAUUAAGUCAAAGCAAAUUAGGAAGUAUGUUCAAUUAUCUUAGGUUUAGGAGUCUAGCUUUUAGGUGUUGCCUUGGUCUACAAAACCCAGGAAGACCCUUAAACCCUAGAUGAUCCUCAAACCCUACAAGAUAGAAUAUGCUCAGGGAUCUUUUCUACCUCCCAAAUCUCAAUCUAAUGCCCCACAAUAGACCUAACCAAAUCAAGACCCUACUCAUCUCUCCAUCGAUGAGGCACUUGAAAGCCUCGCAAUGCAACUUGUUUGCAAAGUGUCACAUGUCGUGAUGUAUUUGUCAAUUAUCAUUUAAAAAAUAAGCCUAUAAAUAUUAUGAUUUCUUAAAUGAUGGUGUCUUAUGUUGUGUUUGAAGUAGUUCAAAUUUCUUUUGAUAUGCAAUUGAAACAUAUAGAAAAAAUAUGUCUAAAUGUAAGGAUUAUUCUGAUUAAAACUUGAGGGAUAAUUUGAAUUAGAUCUCCCCAUAAGACCCUUAUUUUUAGCUGUUGCAUUAAUCUACAAAACCCCAUAAGACCCUUAACCCUAGAUGAUCCUCAAACUCUUAUAAAAUCAAAGAUGCCUACCUCCCAAAUCUCAAUCUACUGCCCAACAAUAGACCUAACCAAAUUGAGAACUCACCCAUCUCUCCUUCAAAGAGGCACUUGAAAGCUCCACAAUGCAGAGAACAUAUUAGAAACGAUCGGAUCGGAAAACAUAUUAGAAAUCGAUGGUGCAUGCACCUUAAUUAUUCAAAUUAAUCACAUGCAAUUUUCAUGCAGAAAUCGAUUAUGAAAUUCAUUUUCCAAGAUGAGAUCUAAUGGAACAGAAAAUGAGUCUAUGCUUGAUAUCUUGACUCAUGCUUGAAUAUAUUGAUUAUGGAGAUUGAACUCAAGUUUGGUGUCAAAACUAAGAAAUUUUUUGUAUCAGAAAAUAAUCAUUAGGUUAUGAACAUUAGUUCUUGAACUACAUCCAGAGUCAAUUUGUACCACCGCAGCCUGGCUGGUCCUACCAUGACAAAUUCUACACCACGGCAUCGCAAAGCAGCCCACGAUACCGCCGGUAACAUUUAUUGGCAUCUAGUAAGUAUAUGAGAUCGUGAACUACAUCGCAAACCAUAGACCAACUAACUUCUCUUUAUAUACUUAAUGAGAUCGUGAUAGUGCAUAAAGGGUGAUUGUGAUAUAUUAGAAUUACGAAAAAAAAAAUCCUAAUAUUACAUAUGUAAGUAUAUGAGUUUCUCUCAAUUAAAUAUAUAGAUAUGUUUUAUAGUCGCUGGAGCCUUUUUAGACUCAAAACAUUAUUCUUUGUUUGGAUCAAGUUGUUGUUAGGAUUAGAUACAGAAAAUAUUAAGAGUCUGUUUGAUAACUGUUUUUGAAAAUAAUUUUGAAAAUAUUUUUUGAGAACAUUUGUUUAAACUUAUUCUCUUAUUUUUGUAAAAUAAACGUCUAUUUGGAAACCCAAAAUAUUUUUAACUCGUUUUUAAUAUUUUAAAAUAUGUUUUAAAAAUAAUUUUUAUAUAUAGUAUUUUAUUUUUAAUAAUUCUACAUAUUUAUAUAAUUGUUUCUUAAAACAACCCUCAAAAAACUAGUGAAAACAUUAAAAAACAAUUAAAAGGUGUUCUCUAAAUACAUCAUAUUUUAUAGUCUUAGAAUAAAAAAUAGAAAAUAGUUUUUGGUUAUCAAAUAUGUUUUUUUUUUUUUUGAGAACAUAAAGCUGUUUUAAAAAAUAGUUCCCAAACAGACCCUAAACUCCUAUUUUCUUCUUAAAAAUGUCAAAAUUAUUCUUUAUUUUUAAUAAAAAUAUUUUUAAAAUAAGGUUUCGAAAUAUAUAAAUUUAAUUACACAUAACUACACCUAUUUUGACUUUAUUUGUUUUCACUUUUAAAUACAAAAGCUAAAAAAAAACUCUUCGUUUCACACAUUACAAUCAUUGAUUCAAACUUUUUUAUCAAUUGCAAAAUAUUCAUAACAAAACUACAUGAAAUGGGAUGAAUUUGGGCUAGGCUUAGGGUGACCAAGCCAGGUCAGGCCCAGUCCAAGAUAAGGAAAACGGGCCACCAGGCUCCUUUUGCUGCCCUUUGUGUGGGCAUUCCAAAUAGGCCCUGGGUAGACCAAUCUGGUUAGCCUUUGAUUGGGCCUUGAAAAUCAAAGCGGGGUUGAAGGUUGAAGCUCGUCAUACCUAUAUUCGGACACUAGCUGGGCCUAAGUUUGUCGGUUGGGUUUAUGCUUAUCCAUCUAAGAGCUGGGCCAAUCACCAUUGCUAAAUGAGUCAGUUGUGGACAAUGGAUGUGUGGUUAAUGAAGAGACUUUCAAAGUCCAUUUAUAUAUACUGGCUCAUACAAGCCUUGAUUUCACAGCUAUAAUCAAUGAUAUAAGAAAACCCCAGAACAAGGGUUUCAUAAUUCAUACUGUAUCAUCUUUAUUGCGUCUAUGGUGUUACAUAUCAAAACAGUUCAAGCAUUUAACAUAAAUGGAUUCGUCGCCCUAGCAAGUGAGAUUAUCCCCCGUCGAAACACCAAGUUCAUUGCAGUAUUCAGUAUAAUACUCGACACGAGCAUUGACAGCAGCAGUGUUGCCACCAUCGCAUUCGAUACUGUUAAUAGCCCGAAUCGUCGCACCGAACCCUUGGUCUAUGACAGAGUGCACAUUGGUCAUCCAAUACCACAAGGCAGUCUUAAAUGAUAUGUCAACAUCGGUUGCUACUGUUUCGGGAUUGUUCAAGCCAUCAAACCCAAUGCUAUCCCCAGCUGCACCAUAGUUGUAGUUCCAUGAUAGUUGAAUCGGUCCACGCCCAUAGUAAUCCUUCCCGGACACACAUGGAUAUUGUGUGUUGUCCUCAUCACAAUAGUCAUUCGACGCACCAUCUAUCUCCUCUAUGUAACAAAAGUCUGCACAUACACAAAAUUCCACAUUAGAUUUAUACGUAAUUGGUUCUCAAAAAAUUUAAGGGAAAAUGUAAGAAGAAAAUUAAAAAUAAAUAAAUCAAUAAAGCUUAUAUUUUAAUUUAUCAAGAUUAAAAAAUUUAAAAAUAUAUAAAUUUUUAACUAUUUUUAAUUAUCAUUGAUUUUUUUCCCUAUUUUCCCGAUGAAACCAACCUUGAGAAUCAUUUUUUUUAAUUUUUUUUUUUUUUUAGUCCGGGGACAAAGCCUAGAAUUCAAUGUGAUAUUUUUUUUAAAAUAAUUGAAAUAUAAGACUUUUAUAACGUAAAAAGAAAAAAAAAAUAGAUGAUAAAAUCUUACGUCCAGUCUCAUGCGUGACAUGUCCAAAGAAGGCUGCGAUCUCACGGAGAGAAUCAUCCGUGGAACCUUCCGUGCCAAACCGAGGAUACGAAUUCAAAGCAUCGAGAAACGCCGCCCGGGUGUAGAAGUUCUUCCCGGCGCAGCUCGAGUCAGCUUGAUCAAUAAUCCCAUCAAAGAAUUCCUGUGUCACAACAUCCGAGACCGAGACAUUGUUACUAGUCGAAGUGCAAGGACCGGACUGGCAGCCGGUGCCGCAGUAGUCGUCGCCGGUGCCACAGUACCCCCACUGGCUGCAACACUGGUCAGAGGAGCAGCCGCAGUCCUGAGCCACGGUGGACCCCGGCAGGGCUCCGGCGAGGAUGCCGGCGAGAAGGAUUAGAGCUAGGGCUUUGGAUUCCAUGGCAGAAUGAGAGAAAGAUGUGCAACGUGAUUAGGGUUUGAGACUCGGGAGAAGUCUACUUAUAAUCGAAGAUGGAGAAUUGAAAAGAGACGAAUGCAUGUAUUAAAUCAGUUUGGACAUGCAAAGCUUGUGGUGGGCGUGUACGAAACGCGUAGUGGGAGCAUGGCUUUGACCCGCCCAUUUGAAGAGAAUCGGCUGUUUUCUUCUACCCAAAAGUCAAAACCGAGUAGGUUUUGAAACCGGGAAUCCUUCCCGGAAAGAAAUAAGAAUGGAAAUAGGAUGAAAAUUUAUUAAAAUCAUGAUAAAUGUGGAAGCAAGGAGUAAUGUAUUGAUAAAAUAUGACUUGAUUUUCAUAAUAAUAAAUUUUGAAUCUAUACUUUUUCAUUCUAAAAUAUAAUGCAUAGAUGAAAAUAAAAAUCAAUUUCACAUUAUUAUUCUAAAAUAUACAAUUCAUUUAUUUCAUGCUUAAUUUUGAAGCAAGUAACAUUUACAUUUUUCGAUUUUAUUCUAAAAACUCAUCCAAAAAUAAUUUUAGGAAAUGUUUUUAGUUCUUUUAACACUGAAAAUAAAAUUUUUCAAAAUAUUAAAAAUAUUAAAAACGCUACCGAUUCUAAAUCAAUUUUAUAUUAAUAACUUAACAUGGUAAUUGAGUUUUCAUUUAUGAUAGAUUGUGAGUUUGAACCUUAUGCAUAAAUAAGAAUCAAGUUUAAGCUCUCGCCCUAAAUUGAUAACAUAACAAAACAAUUUUUUUUUAUUUGAUCAUCUAGAAUGUUAUGUGAAAUAAAUUUCCUUACUGUCCUUGCCAUUAUAGAGUUGACUAUAUUAUCCAUUGUCCAUGCAUGUGCACUAAGAGAACAUUCCAUUUGACUGAAACAUUAUAGAAAAAGUCAUAGUUGUGGGCUGCAUGGUGGUGUGUUGAUCUUAUCUAGAAGUAGGGUUUUACACUUGGCAUCACAAUGCUUAAUUUUGACUUCUAAGAAAAAUUCUUAUUUCUUAUGCUAAUUAUUAUAUCAUAAUGUGAAAUUUUGACCGAAAAAAGUCUUAUUUCUCCAACGUUGUCUGGGGACUUUUUCUUUGGAUGACCAAAGCCUAACAUAUGUACUUUGAAUCUAUUCAUAACAACUUCUCACGCUAUCGAUUUAUUUAUAAAUUAUAUGAAUUAAUUAAAAUUUUAUUUGUUUACUUCAAUUUCAUCAUUAAAAAAAUGAUUAAAAUAUUGAAUAUACAUUAAAAUUUCAAUAUCCUCAUUAGAUAAUAAGUCAAUAUUUACUUGAGAAAAAAAAAAUAAUUUCCUCAUAUUUGAUUUUCCUAUGUAAAAUAUAAAAGAAACUAAAAUAUAAUUAAAAUUAAUAAAUAAAUAAAUAUAUAUAUAUAUAUAUAUAUAUAUAUAUAUAUAUAUAAAUUACUUAAUUUUUAUAUAAAUAAAUAAAUAAAAUAAAUUUAAAAUAUAAUUUAUUGACUUUAAAUUUUAUUUUUUUUUCCUUUUACCUUUCAACUAUAUUUUCUUUGGCUCUAUUUUCCCUCCAACUUUCUAGAAGCCAUCUAUACUUUCUUUGCCUCUAUUUUCCCUCCAACUUUCCAGAAGCCAAGUAUAGCAGAAAUAUCUAGAUCAAAAUUUUAUUUAAACAUGCAAAUAUAUAUAUAUAUAUAUAUAUAUAUAUAUAUAUAUAUAUUCUCCACUUAUUGUUCAUACCAUUUAAAUUUAUUUUCAAAAACAAUCCGUUUUCAAAACAAAUUUUCCAAAAAACUGUUUUAUAUAAAAAAUUUGUUAAAUAUGUCCUCCGUGUUAGAAAUUUGUUUUUUUAUUUUUAAAAACAUAAAAUGGUUUUCAAAAACAAUCCCCAAACAGGACCAUAAAAUUUUCACUGGAGUUUCCCCCCAACCUCUCUUUAGUAAUGAUUCAAUCCUUGGGUAGAAUAAUCAGCAUUGGAGUACUCCAAGUCCAUUCAUUCUGAUAUUCAAUAGCAUUUUAUCUAGGCAGCUUCUGGCUUAUCAUCCUGAGUUACCCUUCCUUGGAGUGCCCCAAAAACACCCUAAAACCCUAAAUUAAGGUAACUAACACACUCCAGAAAUGAGUAAAUCAAACUUGGAAAGCUAAUGCAUUCCAUAAUUACUGUCUAGAAAUUGAACAGUAAUGGAAUCCGAGACAAACCUCUUGAGGCGAUCAACUUGAAGAUACACUGCAGUGGCCAAACUUCCUUGCCCAGAAAUGCUGGUAUCCUGAACUUUCGAAAGAUCUUGAUCAAAAGUUCUCGUUGCCUUUCUCACCCUCGUACCCUGAUGCCUUUCCAACUCUCCCAAUCAAAUAUGGUUCAGGCGAGGAGUCGUUGCUAUGCAUCUCAAGGCCAUGGUAAGAUCGGGCUGCAAAGAACUCGCCUCCAGAUUUAGCUGUUCCCUUGAUUAGGGAAUUAGGGUGCUUGUCCCGCACUUGUAGAGCUUUCUCUGUUGCAUAUGCUAAAGCAAGAGCACCGUCUUCAUCUUCUUCAGCAUCCUCUGUCUCUGCAACAAAUACAAAUAUUUAUCAAAAGUAGGAAACACUGACCACAUGUAAGAUAUUAAUCAUUUGGAGCGUCAAAAGCCCUGAAAGACUGAAUCCCAGUAGGGCUCAACCUAAGUAGAUACUGCAGAUUAUAAAAGCCACAGGGAUGGACAUGACUAAAAAUAGAUCAAUAAGAACAAAAAGGUUAACCUGAUGCUAGUCAAUAUUGAUCAAUUAUAAUCAUUUUUUUUUUUUUUGAUAAGUAAAGAGAAGUAUAUUAAAAUGAAUGAGGAGACACCAAACUAGUGCCCUCUAGGUAUACAGGGAGUAUACAAAAGCAGCCCCUCGACUCUAAACCAAGGUAGCGGGCCGAAACCCCUACCUAUAACUAAAGCCUAGCCACUCAAAAAAGCUAACAAGAGAUCGCGGGCUCAAAACUAUAACACCCUAACCCAUGACCACAGAUUACAUACAAAAGAAUGUUUCAACCUUUGGAUUGACAACACCUCAUUCCCAAAAGCCAACAAAUUUCUUUCCUUCCAAACUGACGAAAAUAUACAUGAGGGAGCCAUUUGCCAUGCCUUUUUACGGAUUUUCCCCACAAACGCUCCAUGCCACCCAAGGAGAGUUUCCUUAACUGUACCAGAGAGAACCCACUCCACACCAAAGAGAGAAAAAAGAAGAUUCCACAAUGCCCUCAUCAUAACACAAUGGAGUAAAAGAUGAUCCACCGUUUCUGCUUCAGCAAAACAAAGAAAACACUUAUUUGCCAAAGAAUAACCCCUCCUCUAGAGUUGGUCCAAAGUUAAGAUUUUGCCCCAAGAAGCUUCCCAAGCGAAAAAAGCUACCUUUGGAGGCACACACGCUCUCCAAAUACCAACAUAAGGGAACAGAGCAGAACCACCAGGCUCCAGAGUAGAGUAGAGCGACUUGACUAAGAAAACACCACUUCUAGAUGUUGUCCAAACCAUCUUAUCCUCGUUCUCCCUUUGCACCCUAAAAGCUUGUAUUUUUAGCAUAAACUGUUCCAUCAUCUCAAUUUCCCAGUCAUUAAGCGCCCUUGAGAAAAGAGGGGUCCAACCAUCCCCUACACCAUCUGGGUUCCACACUUCCGAUACCCAGGCAUCUUUAGCCCGAGAAAUGGCAAAAAGAGAAGGGAAGGACUCGUAGAGAGGCUCAUCUCCACACCACUUAUCCUUCUAGAAUCUCACUCUCCGACCAUUGCCCACACGGAAGGCUAAACUGCUAUACAUACCCAACCACUCCUUUCUAAUAGCUUUCCAAAGCCCUACACCAUGUCUCCCUCUUUCGGCCCGAGUACACCAACCCCCCUCCUCUACACCAUAUUUGUGACUGAUCACUUGCUUCUACAAAGCCUCACUUUCAAUGGCAAAACGCCAAUUCCACUUACCCAAGAGAGCUUUAUUCAUCAACGCUAAGUUUCUUAUCCCUAAACCACCUUUCUUUCUUUCCAGACAAACCAGUAAAUUAAAAUACCUUUUGAGUUUUAAAGGGAGGGGGAUUCGAACCCCUUCCCUUAUGGAUUUCAAGAAGAGCCAAGAUCAAUUAUAAUCAUUUAUACAGAAAUGAGUGCUAAUUCAAUCCACUUCAAUUUCGAUAUCAACCUUUGCUUUAAAUAUGAGGGGGGAAAAUGAAAAUUUAAGUACCGAAAAACACAUAAUUCCUAAGCUUGAAUUUCCAAUAGUGAAUAAAUCAUAGAUUUUUCUGUUCGUGAGUUACAGCUUACGAUUGAUUGUGAAAGAGUAAAUCACAUCCAACAUUUUCAACGAUGAGUGAUCUUGGUUGAUGAAACCAUAUAUGCCAGCCAAGAUAAGUAGUUUUCCCCACCAAUAGUCUUAUAGCUCCCAGUUCUCUUUGCAGGAUACGUUAAAGGGUAAGUUUAUUCUUCUAACAUUUAUAAAAGGACAGUUGGUAUCUCAAUGUUUUACAUAAAAGGUCUCUUUGUUCCGUAAGGAACAAAACCCGAUACCAAAUUCUUAUGAAACUUUCCACACUACCAAACAAGACUAACUAUUUACUUGUAUUAGUCCUUCUCAAAGCACCAAGCAACCACGCAAAGAAGGACGAAAGGAUAGGCUUCACUGGUUUCAAUAGAAGUCAUUUCCCAACCCAAGGGAAAAAAGAAUGUUUUAGUUGGUUACUCGUUAAUUAAACAGAUUCUUCAAAUUAUGCCAUGUUACAUCCUAUAGCCUAAAAGAAAAUUUUACUUAAAUAGAAGAGAAAGUGAGGAGGUGUGUUUACCAUGAUGAAAUAAAAGAACAAAACUAGAAGUUGUUUCCUGCUCUGUUCUCAGGAUUGAAGAGAAACACAACCAAACAGUAUAGUCUAUAGUCAUUAUUAACUAAACCUCUUUUUUCACCAAGGAAGGCAGUCCCAUUCUGAAAGAAGUAGAUUGGAGAGAAAACUACCUUUCAAGUCAAAGUCUUCAACAUAUCCCCCUUGAAGGAAGGAAAAUCGUGCUUCUUCUGAUUGGUUUCUUACUUCCACUGGAGAUGAUGAAAUCAAAUCACGGAAUUCCAUAACAUAUGCUCCUGUCCAUUGACUUCCUCUGAGGAAUAAAAAGCAAAAACAAACUUUUUUAGGUAAUCUAAAAUCAACAAACAACAGAAGUUCUGGGAGUAAUAAACUGGACCUAUAUGAAUCCUCGGAAACAUUAUCCCUUUCUGUACCCUUCACCUCGGCUUUUGCGUUUCAUAUCCUGACCCCAUAAUUUUUACUUCAUUUUCAUUUUUCUAUUUGCAUUUCAUAUUCUGCAGAUUAGAGAAGGUGUCCGUCGUGCUACCAUGGCCUAACAUGUGAAUUGGAAAAGUAGAAGUUUGGUUUACAGAGAGCAGAGAAGUUCAUGCAUUUGACACCCUAAAGCAACUGGAGUCAAAAUUCAGAACAUUUCAAAUAUCCAAUGAAUAUGGAAACAAAACAAAGAUUUUCACCAGCUACAUGCUAGAAUACAGACAUUUCUUCCAAGCACGAUCCCAACUGACUCAACAACCUUAUUGUUUGCAAAGGUGCCCAUCCAGAGAAGUGGCUAAAUUGCUUUCAAUAUUUUGAUAUUUGUAUUAAUUACUAUAUUUAGCAUUAAUGAUGACUCCCCAAGUUUAAAUUCUUUAAUAUUCACAAGCUUGAAUAAAGGAAAGGUUCCAUAGCAUCCAAAUGAUGAAUCCCCAAUAGAUCAGCUAAAAUAUGACUCCCAAAUGAUGAUAACUGCUAAUUGACUUUUACCAAAGCAUCUAAUUAUCAUAAACCUAAUGCUCUACAAAUAUUGAUUUCUUAUUCCAGUCAAGAAGGAAGAGGGGCAGGCACUUAUUGAGAAUUCUCUUCCAGUUGAUAGAGACACAGGCAGAAAUGAAGAAACACUCCUAUGAUAUUUUGUGUGAAAUUUUAUUUAUAGCAGAAUCAUCGAGUGAUAUCUUAUGUGAAGCAUGAGGAGCAUCAGGACAUUAGGAGAGUUACUGGUUAACCCCAAAAACUGGUGUUGGGAUGCCCCAAGGAAACUGUGGGAAAAGCAGCACUGAUCAUUUAAAAUAGUAAAGAUUAAAAUCAGUUCAAAGUACAAAUAUGAAGUGUAUUCAAAGCAGUACCUGUUGAAAGCAAGCAUCGCUUCGAAAGGAGUAAUUACUGGAGCUAGGAAUUCUUUACUAUCCAAGAGAGCAGUUUGGGCACAAGAGACAUAUAUGAAAACAUCACACUGCCCAAAAUGUAGAUGUCAUUAGAACUCAAAUAUAUUCUUAUCACCCCUAGCAGAAACCAGACAAUUAUCCAUUUACAUGGUUCAGAAGAUUACCUCAGGAAAGUUGGCAAGUUUUGCAGGGUUUGGUCUUCCCAUAACAAGAGUGUAUGCCUUCUUCCCCGCUGCUGCAAUUAGCUCUUUCAUCUGGCGGAUCAUAUGAAGAUAACCAGCUGCAUCAAUAGUUGAAAAUUAAAUAAAUGACCUUCUAGGAUCACAAAGGAGACAUACAUGAUCACAAACACAAGCAAACUUCCAAACAUUUGCAUGAUAGAUUUUAAGGAGGAGUUAAUGUAUUGGAGGUUCGGGGAAAAGCUAAAUUCAGAAUCUGAAUCAAUCAUGGCAUACAAGUGUCUUGAUCUCAAUAAACCGACCAGAUAGGAUGGACGGAUCUCACUAACUUUUUUUCAUGUUUGAAUUUCUCAAAAUUAAAUAGAAAACCAAGAAAGCCAAAGAGUGAAGCUAACAACCAAACCCAGACCUCAGUGGUACCCAUAAGAUCUGAAACUAUGUGCAGGAUCAUUGUCCACGUGAUUUCCAAAUAAUGGAUGUUUAUCAGAACUAAUCAUUUGUGAGUAGGAAACCAUGCUACAUAGGUAAAAGAGAAUUUUGACACCAAAGCAUCAUCAAACUUCAAAAGAAAUGGCUAUAGAAAAAUUAAAAUUAAAAUUAACAAACAAAAAGCAGCAACAAGAAGGAACAAAUCCAUCAACAACAACAGCAGUCCACCAAUGUUUAUAAAACCUUAGGCAUGGAAUAUCUGCUAAGCCAUGAAGACUAGAAGAAAGCAUCAAAAUAAAUAAAAAUGCAUUGCUGUUACUUUUUCUCUUGAUAGGUAACAGUGUUGUCACAUUCUGUUCAUAUUCAUUUUAAUCUUAAGCAAUGGGAGCAUAGACAUAAAACAUGCUCAGUGAAACUAUGGAAUACAGGUUCACAAAAAACUGAUUUUCAAUUCCAAAACAACAUAACACUAAGACUUUGUUCAGAAAAAAAAACCUAGGGGAUCUUCAAGAACAGUAAAUUACAACUAGAACUCACAGGGGAACAUACCUACACCAAGAGUUCCCACCAAAAGCCCAAUAAUAUUAGAAUCCUUUGCCUUCUCCACUAAGUAAUAUCUGUCAACAUAUUCCUCAGAAAAUCAUGCAACAAAACUAGUAAACAACUGAUUAUAAAGGAACAAGAGAGAGAAUUACAUCAUCACAUAAGGACAUAGACAUUAAAUGCAUUGUAAGUUUAGCAGAAGCACAAGUACUACCUACGCUUGAGAAUCCUUCUCUGUUGUGAUAAGUCUGUCACCAAACGAUUAUCCACUGCAUCAUAUCUGACUGAACAAGCAUCAAGACAAUUAAAUAAAGGUUGAACUGAAAAUAGAAAACUGGAACACUGGGUAAUUCAAGUGGUAUGCUUUAUCUAUUCUGUAACUAAUCUCCAGGAAAAUAACAGAACUGACAAACUUGCAGAAUUAUUUCAAGAACGUUUGGUUAAAAUUCAGGGUCCUCAUUAAGGACUAGAAGGAAUAACACACAAGUGCCCACUAUUCCAAGGUCCCUACUAAUGUACCAGGACAAACUAGGGAAUAAAAGUAUGCAAUUGUGUAGCUUUGUCCAGGAAUGUCCAUGGCAAAGAGAUCCAGUCCAAAAAUCAAAACUAUCAAGUCAGAGGAAAUUUUGGUCAUAUCAAAUUAGCAAUCUAACAGCUAUUGACUGGAUUGAGAGGAGGAUACGGAUGUUUGCAGUGUAUAUAUAAAUCCACGGAAGCAAUCUCAUCCUUUCCAAAAAGCAAAUAGAUUCACCAUAAAAUAAAAAGAUAAAAACAGAAAGGUCAAUGCAAACAUCUUCAGCUAUACAGUUUUUUCAGCCAAAUAGACCUUUUUUUUUUUUUUUUGGAUAGGCAUUUUCAGCCAAAUGGACGUAGGCACACACUAAAAUGAUAUGUACAGUGCAAAUGCUAUACACAUGUAUAUAUAAGGAAAUAUGGCCAUAAUGUUUAUAAGAAAAGAGCACUUCUACCUAUGUCACAGCCAUUGAAUGUCAGUACAACAUUUGCAAAUGCUGAAUUAUCAGCACCAAUCCAAACCAACAAGUAGUCCUCCAUUCUGUGUCCCUCAGGUAGAUUCCAAGCCAAUCCUCCAAUGCUAUAUCUAGUACCAGUUGCCUUUCCGAAACCUUCAUUGGCAGUAAAGCUGCCAACUGAUCCAAGGUGCCCAUUGGAGGUUGUACAAUCUUUUGAUGGAUUCAUAACUGAGCACAUAACUUCAGCAAAGUGGAAUUCCAAGUUGGAUGUGGACCCACUUAGCUUUGAUGAUUCAAGCAUCAAUGCUUCCUUGAUCAUUUCUAUGGCAUGUGAAUAUUCCAGCCCAAAAAGAACCUACGCUUUAGAAACAAACAGUAACCAAUUAAAAAAGAUUAGACCAACAACCACUGCAGAAAAGCAUGUAGCCCCUAUGACAAUAAGCUAAUCAGAAAGGUAAAUACAAAAGCAAUCUUUAGGAUAAGGUUGGGAUGCAAGAGGAGAAAACAACUCAAGGAAAAGCACAAUCAUCAAAUCUUAUGCAACCUCACAAUCACUACGGGGCAUUUGGGCAUCCCUUGAAUCAAUCCUUGUGUUCUGACAUGACUUACAAAAGUAAUUAGUUCGAUAAGAAAUUUAACUUGUAUACAUCACCAAAAAACAACAUAAAAAAUCAUAUGUAAGUCAUUUAUUGGAAACCAAAAUGCCCUUAAUUUUACACAAGUGCUAUCCAUUUAUUGGCCUCCUUAAUGAAGUUAAGAAUAUUAUAGAAAUAUAUGUGCAGCAAUGACAAAGAAUUCACUCUUCUGGCCAAUCUGAAGCCUUCUGGCCUUAAAGGGAGAAAGAGUAACAAACAAAAUAUUCUUCUAGCCAGCCCCAAUUAGUUGGGGUUUGAGGAUUUGUUGAGUUCUGUUCAGUUGUUGAAUAUGAAAAAAAAUUAUCAUGGUUUACAAUGUUAAAUUAGUAUAAAAAAGCAUGUAUUAGGUCACUGAUCAUACCAUAAUAUGCUUGCCUUGAGUCAAUGCGUAGGUGGAUAAAUUCUCAGCACAAUUAGAUAUACUGAUGGGUGCCUUCCCAAAAACAAAGAAUGCUGGAAGAUUUGAUGUCCUGCAAAUACAAAACUAGGUAGACAAUAAAAAAUAGCAUCUAAUUCGACCAUCUGAGCAGCAUCGAGGGCUAAACAACCAAGAUCAAUUAUUGCACUAUAAAAUUCUUACCUCAAAACCUUGCAGAAAAACCACAAGGGAAGGAAAAAACAUAAAUAUAAAACAAGAAAACACUUGUUCAAAUCCUCAAACCAACUAAAACCUGAAGUCAGAACAAAAAGCCAGUAGAGUUAACUUCUAAACCUAAACACCUUCAUGUCUAAGUUAUAGCCCAAUCUUUCUGCACCUAGCACACUUCCAUGGACAAUUCCCCAACAAAACCAAAACAUUCAGGUCUAAUAAGGAGUGACUCAACAUAUUUAUCCCUUAUUAGUUGCUUAGGGGGAGGAAUUAUAGGCCCUUACUCAGUUUGAUUAGUCUAUAUUUAAGUCAAGAGAAAGCUGGAACAUUGCAGCAGAUUCUUAAGAAAGGAUUCAGCUUUUUUUUUUUUUUUGAAAAAAGAUCAAGGUUUUAAGCUUGUUAAGUACUAUGGUUUCAUACAUAGGUUCAUCUUUUCCCUCCUUCACAUGAUGCUCGUUAGAGGUACUCGUCUUCUUCUUCUUCUUCUCUCUCUCUUUCUUCUUAUCAUUCUAAUCUCUUCUUCUAUCAUCUCCUCCCUUCCUACUUAAACUACAUUGUUUUUGCAUUACUAGUAAUAAUAAAAAAGAAAUCAAACAAGUGUGCUGCUGUUUUCUCUUUGAAGCCCAAUUCAUUCUUUAUAUUAAUCAAAUAAAGUUCCUUCAACCUACCAAUGCCCAUUCACCCCUUAUGCUCUCCUUAGUCCUUAGUUUGAGCCUAGGCUUACUAUUGAGGAAUUUUACUUGAGGAAGUGACUUUCAUUAGAUUUCAAACCAGCAACACAUACACACAGUGCUGCUUACUUUUAACUAUUCUUAUUUAUUUGGUUUGUCCUAAGCUUUUGCAUCUUACAUACUCUUCAUGCUAAUAAGAGAUUUAUUAGAAAUAGUAAGCAUUUAUCAAAAACUGUUUAUACUGCUUCUCUGGAAUCCAAUCUGCCUUUAAGGCUUGCUUCAUUUCCUUUUUGUUCUUUUUUUGGCAUUUUUUAAACACACGCACAGAGCUGCUUUUUUUAAAAACUAUUUUUAUUUUAUUUAACACACACACACACACAGCUGCUUUCUUUUAACCAUUUUUUUUAUUUGGUUUGUCCAAGCCUUUGCACCUAAUAUGUUGGAUGAAACAGAUAUUCGAAGAAGAAAAAAUUCCAUAAACACUAUAUUUUUUAUCAAUAUCUUUUAGGUCUCUUGAUGCCAAUAAGAGAUUUAUUACAAAUGGUAAGAAUUUAUUAAAAAUUACUUAUAUGGCAUCUUUGGAAUCAAAUAGUCUUGCUUUAUUCUUUUCUGUUUUUUUUUUUUUUCUUUUGGCAUUCUUUUAUUUAACCCACAUUGUAGUCCUCUUACCCAACAAAACAAUGAAUAAAAAUGAUAAUGGUAAAAGAGCCCUUGAGAACUAGCUCAAGUGGUAAAGGGUUGGGGAGGACUUGUGGGAGGUUCCAAGUUCAAGUCACAAUAAGGACAGAAAAACAAUGGCAAAAAGAAAUCCUGUAGAUAAGUUUCUCAACUAAAUGGAGAUUAACAAAAGAAUAUAUAGAUUGAGUUAACAUUUCACGAGGCCUUGAACCCACAGUUAUCAUCAUUGUGAUGACAGAAGUUAUAUCCAGGUUCUGAGUUUAUGUGGUUUUUCAGUAUUUCAUCGUGUCUGGAUGAUUUUUGCACAUGCAAUUUGGCAAAACACAUACACACACACACAUACAACCCUGAAGCAUUUUCUGCUGCUCACAUUUUCAUAGCACAAUACAUAAUGCAUAAGUUGAGCAAAACAAAACUUGAAAACCCCCAAAAAGUUUCUAAAGCUUGAUAUAAAAAUUUUAAGUGUGAAGAACAAUACUCACGGACUCAAACAUGUGUGUCCAUAAUGAACAACGCAGUCAGCAUUAAUAUGCGAUGCUCCAACCUCAUCCACACAACAACUACCAUAUGUUGUAUCUGCCAUUACAAACAGCCCAACUUCUUUGCCAUCUCCACUUCCUGAUUCACUGGGUGACUCUAAUCUGUCCCUCAAAGCUUUUACUACUCGUGUAGCAUCCUUCAAGAGCUCAUCCGGAAACUGAAAUUCAAACCACAGUAACUUGUAAUUCAGGCUAGUAAGAAUAAGAAAGAAAAUCCAAUGCUAUAUUAGGUUGCUGAGAAAAUUUAGAAAUAGAAGAAUAAGAAUCCUGAUCUGAUUUCUUCUAUUGUUUAUAAACUCAAGAAAAAAAUAUAGAUUAAAAGGAUUUCACCAAGCCAACUCAAAUAGAAAUGAGAUUCAAAGUUUGGUAGCAUGAAUGGUUCUGUUCUCUAAAAUAUUUUUUCCAAGUAUGUACUCAAAAAAAUAAACAAGAAAACAAAGGCAAAACAAAACAGAAGCAACAUCAGUUUAAUAUUCUUUGUGUGUUUCUGCAUGUUCUCCUUGUAUUCUAGAUAUAGUUGUAGAAAACAGAGAAUGUCAAUUUACAAUUCCCUAAGAAUACCCUAUUUCUAGCCAAGUUUUUGUGUUCACUGGAACAAAAACAGAACUAAAACAUGGCCUGGGUCUAUUCUCUUCAAUCAGAUAGUAAUGUAUUUGGCGAUGCUCAGAAAAAGUAUGGUAAGAAAAUAAGUCAAAUUUUCAGAAUCUUUGGUAUUAUGAUAUUUGGGACCCAAGAAAAAAGAAGCAAAAAAUAACCUCUGACUCAACUGAAAAUAAAGAAAUUGGAUCAAUAUAGUUGAUUUUUUUAAGGCAAAACAACAUAAAAUAUGGCAUUCAAAAUUCAAGCCACAAGAACUUUGAUUCAGGUCAUAAUCAAUGGAAAUAAACCAUGACCUCCAUUUGGUUACCGAGAAAAUGUAGGAAAAUAAAGGAGAUUCAAAACUUCUUGAAUCUUAAAAUGUGAAUUGCUCAUGAAUUAGCAACAACUUUCGGCUGAACUCAGAAUUUCAAUUAGUAGAAUCAUUUGGAUCAGUUGAAAUAUACAACUGCUUCGCAAUUAUUAUGAGAUUUUCAUUCUCUAGAAACAAAACAUUGCACAUAAGAGUGCUGAAGACAAGUGUAGCAGAAAGCCAAAAACCUCCACUCAACUGUUUCACGUUAUUCAUGAUGCAAGUGUUUCAUGUUCAGUAAAGCAAAAACAACAUUAAAUGCAAAGAUCAACGCUUUUCUUCUUCUCCCCAAGUUUCUCAGAAACCAAACGAAGGAUAGAGAAGAGGAGGUUUAUCUAGGGCGUUGGCUCAGUCGAGUUGAGUUUUCCUCAAUUUCAACAACAAUAAUAACAAUACUCCAAACUUUUUCUUUUCGUCUCCUCCGUGUUCCCCGCUCUGUUUUGAUGCAGAGAAAAACAACAACCAAAACACAAGAAAGAAGAACAGAAGAACCGUAACAAUCAAAAAACAAAAAAUUUCUAUUGUUUGUGUCUAGUCCCCUGGACUUUUUCUUGGCGGCCAAACGUACCUGCAAAGCGACUCUGGUGAAGUUCCGGCUGCGUAUGAAGUCGGCGGUGAGGGCAAUUUCGUAAUUUGAUUCUAAUUCCAUGGGCGAAGGUGAAGAAGCAGCUGCUCUCUCUCAAGCCUCCGCCGUGAAAAAAUAGAUAAAAAGAAAUAAGCGAGAGAAGAAAGCCGAAGAAGGAAACGGGUCGGAUUGGAUCCGUAUCUGCAUCCUAUGCAACUUAUACCAAAUAAUUUAUAUAUUUGGAAAAAUAUAAAUGAUUUAUAAUUUUUAUAGUGUUCUAUAAUAAAUAAAAAUAAAAUUUUGGAACUUUUAGAGGUUGAUUCUCUUUUAAGUCUCCAUAAAUUUUGACUCACAUCUUAGGCUAUGUUUGGUUUCGAAAAAUAUGACAGAAAGAAAAAAAAUAUUAAGAAAAAUUAUUUUUUCAUGGUUAGUCCUAUAAUUAAAAAAAAGGUUAAAUAUAAUUAAAUUUAUUAAAAAAAUAUGUUUUAAAAUUAUUUAAUAUUUAUAUAAAAAAAUUAAAAAAGUGAAAAAAUUUUAAAGUAUUAUAUAAAAAUAAUUUAUUAAUUUUAAAUUUAUUUUCUGUUUCCUUAUUCUUUAUUCCCUUCUACUUUUCCUCUCUUUUUUUUCUUCGUAUUUUCCUUCAAAUACUCCAAUAUCCAAACAUAACCUUAAUCAUUUGAAAUCGAAAACAGCUUGAUUUUGGGUUUUUAAACAGAAACUUAUAAAGUAUUCUCAAAAAAAAAAUUUAUAAAUCAAUAAAAAAAAACAUAUUGAGAAACACAUUGAAUAAUUCUUCCUUUGCCAACACCUCCUUAAAAAGGUUGACAAAGUAAAUUGAGAGCAUAUCCAUACUAGUUGUAAGACACAUUGUUUAAAAAUCAUCCACAAGGUCUAGGGUUUCUCCAACAAUGUAAUUAUAGAUUCUUAACCCUUCAUCCCUUACAACAACUACAAAAUAUUUUGGUGAAUUAUGUAGUACUUGGUACGAUGUAAUUGACUGCGAUAGUGAAAAAGUUGACAAAUAAGUCACCAGUGCAUCACAGAAUGGUACACGAGAUUUUCACAUGAUUCGACACACCGAAAAACCAUCUUCUUUACCAGCAGUUCAACUUGAAGUGAAGGAUACAACUCAAAACACUUGAUCCUGGAUCCUGUUUUCUAGCUUGUUUCUGCUUGGUCCCCCCUGCAAUCAGCAACAUGUACAUAGUUACCAUCCAUCCUGCCAAGAAUAAUCAUGCAUACACCAGGCGAAAAAUAAUAAUAAACUCAAAAAAAAGAGAAAAAAAAGAGUAUAUUAGGGUUACUGAAAUUCAACUUGCAAGAAGUUUCAAGUUAAAUCAAUACUGUUGUAUAAGAAGCUGUAAAUCCUUCCUAAGGGAGGAAGAUGGCUCUGUUUUUCUCUGUGAACUUUCAUUUUUUUGGCCAAUUUAUUAGCAGAAUAAAUUACUGAACUUCAUCUUCUUGCUGCUUUAAUACCAUCAUAUUCAGUAGAUAUGGAUCGGAGCCUUGAGGAUGCAAAAGCCCGUCUUUUUUCCAGAGACCAAAGGCAAAACCAGAAAUAGUUAUAUGCCACGGGAAGCAAUCCAGAACAACUCACAUUUGUUAUGGAAAUAUGGUUCAUACUUCAUGAACAAAGAUUUUAACCUAACAGCAUCAACUAAAUGGGCAUGAAGGAAGGAAUGCAGAUCCUGCCAGUUCUGGCCUAUACCAUUUAAAGGGAACAGGAAGAAGAGUGGGUGAAUAAGGUAAUAUGAUCGGGAAAGCUCAUUCUUUAGGAUGGUAAGCACUCGGGCAGUUUCUAAUGAUUCACUCUUUUAUCAGAUGGCAUCAUGAGAACAGAUGAAAAAAACAUGGAUUCUCAUUGGAAUGUAGGGAAGGGAAUUACAAGGGAUGUUCAAUGCUAAUCUAAGAGUUGAAGAUCAAAUGCACUAAAUCAGGGCCUAGUAAAUCACUAUCAACUCACCAUGUAGUUGCAUUAACACUCAGUUUCAGUCGAUACACAUCAGAGCCUUGCAAAUAAAACCAUGAGAUCCUUCCUAAUCAAAUCCUUCCUCACAUACAGAUGAAUAAACAAACAAUGGAGAAACAACAAAACGAUAUGAUAAUCCCUUGUAUUAUUCCCAGACACCAAAAGUAAAACCAAAGUUCCCUUGCAAAAUCAACAUCACAUCUAUCUCACUCAAGAACUUAUAUCUGUCCAUGAACUUAGCUAUAUGGUUUGUGGGGGGCUUGGGUUACUUGAAGGAAAUAAACUGUCAAUGUAUGUGUAUUUCCAGUUUAGGAAGAGAAAGUAUAAUACCAUUAGAAAAACCAAACUUCACCCCCCAAAACUUUAACUUGUCAGCGUCAACUAAAUGGGCAUUGAACUAAUGCCAGUCAUUGGAAGGGAGAGACAUACACCCAUUCAACCCUGAACCUGAAAAAGAACUAGAUACUGAGUUGGUGAAUUGUAUACCAUGUCAUCAGGAAUGCCCAAAUUUUUAGUGUCAUGAGCGCUUGAGCAGUUCCUAUUGAUUCACUCUUUAGCAGAUGAAUUCACCAGAAUAGAUGGAAAGAACACCCGGUUUCAUUGAAAAGUAGGGAAGGGAAGGGAAUCAUAAUGCAUGUUCAAUACUUAUCCUAGACUUCAAGAUUAAAUUUAGAUCCAACCAAAAGAUUCAAUAGUUUGGUCACUUUCUUAAAUGAACUGCCAUGACCAGAUAUGUCAGUGGAGCCCAUCAAAUGGUGUAACCAAGUGCAUCAAAUUCAAUUCAGAAUAUUUUUCUCUAUUUGCAAAUGAACUGAACAAGUAGACGAAUAAUACUCACUCAAAUAUUUUAUUUACUGAAGCUGACAUCAGCCCUUGGUAGUCAACCAUUCACCCUUUGUGUGCAUAAGUCACCCGAAUAUUUCUACCAUCCAGUGACUGAAAGGGAGCAUGAAACACAACAUUAAUAGGUAAGGUAAUAACAUUUUUGUGUUAUAGUGAAGACAGAGAAGCCCAUGACACUCGAGAUUUACCUGACCAUCCAUCUCUUUCAAAGCUAUGUGGGCGUCAUCGUCAGAAGUGAACUGCACAAACCCAUAGCCUUUUGAUUUCCCACUCACAUGAUCACAUAUAACCUUAACUGCUAAACGUGAUAACACAAUUGCCUUAAGAACUUCAUGGUUAUAGACAAUGACAAAGAUGGUAAAUAUUGCUAAUGUCCCACCAUAUUACCUUCAAUUAUUUCACCGUACUGUCCAAAAGCAUCUUUUAGAAUGGUUUCAUUGGUAUCAUAAGAAAGACCUGCAUCUUGAAUUAUAUAUAUUCAUUAGCAUCUUGAUCUGAAGUAACUAAAUAAGAAUAGGAAGCUGAAUAACCAAGUACUGGGCCCCUUGUCAUUGAUACUUUGUAGACAAAUAAUUGCUCAUAUCUACUAGUCUUUACAGCUAUGUGCAAUUUAAGGGUAAAAAUUUACAUACUUUUUGAAUAAAAAAUUUAAGGGUAAAAACGUCUAAAUGAGCCUAUAUGUGCAAUUUUCAAUACAUUGAAGUUGUUUUUCCAAAUAUGGGUAUUAUCUCAUCCCUUUAAUCAAAUAGUUCUCACUUUUUCUACAAAAAAACAAAAAUAUACUAAGAUAGGAGAAGGUAAGGGAAGAAAAAAAACUCCUGCUAACAGAGUAACAGAAAAGAGGUGAUGAACCAAACUAAUGCUUGCAACAAGAUUGCAAGCAAGCCAAUGAACAUACCAAGUUGGCUUAUAAAAUGGGCAUGGUGUUUUUGCCGUCUUAAGAGUUUUUUGUCUUUAUUUUUCACACAUUAAAGAUACACUAAAAAGAAUAACACCAUAUCCAUCGUAUGAGAAAAUUUUCUUAGAAUACAUAUAUAUAUAUAUAUAAAGAGCCCACAAUCUCCAUCUGAAGUUUAGGUUUAGCUCUCAAUACUGAAUAGAAGAUUCUAGGUACAAAGAUUGAUAUGAUCUAAAUGGUUAAAGAUCUAUUAUACAUAGUUUACGCUUCUCAAAUCUUUCCCUUUCCAAAAGAGAUGGGCAAUGUCAAAAGCAAGGCAUUCACCACAAAAUUGCUCAACUUAUAUAGAGCUAAUACUAUGGUCCUAUGUUGCAUGGGUCUGAUUACAGGUGUCAGGUAUGGUAUGUGUCUAGGUGUAUAAUCCCUUGCACCUACAAAUUUUAGAACAUGAAAUUUGGCAAAAAAGGAUCUUAAUAACAAUCACUGACACUUGGGUGUGAGAUAGUAAAAGAAAAUAUAUAUAUAUAUCAAUAACAAAAACAAAGAUAGCUUUGAUAAAAACUCUCAUUCUUCUCUUUUAUCACAAUUUUUUCUUUCUGGCCCCUAAAUAUUUCUAGGAAAGUUCACUUCCAACAAGGAUCUCAUACCCACCACCCACACCCAUGUUGUGUCGAUACUCCAGGUGCGGUUGGAAGAUCCGAGCAUUGUAGCUAUGGUCAUGACCCUUCCCCCCUACAAGGUGAAAGCUCAGCCCAUCCACACUCCACAGAGCCAAACAAGGCAUCUAGAUUCUCAAUGACCACUCCACAUCAUCUAAGAAGCAUUUUGACAAACAUUACUCCUGCAUCUGAAAGCAAAAACUAAGGACAUUCCCAAAAUCACAGAAUUCUACAACUGUUUGCCCUUGAAUUCAAACAACCCAUUUCCUAUUAACACUAACCUAAAAUUUAGAGGCUAUUGUUAAUUACAUUUUCCAUAGUAAUAUGAUUUUGAUGCCAAACCAGAAAGAAUAUCUUAAACAAGAAAAGGUUAUAUCACAAUUGAUUGAUUCACAAGCAUACAGAACAAGAGGGAUACCUCCAAUGAACAAUUUUCUGCAAGAACCACGCGAUACCAGCCAUCUGAAACAAGGGGACGCAGGGGAGAGACAACGAAAACGAUUCAGAGACUGCAUUUUCUUUCUUCAGAUUUCACCUGGUGGCAAACAGAGAAAGAGAAUCCCUCUGAGAUGAAACCCAUUAUCAGGAAAACAACAAUUCGUAUCAACAAUACAAAAAUCUGAUUUUUUUCAACCACAAUUAUAGAUUCAAAAAUAUGGGAACGAAGAUCUACAACUAUAGAAAGUGGGAUUGACACUGAGCUGGUUGCUAAUAACCAAGCAACAUGAUAAAAAAUUUGAGAGAAUAUUUAAAAUAAAUUAAAAUUUAAAAAAAAAAAUUAUAUGCAGAGGAUAACAAAAAUAUAAUGGGUUUAAAUUGAAUUGAAGCUUACCAGUAAGAUUGGAAAAAUAAUGGGAUUGAAGAUUGAGAACAUGUUUCUAGUUCCAACAUGUAUUUUCCCACUUUUCUUAAUACAGAUAAAUCAUAUUAAAAAAUAUGAAUUUUAUUCGAAAAUAGAAAGUAUAAUGCAAAAAUUAAUAUUUAUUUUAUUUAAAUUAUUUAAUUAAACAUAAUUUUUUAGAGUGUUUUCAUCAAAUGAAAAUAUAUUUUAAUUUAAUUAAUUUUUAAAAAUAUAUCAUAAUUAUCCACAUUUUUUAAAUAUAUUUCCAUAUCAUAAAAUUUGAUCAAAAUUUUAGCAUAAUCCCCUUGGCUUGUAGUGGGUAUCAACUUUAAAAAUGAAUGCAUAAUUCAAGUGGCAUUAAAAUAAAUUUCUUAUUUUCUAUUUUUUUUAAAUAAAGAAUAUUAAUAAUUUUUAUUUAAAUUAUAAUAAACUCUCGCAUGUUUAGAGUGUGUUCAACAAUAUUUCUCUUUGAAGUGUUUCAUUUGAAAACAUUUUCUAAAAAGGUAUUAAAUAAAUUUUUAAAAAUAUUUGUACAACCUUCGUCAAUUCCUUUAAGUUUUAUUCUUACGGACGUAUUCCUCAAGCAAGAUAUUUAAUGCAUUAGCUACAACACUACAUGAAUCAAUAUAUACAACUCCUAGUAUCCAUAUUAACUAUCUUAAUUUAUAAUAAGAAUAUUUUUUGUAAAGAUUUUAGAAAAGCAUUUUUAACCUUUUGUAACACUUGAAUUUUUUUAUAAAAAAUGUUUUUAAAUACUAAAAAAAUUAAAAAUGUUUCCUAAAUUACUAUUAAACAAACUUUAAUUCUAUAAUAAUUUUUAAAAUUAAAUGGUUAAUUCAUAUUUGUUUUUUUUAGUUUCUACAUUUUAUAUGAAAUUAUUACUAAUUGAAAAAAUUAAAGUAUAUUCAACCAACAAUUUAAUUUUUAUAAUAUUUUUUAUUUUUAUCAAUAUGUCAAUUUUAAAUAAGUUGGCAAGCACGUGUUAUUAAUGUAUGAAUUAAAAAAAUUUAUAAAAAUAUUGGAAUUAGUUGGAAUAUAUUAAUAAGAUUAAUGUUUUAAAGUGCAUAUAUAAACCCUAAUAUGAAAAUAAUUUUCUAUCUCAUAAACCCCAAGCCCUAAUCUAAGGCACGUCUAUAGCGCAUGGCCAAUUCAUAUUUUAAUGACAAAUUUACCCUCUUAAAACCAUCAACAUGACCAUUUUGCCCUCCUUCCCUCAUCUUCUUGGAAAAACCCUCUCAAAAACAACCAAGUUGCAGAGAGUCGGAGACAGAGAAAAAGCGUUCCUCUAUGGCCACGGCAAGAUAAGCAAAGGAAAGGGACCGCAUGGCUUCCUUCAUGGUCAUCUCAUCUGCUUCAGUUGCAGACCCUUGUCCAGCUCUCAUGGCUGUACCAUUCACAAAGGCCUCUCCUUUGCCUUCUGGGAUGAUGCGCAUAUCUCAAACACCCAGAAUUGUUUUCAGGGCAACUGGGUUGAGACUCAAGAGUAGCAGUAUUGCUGCUGUGAAUGCGUCAAGGACAUACAAGCAAUGCAUGCCCGUUUGCUUGUUUGGUGGGAAAGGACAGUCUGAGGGUGACAGUGAGGUAAAAGGGUUGUGAUGAUUCAUUGAAUGGGUGAUUAAUGCUUCAAUUUGGUCUGUGAGGAACAGUUUAGAUGAUUGAGUGCUGCCCUUAUAAUUAACCCCUUUUGUGAUUUCUUUCUAGAAACCUAAUCAGAUGCUGUUAUGAUCAAAUUUUGUGGGAAAUUUGCUUGACCCAUCAAACCAUGUGUGUGUGAUUGGUUUUCUGGAAAGCAAUUUGUAUGAUUAGAAGCAGCACUUUUGAUCAACCCCAUUUGUUAUUUGUUUUUAAAAUUCUAGUCUAAUUUCAAAUUUUAGAACCCCAUCAGGCCCAUAUGCAUGUAUAGUUGAUCAAUGUGUAUAAUGGUCGAUUCAUUGAGUGUGUGGUUGAAUAUAGCAGAGACCAAUGUGGGCAGUUAACUAUAUUGUAUAGAAUGGGAAAUGGGAGUGAGUUCCCUAAGUUGACCUGUUUCCAUGAGUCCCAGUUGUGGAUGGUGGUCUCUUUUGAGUAUUGAGAUACAAUUAUGCAGUUUGAAGGUAUGGUUUUUCUUUAUUAGCAGCUAUGACUUGAGUAUUUAUCUUGAUUUUUAUCCAUUAUAAUCUGCACUACAUUUGCAAAUGGCGUUAAGAAAACGAUAAUCUCUUUGAAUGGAUUUUUUGAAUUGCUUCUCCAAGAGACACAAAACAUACCCUGUGAUUUCCCUUUGUAAAUUAAGGGCAUUUAUGCAUAUUUUUGCAUUGUGUCUUGUUGGAGAAGCAAUUUGAAGAAUCCAUUCAGAGGGAGUAUCAUCACUCUUAUGUUAGUAGUUCCUUUAAAUCAUUCAAAUGUUUUGUGUUUCAAAGAUUUAUUGGAGGAUAUGGCUUCUGAUCAAGCUAACUGGCAAAAAAGGAUUCAAUGUAUCAAUCUCAAACAUGUUGGAUUAAGGCUUGGUUGAGUAAGCUGAUCAUAGUGGUUGCAUAAUCUUAAAUGCCUUCCUAUCUUCAGCAUUGUCCUAGAGUCUUGAACCAGAAGAGCAGACCAACCCAAUUCUCUAGUGUCACCUCAACAACGCCUUACAUUCAACCACUUAAAGUUGAGUAUAUGAGUCCUUUUUUGCCAUAUAGAUCUAGGAGCCUCGGUGAUUUAAGUAUUUAUAUUCUUAGAGGUUUUGUGCUGGCUGGCUGUCUGCAUAAUGCAACCCCUUUCUCCAGGCUUGACUAGCUGUGCAGAAAAUAAAACUCUAAGCAUGACCCCUGUUUAUUCUUUUAUUGCAAUCUCAUUUACCAUUUAUUUACCUAUUCCAAGUGCUCCAAACUCACUGGAUUUAAUGCAGAAAACUAUGCUUAUUUUGUUUUGAGGUUGUUGGUUUGGUUAUUCUAAUUGCUAAUUUCUUUGUGAAUACACUUUCAGAAUAAUCUUAUUGACUUAUAACAGCUGCUGGUUACAAAUCAGUUUUGAUAUCAUAAAUGGUUCCAACUCCUCUUUUUCCUUUCACCUCGAUUAUUUGUAUUUCCAGCCAUUCAAAGUGGAUUUUUUUUUCUACCUCCAAUUUUUGCUAAGAAAAAGAUGAUUUGAGCUGCUUUUGGUUGUGGAAAUAUAAGGCAUGAACUCUCUUAGGGGACAUGUAGAGUACCCUGGCAUUGGACUAACCUGAUUGGAUGAGAAGUUCAUAAAUUACUUUGACUUAUACAUUAUUUUCAUUUGACUGGACUUCUCACUUUCUUCAGGCUUCUCCAUGGAAAGCUCUUGAGAAAGCCAUGGGAAAUUUUAAGAAGGAAUCAUCAGUGGAGGAUGUGUUACGGAAACAAAUUGAGAAACAAGAAUACUUUGAUGAUGGAGGCAGUGGGGGAAAUCCUCCAAGUGGUGGUGGAGGCGAUUCUGGUGGAUCAGAGGAUGAAGGCCUUUCUGGGAUUAUGGAUGAAGCAGUGCAAGUGUUCUUAGCAACUGUUGCCUUUAUAUUGCUGGUAAUAAUAUCUCUCGUUUUCUGUCUCACAAUUAGAAAUUCUAAAGCACAUUGUUUUCCAUUAAGAGUCAGAAGCAAGGGAAGAUUCUCAUGUAAUGGAAGUAUCCCUUUACGCGUACCACAAUAUUAUCUCCAAUUCAUUGGAAAUUUCAUAUGUUAGUAACGUUCUUCUUGCUUGUCACUUGAAUUGGAAGUAAUAUUGAGGUUGGAAAAUGAUCCAGUAUAUCUAAUGUGUUGGCACAACUGUAGAAAUGGAGCAAACAUAUUGUCUUAUCCUACCAUGACCAAUCUCUUUAUUUUUGCAAAGAACCAAAAUAAACGACCCCUGCAAUAAAAACGAAACCUUGUGGCAUGAUAGUAGGUGUAAUUAUUUCAUCAAUCACAUUGAGAUGCUUUUAUUGAGAUGGGUAUAUGGAAUUUCACCAAUGUUCAUCAUCACACAGUUGCAAGCACUUGAAACAGAUGAUUCCUAGCGAUACAUCUUUCCUGGUAUUCUUCCUAUCAGUAAAGGAAAAAAGAAAAGGUUUCCUGGUGGUAUGUUCGUGGUGUGCCCCAAACCCAUAUGUAUUAACUCUCGCUCAUUGGUUAAAUUGCAGUAUAUAUACCUCCUUGAUGGUGAGGAGAUGGUUCGGCUGGCAAGGGACUACAUCAAAUAUCUUUUUGGAGGACAGAAGAGUAUUCGGUUACAGCGUGCAAUGUCUAACUGGAGACGAUUCUUAAAGAGGUUCUCUACAAAGAAGGAGGUGCAGAAGGAUUGGCUGGAACAGGCAAUCAUCAGUACCCCAACUUGGUGGGAUGACCCUGCAAAAUACAGGCGCCUUAGAAGGUCUUAUCUUGCAUCAUCAUCCUCAUCAUCCUCAUCAUCAUCCUAUGAUGCAUCAUCACCCUAUGAUGCAUCAUCGCCCUAUGAUGAUGAUGAUGCAUCAUCACCCUAUGAUGCAUAAUCAUCCUAUGACUAAUCCUGAAGUCCUUGUAGCAAUUUUGCCUUCCCUGCCUACAUUUUUCCUUUUUCCCAUUCAAUUAUGCAACAUCGUCUUCAUUCUAGGUCAAGAACUGUGUUAUUACAAUUUUAACUUUGUCAAAUAUUUGAAAGCCUUGAAGAAUUUUAUUAUCCAAUCAUACAUUAAAAACAAACACAAUGCUUGGGCACUGCAAAAAGGGUUUGAUGGCUGAAUAACAAUUGAAUCAUGAUCUUAGGUUUAACAUCUGACAUAUUCUUAGCUACAAGGUGUUGGACAUGGUUGUAUGUUCUAAAACAUCACUCUAGUAGUAAGGAGGUUCUCGCUUCUCGCUAAAACUACCCUUGAACAGAAGUUUAUGGUUGACUACCCUGAUUUGAAUGAACUAUAGUUUGCUUCCAUUGAUACAAUAGAGCUUAGGUUAAAAUGUUGAUUUCCUUUUGAAUAUCAGAAGUUUAUAGCUACUCCUGGAUUGCAUGAUGAGAAAAUUUUGGGGUGGAUUGCAUUUGCAUAUUAGUUGGUUCAUGUACAGUCUCAACAUAUGUUUUCAGGGGUUGAACUCAUUUUUUGAACCCACAAUGUAAUGCCUCCCCACGUGUGGAGGACUUUAAGUCUUCGGUAUGCGGUCCGAUACCCACUGGGGGAGUUGGGGGACUUAAAAGUCUGCUGGUUGGGUCUCUUCACAUGCAGUUCCAUACCUUCCAUGGGAAAUAGGGAGGAUUUGAACUCAAGAUUUCUAGUUAAUCAGGACUACCAAUUUUCAAGAAGUGGUGGAAUUUGGAUUCAUGAUAUACAUCGAACUCUAAAAGUAGAGCUUUUCAGCUCUCUUACAGGGCUCUAAGUGGCACUGUUUAGUGCAGUUCCGAGCCCCUCCCUCUACAAGCAUGUAAAGGAUCUGAACUUUCAUUCAGAAGUUAGGCAUCCAUGGUUUAUGAGCAUUAAUGUAUGGUAACUGCAUCUUGGUUGAUACUCUCCACCUACAAUUCUGAAACAGAAGUAAAAUGUGAGCUGGUUUUGAGGCCCACGGGGCAACAGAGGACAAGGGUUUCACCAUCUGACACUGGAAACAGUUAAUGAGGAAGAACUAUAACACAAUUUCUGGGGAGCCAAACAGCACUACUCUUCAAACAAUGCUUAAAACCUUGUUGAAUAUAUUUUUCUCAUUACAGGGUUUUCUGCAGAUUCCCCAGAUGGAGAUUCAGACAGAAGAGAUCCUACCUCAUCAUACAUUACUGUGAGAAACUAAACCCGAAAAAAGAUAGAAUCAAUCUGGUUCAUCCAAAUCCAAGCUGAACUCAUCCUACUAUCUACUAGAGUGCAAUUAUUAGACGAAUUUAGAGCUGUAAUUUACCCUAGUAUGCAAAACACAGCAUGAAAAUUGAUUACUAAAAACUCUUCCGUGGCAAUUCAACCCAGGUUCACAGGUUUACCAUCCAACAGAAACCACAUCUUCAAUCCCUGAAACAGCUCAAAUUUUGGAAAAGAAGAAGAAAGCACAAACUACCGACACUUUUGAGAGAAAAGAUCAAGUAAUAGGGGACAUCAUGGAAAUCCAGUUCAUAUAGGGACCCUUAAAACUUCUACAGCUCUGCAUCCAUUUUGUUUCUCCUCUCCUUUAGAGCAGUCAUGUGGGCAUGGAGAAUUGCUGCAUAUGAAGCUUGAAAGUGUUCCUCGUCCCUCUCUCCCACCUAAAAUACCAAGGAAAACCAGGUUGUAGCGUCAGCUUGUAGAAGCAAUAGCUGCAUGGUUUCAACAAGCAAAAGUAUCUGCAGAAAGGUAAGUGGAAAAAGAUUGCAUAUGCCUGAUUGAUUCACAAAUCCUACAGCAAUACACAGGACACUUUCAAUCUGUAAAUGCCCAAGUCAGAGGUAACUACCCAGCUACUGGAAUUUAGACAUAGAAAACAGAAUAGCAGAUGUGAAGGUGUUGAAUAGCAGAAAAUGGAACUCUGACAAACAGGUUUAAGGAUGAAUAAAAUUUGCCCACCUGGUUCAAAUGUAGAUUCUAAUCACCUGUCCAUUCCAUACAUGAAACAUGAAAACUCCACUAAGAUUUUUGCCAUGAAUGCUAGCACCUUGGGAAAAUUAAUGAACUGGUGAUUUGGGUGCUGAAUGGAAUUUCCAGUUGACCAAACAGCCAUGAGAAACUCAGAUUUGCUUGAUGAGAUAAACAACCUAAGGAAAGAGACAAGAAAAGGAAGAAAAGUUCACAGCAUUAAAAUGCCUGUUCAGAAACCAAAAGUCUUGUACACUACCAAAACAGGGGAAAAGUUCAGGAAGAUUCAUCCUUUACUAAGCCAGUUGUUCCAAGUAUGGAUGAUCCACAUACCGCACGAUACACAGCAUUUGAAAGAUGAGCAGCUUGACUGCAACUCAAGAUCAAGUCAUAACACAUUUGGAAUACCCAUUUUCCAUAAGCAAAAAGGUUUCUGUUAGAAGAAAGAUCAUAAUGUUCCUUUAAUUCUCUAGAUCCUGCGAUGUUUAUCAUGCCUAAAAAAAAUCCAUGGGGUCUCCAAAUUGUCAUCAAAUUUUGAAAGACAAUAAAUGUAGAUGUAAAGACUUGAGCUAUUUGUGUUGAACAGGGGUUGACACACAACAACUUGAAUGCAUGAAAUAACCACUUGGUAUGCAACAUGGAAAUAUUAUCAGCUGCACAAACAAUAUAGUGAAUGUAAGAAAAGUAAAACCGAGUAGCCCAAUGGACUGUCCGGGAUGCAAAUAAAUCUCCCAAGCAAAGUGUAUAUCAACAGGAGAACCUAAACUGGCAAUUAUAGAGAGAUAUUUGUGAUAUGGGCUUGUCUGAUGUCAUUGUCAACUAGCCUCAAUAUUGAAAGAGAAGUCCCAACCUUGACACAUUUUGUUCACUCCCAUUUUAUUUUUUUUCCUUUUGUUAUUCUAUCAAACUGCUUAAACCCCAGACAAAUUCAUACAUUUCCUUAAAUUAUUGAUAAGGAUGGUUUUUAUACUAGAGCUAGUCAAAAUGCUGAUACAUAACACCAAAUCUAGAAAGCACCAGCCAGGAGGCAUAUCCAUUACAAAGAGUGUUCAAAAAGUUGUAGAAAAAAAAAACAAAAUUAGCAGAACAUAGAAUAAUAUGUAAUCUAAUGUGCAUAACAAAAGAAGAUAAUAGCAUAAUUAAAUUAUUUGAAAUUGUAAAUCACAAAGGUAGGUGAGUGAUGGGGGAAAGCCUUUUAAAGUAUAUUUAGACCUUAAAUAGGAUUAACAUUAGUUGGAAUUAAAUUAGAUUAGUAUUAGUUGGAAUUAAAGUAGGAUUAGUAUUUGCAGUCAAAUUAGGAUUAGCUAACUAGGUUAUAGGACAAUUAGAAUUAUAAUCAUAAUAGAAUAUUAAAAUCCUAGUAGACUUUGGAUUUCUUAGAGAAACUUAUAAAUAAGGUUAAUUGAUGUAAAUUAAAGUAAUUUGAUUGAUGUUAAUAAUAUUACUUUUUUUUGGCAAGUGUUGCAAUUCUCAAUGGUGAGAUUACAUUGAUUUUCUUCUAGGUGAGACUCCUAAAAGGCCUUAGUGAGACUCCAAUGUUUCUAUCUCUUCUCUUCUCUUCUUAUCUUCUUUCUCUCUAUUUUUGUUUAUUUAUUUUCUCUCCAUAAUCCUUGUUCCUCUCAUUAAACCCUAAAAAGUGAAAACCCUAGUCCACCUAUUUGAUUGUAGGUAACCAUCCUAGGGUUGUCCUACAUCGGUUUUGGUAUCAAAGCAAAAGUGCUUGUCUUGAAGGCAUAUGUAAUUGAGGAGUGGAGCAACUUAUGCAAGCAUGAGUUCCAAAAAUACUUCUAACAAUCAAGAUGUUGCUACAAUAUGCUUAGAGGAAAUUUCAGUCACACAACAAUCCCAUGAAGAUGCUAUAAUACAACUAAAUAGCAAACUUGAUGAGGUCAUGAAGUUAUUAGAUAAUAGUAAAGAAAAAUGACCAAUUGAAGGUGAGAUUGCAAGCCAUCAAUUUAGACAAUUGUCUAAUCGUUCACGCGAAGAACAAGACAAUUUUAUGAUAAGGAAUCAAAGAAUGGGCAAACUCUUUGAGCAAGAUGAUGAUGUCACAAAAAAAGUAUGCCUUAAAGUUGUUGAAUUUUAUGGAAAAUUAAAUCUAACUUUGCCUUUCAACUUUUAUAGGUGGUUGUCAAGUUCUAUGAAGUUAAUUCUCAAUAUUAUGCCACCAUAGACAUGUUGCUUCUUUCAACUUUGCCUUCACAAAACGAACUUUUCUAUUUUCGAGCACUGAAUACCAAUUAAAGUAAUCUUCCAUGAAAAGCUAUUGGAUUUAAUUUUCCAUAAAAUUCAGCAACUUUAAGGUGUACCUUUUUUGUCACAUCAUCAUCUUGCUUGAAGAGUUUACCCUUUUUUUGAUUUCUCAUCAUAAAAUUGUCUUGUUCUUCACAUGAUCUACUUAACUAUUGUCUAAAUUGAUGGCUUGCAAUCUCAUCUUCAAUUGGUUGUUUUUCUUUACUCUUUUCUAAUAUCUUCAUGAUCUCAUCUAGUUUGUUAUUUAGUUGUAUUAUAACAUCUUGAUGGGAUUGAUGUGUGGCUGAAAUUUCCUCUAAGCGUAUUGUAGCAACAUCUUUAUUGUUAGAAGUAUUUUUGAAACUCAUGCUUGCAUAAGUUGCUCUGCUCCUUAAUUGCAUAUGUCUUCAAGCCAAGAACUUUCACUCUAAUACUAAAAUUGAUGUAGGACAUCCCUAGGAUGAUUGCCUAUACUCAAAUAGGUGGGUUAUGCUUUUUAUUUUUAGGGUAUAAGGAGACAAAAAAGAAAUAAAGUUUAUGGUAAAUAAAAAUAAAAGAAAAAAAUAAUAGAGAGAAAAAAGAUACGAUGAAGAAGAGAUAGAAAUCUUAAAAUCUCACUAAGGCCUUCUAGAAGUCUCACCUAGAAGAAUAUUAAUGAAGUCUUACCAUUGAGGAUUGCAAUACUUGUAAUAAAAAAAGCAUAAUAUUAUUAACAUCAAUUAAUUCAUUACCUUGAUUCACAUCCAUUAGUCUUAUUUAUAAGUUUCUCUAAGAAAUUCAAAGUCUACUAAGAUUCUAAUAACCUAUUACGACCCUAAUUCUAAUUAUCUUAUAACCUAAUUAGGUAAUCAUAAUUUGACUCCAAAUACUAAUCCUACUUUAGUUGUAACUAAUACUAAUUCUAAUUUAAUUCCAACUAAUAUUAAUCCUACUUAAAGUUUAUUUAUAUUUUUUCUUUCCUUUCUUGAAUUUGCUUUAAAAGGCUUUCCCCAUCAAUCUAACAAGUCAAAGCCGAGUUUUUUCAAGCCGAGGGAAAUUGAUGGGGAGAAGACUUUUAAAGUAUAUUCAAAAAAGAAAAGGAAAUACAUAAAUAAACUUUAAGUAUGAUUAAUAUUAGUCAGAAUUAAAUUAAAAUUAGUAUUAGUUUGAAUUAAGUAGGAUUAGUAUUUGGAGUCUGAUUAGUUAAUUAGGUUAUAAAACAAUUAGAAUUAGAGUCAUAAUGAGUUAUUAGAAUCUUAGUAGACUUUGGAUUUCUUAGAAAAACCUAUAAAUAUAGCUAAUCAAUUUAAAUCAAAGUAAUUUUGAUUGAUGUUAAUAAUAUUACAUUUUUUUUGUACAUAUUGCAAUCCUCAAUGGUGAGACUCUAUUGAUUUUCUUUUAGGUGAGACUCCUAAAAAACUUUAGUGAGACUCUAAGGUUUCUAUCUCUUCUUAACUUAUCUUCUUUAUCUCUUUUUAUUUUUUAUUUUUUUUUCUACCAUAAAUUUCAUACUUGUUCCUCUUCUUAAACCCUAAAAAGUUAAAACCCUAACUCACCUAUUUGAUUGUAGGCAACCAUCCUAAGGUUGUCCUACAUCAAAGAGUUACAUAUAAUAAUAGAUCAACCAAUUAUCUAUAGACUAUAUCUACAAAAGCCUUUUAAUUUCUUCCUAAUGUCAUUAGGACUUGGAAUGAUCGGUUGGCACCUUAGGAACAGACCUUUCAUUUGAUCUAAACUGCAGGAAAAGGCUUCUUAGAUCUUGUUCCACAAAAGUGUGGUUCUAUAUUUCCCAACACAAGUAUGACCUAACCAGUUUUUAACCACUGUUCUAUCAUGAUGGUUGCCAACCCUUCCCCCCUUUCUUUUCCCAUUUUGAGAUGAUGUGGCUCCCUCACCCCAACUUUUAGGACACCUCAGAAGGGAGUAAAGAAAGGUAGACGUCAUGGGUUUGGGAAGGCCAUGGAUUUAUAAAAGCUUAUGUUAAUCAAACCUGAUCUUGGAAUUGUUAAUGAUCCUUCAAAGGUGUGGGCUAAAGUAUGAAAUCCUUAGGUCCGUAAAAUGUAGUAAUGCUCAAGAACAAAACUUCAAUUCCAACCCGUUAUUAAAUUUUAGAAGUACACCCAUUUGGCUUAUCAAAAAAGGUUGUACCAAAAAAUUUCUUUUCAUUUCUUUGCUUUUCUCAGCAACCAAACAGAGAAAUCAAAUACCCAAAAGCCACAACAUAACUUUUAACUGCACUUCUAGAUCUUUGACAACCCUAAAUCAAAUCUUUGUUUUCUCAUGCAGGAAAGAAAAUAAAUAAAAAAUAGGAAACGCUCUAAACUUCAUUUUUAUUUUUCUUAAAUAUGUUGGAAAAACAAAUAUCUACAUUAUAUAUCAUUCAAUUUAUUUAAGAAGGCAAUAAAAAAUUAUUUUUCUUUUAAUUAAACUAGAAGUGAUUUUUUUUUCCAUAUAUUGAAUAGAAACCCAUUAAUUUAAACAUUGAUUUCUGAAAUAAAAAGUCUAAUUAGUCCUUUUAAUUUUUAAUUUCAUUAUGUUUUACACCAUAUUUAAAAAAUAAUCAUUGGCUUGUUGGGCCUACUCAUAUGAGACCACUAAGUAAUUAUAUGAUAUCGGUACUAAUUAGGAUGAAUUUCUAUGUCAAGUAAAAUCUUUAUUUCCUAAAAUUAUGAUAGAAAAAAGAGACAUUAUUAAUAUUUAUUUUUCAAAAAUAAAAUCUAAAAUAUUUGAAAUUUUCACCACUAAGAAGAAAGUGUGAAGAAAUGUUGGGCAAACCCAAAAGAAGGAACUCUUUCUCCCUGAACCCUAAAUCAUUAACCCCUUUAAGUUAAUCAUACUUUAGCAUGAAUUUCCCUGCUCGAUUAGAGUCUCGGAAGGAAUCCCUAAACCCUAAAUCAUUAACCCCUUUAAGUUAGUCAUACUUUAGUAUGAAUUUCCCUACUCGAUUAAAGUCUCGGAAGGAAUCCCUAAACCCUAAAUCAUAAACCCUGUUAGAUUAACCAUAUUCCAGUGUGAAUUCUGACACCCAUAAUCAAUUUAUGCAAAUCCUGAGCCAUUUCAAAGUUGGUCUGCAUCAAUAAACUUCACAAGGGUUAUCCAAUGGCCAAUAGAUUCAACACACAAGGGAAAAUAUGAAGCUGGUUUCUGGGUUUAAGCUGAAAAUGUGAAACUGGUAAGAGCCUUCACCACGACUCACAUAACUAACUGUUAGAUCAACAGCUAAAUUGAAACAGAGGAAACAAAAGAGACUGAUAGCAAACACAAUUCAAACGCAGCAGAAUGUGAAUACAAUCGCUGACUUUGAGAAAAAACCAUAGAUAUGAUGUAUGAAUUAUCGGCCUAAUAAUGUUUAACGAAAGAAACAAACACAUUCUACCAUCUCUUCCAAGAAGAUAUCAGAGGAAUCAGGGACUAGCUGCAAUUUACCUCACUUGCAAAAAGCCAGAAAAAGGAUUACUUAGAAUUCUUUCGGACGAUUCAACCCUGAGUUAAGAGAAAUUAAAUUUCCAAAAAGGUAGCUAGUCAACCAAAAACCAUGUCUUUGAUUCCAUUAAUUGCUCAAAGUUGGAAGAUCAUGUGAGGUUUCUAGGGGGGAAAAAGAAAAGACAAAUUCAUUUAGGAGAAAAAUAAAAAGGGGAAACCGGGUGAUUCAGUUUAUAUAGAGGUCUUUAUCUUCAGUUUAUACAGAGGUCUUUAUCUUCUUUGGAUCAUCUGGUUUCUUAACUCCCUCUGCAGCCUUCUUCUUGUCCUUCCUCCCCCUCUUCUUUAGGGCAGUCAUGUGGGCCUUCAGAAUGGUUGCAUAAGAAGCUUGAAACCGUUGGUGAUCCUUAGGCCCCACCUAAAAGUUUACAAUCAAAACCAGGUGAGAAUGUUAGCCCGUGGAUGACAAUGGCAUGCAUAGCUUUGACAAACAAAAAUUGUUGAAGAGAGGUAAGAAAAUGCCUACUUGCCCAAAAGUAUUAAGAAAAUAAAAUUUGGAAUCUAUUUAUGUUAAAAUUUCAUUCUCUUCCUUUCUUAACAAUCAAUUCAAAUAGUAGAGUAACACAAUCAAGAGGCUCAAUUCCUACGAUUUGCACUUGAACCUCACAGCAUUUGGUAGCAAACUUACAAUUUGUAACAGCCUGCCAAAGUUAUACAGUACAUAUGGGAGAAUAUGGAACCAUGAAAUUUGAUUAUGUGACUACAAUGCAAACAAGGUGGGGCUGACUACAGGAUUACAAUACAAAGUCCAUCCAGCGCAAAAAUCUAGCACUUCACAACUGUAGGAGUCCAAUACAUCCCUCUCACAGAUAAAUUGUAUAUCAGUAGCAAUAAAUUGAACUGGUAACUACAGUAAGAAACCACCAACAAGAGAUCUGCUGACCAUCAUUCGAAGAUUUCACAACUGGUGCAGUCAUUGCUGACUUGCCUUAACCCACCCCCCUCCUCCCUUUGGUUGACUCCAUUUUUCCUUUUGUUUGCUUAUCUAAUUGUUUAAAAAUCACAAAAGACUUAUACAUAACUUCCCAGCUGAUCUGCCAAAAGACAAGAUAAAAGUAAUGACAAACUUUAUGUUUGAAAGCCCAACAACAAAAAGGUUCUCCUGAGUCCUGACUCUUUGAUGGUUGUUCUUUGUGGAACACCUAGACAAAUGGUCGUAGGCGUUUUCUCCAAAGGCGGCAUGGCUUGUUCACAGACAAAAUGGUCUGUUACAAGACUAGAAGCAUUAUUGUUAAGAGGUUCUUUCCAAAGCCUUUUUGUUUUGGCUUGAGGAUUGAGGCGAUGACCACAGGCUUUACUGGAAAGUCUUUAAAGAGGAGUCCUCAAUGAGAGUAACUUUAUGGCGGGAAACUUGCAUGGCUGUCCUUUUCUGGGGCUCUAAGCCCACAAAAAUGUCUUGGAGAUAUGUCUUAAGGUUCCAAUAAAUUGUUGACCUUCAUAGAAGCCUGAUGUGCUUUGUCUCAAGUCUAGGUUGAACAGUUAGUCGGACGUUUCAUCCUUCCCAACUGCACCCAGUUCUUCCCCCACAACCACACCAAAUUGAGUUUUGAAGUUUCCUUUAUUGGGUUUGCUUAUUGCAUGAAUUAGGAGCUGCAUUCUGACGCUUCAUUAUGUUUCCUUUCCACAAAUUCCUAGGACAUCUCAUCCUUCCUUGUAUAUCUUUAUAUUAUGGAAAAAAUGGCCUUAAACAAGAUUUCAGAUCCUACCAAAUGACCAAAUGAAAAUUAAAAUAAAGAGGAAAGAUAAGGUAAAUGAGGAACAAUAUGUUAAAUGAGGAAGGUUCAACUAUAUCUCAUCUAAUGGCAAUACAACCAUUCCUCCAUAAUAAAAGGUUCCAAUCAACUAUAGGUAAUACUUAAGUAACUCAAAUAGGUAUGUUGAGUUUUUUUCUCACUGAUACCCAUAUUGAAUGACAUUUAAAAUCAUAUUCAGCAUUUAGUGUUUACUAAAGUUUCCAAAAACCGAUAAAUAAGUUUUUUUCUCUUGAUAGGCAAACAAAAAAUAAAAAAUCCAAAGUAAAGUUUGUGUAUGGUUAAAUUAAGAAAAAACUUUAACACCAGAUAAGAAGACAACCAGCUAUAAGUGGGAAAAAAUUACCGAAGCAGAAAUGGUCUUUUUGCCAUCAGUUGCACGGAUGAGGCAUCUAUAGUCAAUUCCUUCACCAGCAGUCGUAAUUUUAUUCCUUUGCACCUUUGACUUUAGGGAUGCUAAAGAUACAAAAUGUACAAGCAACUAAUAAAAUACUAAAAAUAGAAGGUUUUGAUUACCCAGAAAGGAAAAAAAACAAAAAUAGAAACAAAAUCAAAAGAAAGAAACAAAAAGAAGGCUGAGGAUGAACUUAUACUUACAGCGUUUCAGAGUAACCCAAACAGAGCGCUUCGUUGUACUGUGCUCAAACAUGCUGGUGAGUUCAUUGAGAAAUGGAUCUAAUUGUAGAAGAACCUGACAAAAUAAAAAUAAAACACAAAUCCACUUGGUUUCAGAUAUCAGGCAUAAUCUCGAGGCAAAAGCGAAGAAAGAAAUUUUCUGACAAGAAGACAAAACAUCCAUUAAUAAAUAGCAUGAACAAAAGGGACUGAUACCCAAAGAUAAACAAGAGUAUAAGAACUCUUAGUCAAAAAAGGAAAACCAAUAGUAUAAAUAUUGUUCACAUUCCUACAAGUAAAUACACAUUGGUACCAUAUACGACUAUGUAAGCAUGGGCAUGCAUGUCAACUUCACCCACAUGCCCUUUUAAAUAAAAUCAAACCUAAAUUCCCAAUAUCCGAACCCAUAUUCUUAAAAAAGCUACAUUAGCCUAUUCAUUUACACACACACCCAAGAGGUGAAAAUUGAAGCUGUUGCAGUAUUAUAUUCAUUAAGGACAAGUUUAGGUAUCCCACAGAAGGCACAUUGCCACAUUCUAUUUAUUUAUAAUUCUAUGUAAGAUCGAUAGGUAUAAACAGUGCAAAUAUGUGAAUCAAUAAGUGCAUCAUAGUUUUACAAGGCACAAGGCGUGCUAAAGGCGAAAAGUCUCCAAAGGCUUAGGCGCAAUAACAAACAAGUGCCAGAGCAAAGUGAAACCCAACUUAGGAUGCACAUCGAUUUUAUAAGAUAUGAUCCAAAAUCCAAUCCAAACAAGAUUCCAAACAUUUAAAAGAAGCAUUCAUUAAAAGUAAUUAAAUUGAAUAAAUUUCAAUAUAUGGUUAAAAAAAAUUAAGAGUAAAAAGUGUUAAAAAGGGAAAAAAUAAAGUAGAUGAAGCUUGCCUCUCCAACAAGGCACUAGAACUAGGGAGUGGUUGAAACUUGGGUCCAGGGGUGGUACAAGCACACCUUUCAACGAUGUGCAUAUAAAAUGUACACAUGAGCACUUGAAUGCAUGGACCCCUAUGCAUGCACACUCACACAAACAAACAAUAGUGAAAAUCUGAGAUGCCGUGUUUCAUGAAAUCCUAAAUUUAAUCCCAUAACAUCAGCUCCAGAUAUGGCAUCACAACAAAACCCAUGUAGCUUUUGUAAAAGAACAAAAGGAACUACAUGACUUAUAGUUCCCAAAUUGAUGGGUAAAUUUUAUUUUGUUUUAUACCGCCUAAAACAAACCUUGUGGCAACAUAAAGUUUUCAUUAUUUCCAGUGUUUUAAUGAAUUUCAACUCAAUUCAUGAAUGACUACCAUGAAUUUUCAUCCAAACCAAUGAAAAAUACCAUCCAGAUAUCUCACACUAAACUGCAGAUAUUUCAGACUAAAUUGCAGAUUUUGAAAGUAAAUUUAUUCAAUUCAUAUUCAUGGGGAAAAAACGAAUACAUUCUAUAUCCACCAACAACAAAUGAUCAAAGGCAAAAAAACUACGAUUUUAAAAUUAAAAAAUGAACAAUCAGAAUUUACUACUGGAGCAAUGCUUCAUUUGAUUGCUAAAAUGUACCAAAAAAAUAAAAUUAAGCCUCUUGUUUUUCAGGGGCACCAUUUUUCAUUUUCUCCAGAAAUUAAAACAGCACAAAGCAUAAGAUGCUAUUUGCUCAGUGCCUUAGGCUUCAUGUAGAACAAAGAUAUCCAAAAUUUUCUUUUCUUUCCUUUUCGUUUCCUUUCCCUAGUUUGUUUUCCCAACCAAACACACCCAAAAACUAAAACCCAAAAUGACAAGACUUCACAACACCCCUUUAUUGACAACCACUUUUUUUUUUUUUUUUUAUCAGAAUUAUUGUCAACCAAAUUUUACCAAACUCUAAAAUCAAAAUACCCUUCUUUUGAACUGCAGAAAAACACUUCUAACAGCUUCCAGCCUAUCAAUUACAUGCUAAAAUUCUUCAAAAUAAAAAACAAUUUCCCAUUCCACUGAAUUCCCAACCUUAAAGCUUUUCUAUACAGCAAUCACAAGUCAUCAAGACAACCACUUUCUCUUUCCGUUCACAUACAUUUCAAAAACCCAAACCAAACGCAGAGUCUCCGAUCGCUUAAAUACGUACAUGCAAGUCUACAUAUGUAUAUAUAAUCGAUCUGAUCGUCGAAAAUGGGAAAUUAAAUGACGAUGAGAUCAACACACGAUCAAACAAGAAACUCAAUUCGGAACUUCAAGAAUUGAACCCUAUAUUUGCAGUGAAACCCUAGAUAUAGAGAAAGAGAGGCCUACCAUGAUGGGUAUUGAGUUGUGAACUGGAACUGAAAAUGAAAGGAAGUAAAAAUAUACAAAAGAAAAACCCUAAUAUUUAUAGUGUGGACUGGGGACAGGCUCCACAGCCUUUUAAAGUAUUUCUUAAUUUCAAUUUUUUUUUUUACUUUAUUAUUUUUUUUUAAAUUUUAAUUUAAUUUUAAUUUUAAUUUUUUUAGUUUUUAAAAUUACUUAGCUCAACAAAUUACAACAUAUUUUUAAAAAAUUAUGUCCGUGGAAAGGUUUGGUCUGUUUGACCGUAUUUUUUAAAACUCGUUUUAUUUUUUAACUUAAAAACAAUUUUUAAAAACAACUUUGAAAAAAUAUGACCUUUUUUAAAAAAAAACUAAUAAAAACAAUUUUUAUUUGUUUUCUAAAAAUUGUUCUUUAUUUCACAUUGUUUUUAAAAAUUAUUCAAAAAAUAAUAAUAGCCAAAUAGUGUUAAAAAAAUUAAAUAAUUUUUUAUUUUUAAAAACAAAAAAUUGUUUUUAAAUAACAUGACCUAAAAAGACUCAAAAUCUAUAAUAAAUGUUGGAUUCAAGGCAACUGGUGUAUUUAUGCAUACAUGCAAAACAAUGUUAAAAAUAUUAGUAUCAAUAGAAAUAUUAAUAAUUUAAUUUUAUGAAAAUAUAGAAGAAAACAUUGAUAUUAAUGAAAUUUUUUAUCCAAAAAAAAUUCGAAAAUGAAUUAAAAUAUAUAAAUUUUGAAAAAAAAUGAUAAAUAAUUACUAAUAUAUACAUUAAAUUAGGUUUCAAAAAAAUAAUAAUAUAAAUAUUAUAUGAUAAUAUUGAUUCAGUGGUAAACAUCUAACCCCCAAGUAAGGCUAGAGGGGGCAUAAAUCCCCCUACAAGUUAAAAUUUGUUGGGAAAAUAAAAAUCCAAAUGGGAAAUCUACCCCCUCUAAAAAAAAGUAUAAAUUUAAUUUUAAAUUUUUAAAAAUAAAAAAUAAUGGUGAUUAAAUAUUAUUAUAAAAAAUAAUAUUUACUAUUAAUUAUUAAUAAUAUAUUAAGAUUGAACUAAAAUUAAAAUAAUAAAUAAAAUCUUAUUUAAUAUUCAUACUUAUUUUUUCUUGUUUAUUUAUUUUUUUCCCUUUUAUACUUUUUUUUUAUUUUGUCUUUUUGGGUUUAACUAAAUUAUAAAAAACAAUACUUGUUGUCUCCAUAUAUUUAAGUUUUAAGUAAAAAACUUUUAACUAUCUCAUAUUUAGUUAUUUGAAAAAGGAAAAAAAAAUUAAAGUAUUAGUUUUGUAUCUAUUAAAUCUUAAAAUCUAUUUGGUAAUUGUUUUCAAAAACAAUAUUCUAUUUCUGUAAAAUUUCAAAAAGAAAAAAGAAAAAGGAAAACAUGUUUAGUAACCAAAAAAUUGUCUUUUGUUUUAUGUUCUUAAAGACAAAAAUUAGAGUGUUUCAAAUAAUAUAUUUUAGUUGUUUUCAGUUGUUUUAAAUUGUUUUUAAAAAUAAUUAUAUAAAAAUGUAGAAGGAUUAAAAAUAACCCAUUAGAUAUAAAAUUAUAUUUAAAACAUAAUAAAAAUAUGUUAAAAUAAAAAAAUUAUUUUUUAAGACAAUUUUCGAAAAUAGUUAUCAAAUAGAGUCUUAAUCUCAACUUUUAAAAAUAUAUGGAAAAAUCUAAACCUUUAAAUAUAAAUAUAAAGAAUGAGUUUAAGAUAUAAAUAAACGAAAUCAAAUUAAAAGACACUGAGACUUAAAUGCCCAAACCUCUUUUAUUUGAAAAAUAUCAAAAUUUAUAAUAAUUUUUUUUUGAAUUCUUUAAAAUAAUUUUAAAAGUUUUUCAUACAAAAUAAUUAAAAUAAUUGAAAAUUUCUAGUGAUUUUUCUUUCUAUUUUUUAAUUCUUUUGUAUAUAUAUAUAUUUUAAAUGUGCUUAGUAUUAUGGUUGUUCAAUUUGAUACAUUUUGGUAAUUAAUAUUUAAAAUUAUUUAAUUUUUUAAUAAUAACAAUAAAUACCAUUAAGGACUAUAAUAUAAUAUUUUUCUUUUUUGCCUCCCAACAAAAGUCCUAGGCUCCGUCACUAUUGAUACAUGUGCUCGGAAUUAGAAUCGACCAAGCUUUUACCCUUUUGUUCCAACUCAAACUUUUAUUCUCGUAAAAUUCAUUUUAGUAUGAGAUAUUAAAAUCAAACAAGUUUUUACUCUCUUGCAUGAACAAGAUUUUCGUUCUUAUUGAGCUCAUCUUAAAACACCUGCGUUAUCUAUUAUUUGUACAUAUGAAAUAUAUGCAUUCAAUAUUGACCCAAGAAGAAAUGAAUCCCCAACUCUCAAUUAAAACACUGGAUCAGAUGACACACAAGCUUCUUCUAUGUAAUGUAACCUUAAAAACUACAAAACUUUCAAUGGAGAAUCAAAGUUCAUAGUUCAUUCAAUCCAUUUCUUGAAGCUGAACAACUGCAUUGAAUCUGAAUUCUUUACCCGGUUUCAAACGCCUCCUCAAGAUCUUUGAAGCUCUGCUCAACCCUCAGGUCUUUGCUUAAUAAAAUUAAUCCUGCCAAACAGGUUAUCAUUGUUUCAUUUUCCCUAGAAAUUCCCAACCUUCCAUUGCUUCAAUAAGCAUAUGCAAGUCUAUACAUGUAUGUAUGGUCGAUCAGAUCGUUGAAAGAUGAGAAAUGUGAAUAAAGAUGAGAUCAAUACAUGAUCAAAUGAGAAAUUCAAUUUGGAAUUUCACAAAUUGAACCCUAAAAUUCAAUUUGGAGCUUCAGAAAUUGAACACUAGAUAUAAAGAAAGAAAGGCUUACAAUGAUGAUUAUUGAGCUAUGAAUCGAAAGGCAAAGACAAUUAAAAAAACAAAAACCCCUAAUAUUUAUACUUUUUAAAAGAUAACCGAUAAAAAAGAAAAAAGAAAAAAAAUUCCUUUAAAAUUGCAAGUAUAACCUUCCACUUUUAAUAGCCUAGAAGAUCACUCAUUCCAAACAAAAAUAUCCCUCCAACACUAAUUUUCUUUGUGUCUCUUCCUUAUCCUUCAAACUCAUUUGUUCCAUGCGUUACCCUAUAAGAAAUAAAUUAUCCGUGAUGUUUUCAUUCAUUUCAAGAGAACAAAAAGCCAACGUGAGAGCUAAAAGCCAACACGAGGGAAAAUACAAAAUUUAUGAUUUCCUUCUUCGAUUUCAAUUCUCUAAACUUUGAAUAUGAACUUUUAUGUAUAAAGUGAGAAGAGACUGUAAGUGCCCUAUUUCAGUUCCUUUUAUUUUUUAAAAUCAGACCCUAUUUUUCAUCUUAUUGAUAUUGUGGGCUGAUUUAGUUUAUGAAAAUGAUAGAAAAAAGAAAAUUUAUUGAUGAAGAAUACAAAACUGAAGAGGUAUAAAAUCCUACCAAAAAAGGGAAGUGAGAGAAACCGAAGCUUUGAAACCCUAUGAUCAUCAUCAGAAAAUGAGAAAAAAUCAAUUGAAUCAAUAAGCAUUAAUUUUCUUGUUGCAAUUUUUUUUUUUUAAUUUAUCUUUAUGAAAAAUGGCACCUUGUAUAAUAUUAGCAUCUAGCCUGACAUCCUUGAAUAAUACGAAAUAAUGGAUUUAACAUAGUUGGAUAAUUUUUUUAAUAUAUUUUUACACAAUUUAUAUUGAUAUUGUUACAAUUUGUCAUUAUGUUGCAGAUUGACAUUCCUCCUCCCUCAUAUUUUAUAAUUAAAAUACCUAAAGAUGAGUACUUUGUUGGAAAAAUUACAUAUUUAUCUCAUUUGGUAGCCAUUGAAAAUAUUAAGAAGAAAUCGACUGAGCCACAAUUGGAGAUGUUUAGAAAAUCAUGUUAUGGUCAGUUUUUACUCUUUUUUGAAACUUAGAUUUUCAGUCCAAAUUGCCCAUCAAUUGUUGUUAUGUCAAUGUGAAACCAAAAAGAACAAUAAAAUUUGGAUUUUAUUAGAAUCAAAGGGCUUAAGAUUUAGUAAAGAUGAGCUUCUAUUGAUUACAAGCUUGAGUUUUGGUUUUAUUCUAGAAUGUGAUAAAAAAUCAUUACGAAUGAGAGACAAAUACUUUAAGGGAGAAAACAAGGUGUGUAAUGAUGAGUUGGAGAAAGUUUUUCUCUCUUUAGGAGAUGUGAAAAAAAAGAAUAAAAAGAAAAAGAAAAAAAAAAUGAAAGAUUAUGAAGAUAUGGUAAAGUUGACACUUUGAAUUUUUUUUUUUUGGAGCAUGUUUUAUUUGGGAAAGAAGCAAAAAAAAUUUAAUAGAUAUGCAAUGGGUUACUCCGAUUGAUAAUUUGGAAGCUUUUAACAAAUACCCAUGGGGAAUCUAUUAUGAGAGGACACUACUUGGUUUGCAAAGAGUUUUGAAAAACCAAGUAUCCAAAUACCAAGAUAAGAAAAAAAAACCCAAGGGAGAAGUUGUAGUUGAAGCAUCUAGUGUUGUUUGAUUUGCAUAUGCCUUCCAGGUUUGGGCAUAAGAAACUAUUUCACUUAUGCUUUAAUUGCAACUUCUUCCUUUGUUUUCUUCUUAUUUUGGUAUUUGGAUACUUGGUUCUCCAAAACUCUUUGCAAACCAAAUAGUAUUCUCUCAUUAUAGAUCUCUCUUAUGGAUAUUUGUUAAAAGCCUCCAAAUUAUCAACCAGAGUAACCCAUUCCAUAUCUAUUAAAAUUUUUCCUUCUUUACCAAAUAAAACAUGCUCCUUGAAAUAUAAAAGUGUCAACUUUACCACAUCUUUAUCUUCAAAUUCUUUCAUUUUUUUUUCUUCUUAUUCUUCUUUUCUUAUUUCAUCUCUUAUAAAGAAAGGAAAACUUUCUCUAAUUCAUCAUUACACACGUUGUUUUCUCCCUUAAAGUAUGUGUCCCUUAUUCGUGAUGAUUUUUUGUCAUAUUUUGGAAUAAGACCAAAACUCAAUCUUGUAAUCAAUAUAGGUACAUCUUUACUAAAUCUUAAGCCUUUUGACUUUAAUAAAAUUCAUAUUUCAGUGUCCUUUUUUUGUUUCAUAUUGAUGUAACAACAAUUGAUGGACAAUUUGGACUGAAAAUCUAAGUUCAGAAAUGAGUAAAAAGUGACCAAAACAUGACUUUCUAAACAUCCCCAAUUGUGAUUCAGUCAAUUUCUUCUUAAUACUUUCAAUGGCUACCAAGUGACAUAAACAUGCAAUUUUUUUAGGAAAGUACUCCUCUUUAGGUAUUUUAGUUAUAAAAGAUGGGAGAGAAUGAGGAAUGAUAAUCUGCUAGAUAAUAACAAAUUGUAAAAAUAUUAAUAUAAAUUGUAUAAAAAUAUAUUAACAAACUGAAUCCAUCAUUUCAUACCACUUCCUAAUAUGGAGUUUCUUUCUGUAUUAUUCAAGGAUGUUAUAUCAAAUGCUAAUAUUCUACAAGGUGUCAUAUUUUAUAAGGAUAUUGUUGACGAUAUUGAUGUAAUUGAGGCUAUUAUAUUUUAAUAAGUUGUAGAUAUAAAUAAAAUACAAAGAAUAUUCUAAUAUCCAUUGAAACAAAACCAAGCAUUUUAAAACUGAAACCUAUUGACAGUGAACUUGAUUGCAGUUAAGUUCAGUUUUUUCUUAUCAUUGAGAUUUUACUUCAGGACUUGACUAUGAUCUGACCGAGAAAAAUUAUAACUUCAAUUUCAUUUUUUAAGUUUUGUUGACCAAAAUAUCAAGAACUAUCGUGAAAGAUUGAGAAAUAUAUAUAUAUGAAAAAUAGAGACAUCAAUGAAAAUAUUAAAUAUUUAACAUAUUUUGAUCAAAUAAUUCCAUAAAAAUUUUAUUCAAUUACAUUAUCAAUUCAUAAUAAAUAUAUUCUUUACAAAAAAAAAUUCAAACAAAAUUAAAGCAAGUUAAAACCUAUUGAUAGUAAACUUGAUAGUAGUUAAGUUCAGUUUUUUUAGAUCAUUUAGAUAUUUCUUCAUACCUUGGAUUAUGACCUAGAGAAAAAUUACAACUUCAAUUCAGUAAAUUGUUUAUUAAAUUACAUUAUCUAUUUAUGACAUAAAUUAAUAAAAUAAAAAAUAAAAAACCCAAAAUUUCAAGUAGAAAAUUAAUGUUUAAUAAUUCGAUUGAUUUGUUCUCAUUUUCUAAUGAUGAUGAUGAGGUUUCAUAGCAUGGUUUUCUCUCACUUCUUUUUUUUGGUAGGAUUUUAUACCUCUUCGGUUUAGUAUUCUUCAUCAACCAAUUUUCUUCUUCUAUUUUUUUUUCAUAAACUGAAUCAACCCACAAUAUUAGUAAGAUGAAAAAUAGGGUUCAAUUUUUAAAAAAUAAAGGAAACUAAAAUAGGACACUUAGGAUUUCUUCUCACUUCAUGCAUGAAAGUUAAUAUUCAGAGUUCGAAAAACUGAAAUUGAAGAAGGAAACAAUGAAACUUACUCUAUGUUUUCCCUUGUGUUGGCUUUUUGCUCUUGUGUUGGCUUUCUGUUAUCUUGGAAUGAAUGGAAACAUCCUCUGCAACUUUCUUACAGGUAAACGAAUGGAGCAAAUGAGUUUGAAGGGUAAGGAAAGGAUACAAAGAGAAAAUUAGAAUUUGAGGGAAAAUGGGCUGAAGUGGUUGAAGGGGCAAAGGUAUUUUUAUCUGAAAUGGGUGGUUUUCAAGGCUAUUAAAAGUAUUGAUUGAUUAAAUCUUGUAAUAAAUUAAUAAAUUAUUUAUUUACUUCCUAUAUUUAUUUUUAUUAAUAUUUUUUAAAUUAGUAAAUUCAAAUAUAGACUCAAAUAUAUAAUUGAUUGAUUAAAACUAUUGAAAUUAUUUUUUAUCAUUGGAAAAUAGAUAAUUAAUUAUUUAAAAAUAUUAAAAUUAUUUAUUAUUUAUUAUUAUUUAUUUUGUAGUUCAAUUAUUAAAAUAAAAAUUUAUGAAUAAAUUAAUGUUGAAUAUAUAAAAUGUAAUUUCUAUCUCAUAAUAUUUCUCUUUAUUCUUUAGACUUGAAAUUAAGUCUUAUAAUAAACUGACUGACUCGAGAAGAAAUGAACCCCUACUCUUAAUUGAAACACAGAAUCAGAUAGCAUACAAGCUUCUUCUAUAUAAUGUAGCCUGUAAAACUACAAAACUGUCAAUGCAGAAUCAAAGUUCAUAGUUCAUUCAAACCAUUUCUUGAAGCUGAACAACUGCAUCAAAUCUGAAUUCUUCGCCCGGUUCAAAUGCGUCCUCAAGAUCUUCGAAGCUCUGCUCAACCCUCAGGUCUUUGCUUACCUUUAUACCUUCCUGCAACAUUUCAACAAAGAACACACGAUCAGGGUUGAAAUCCAUCUGGGUUUCCGUUUGGUUACCCUGAAAAAGGAGUGAUUAUGCUGUUGGAUCAAUAUGAUAUGACAAAUAUGAAUCAGAGAUGGAACAAUGAGCCAUCAAUCCCUCAGAAGCUCCACUAAACAGAGAGAUAGGAACGGCAGUUUGAUGGCAUUGUGGGCUUUCUAGAUCGGUUUUACAGAACUAGCUUUCAUGAAAAAGAAAGGCAAAUUCAUGCAAGGAUACUGCAGAUAUUGAAAUGUGGCUAAUGUAUUUGGGAUUCAAAGGUUUUAUUGAAGUUGAAAGCUUUCUUGUAUGUAGAUAUCCAUCAAAUGCAUGGAUUUUAGACCAAUAGGAAGAAGCUGAUCUAGGACUGCAGAACAACAAGAACACCCAAUUGGAGGAAAGCAUUUUCUCGAAGCAACAAGGGCAGGUCCAUCGCAUUUUGAAACAAAUUGUUAAAGUUCUUAACAUCUCCUACCCAUUGAUAAACCGUGAAUUGACUGUAGUGCUCAAUAUAAGGACAGAGCCUAAAUGGUUGACUCAUGGGUGUCCAUGCCAGUCAUCAAAUCGAUACUCCUACAUUGUGGGGUUUUGAAUAUGGACUUGUUGAAAUGAAAAUGAAAUUCCAAAAUAUACCCAUGUUGCACAAAUUUAAAACCUUUUGAAAAGUCAUUAAUGCUAGUGGUUGCAAGAACAUUUCAAAAUACCAAAAUGUAUUUCGAUGCCGUCUACCUUUUCUACAUAUUCAGCAACAGUGGAGUUGAUUACUUUUUUGAUAACCUGCAUAUAAACUUUAGAAGGACCAAGGACUUCUAAAAGGAUGUCUCUGGGUAUCUGCCAUACAGAAAAAGACGAGUAUAUAAGUUGCAAUCACUUUCACAGCUACGAGAUGAAGAACAAACACACUCACACAAAUAAAUAAUGUAUGUAUCCGUUCGUUGGAAAUAGCUACAAUGUUAACAUUGUCAUUGUUUUAAGUGGGAUGGGGAUGAUUUGGCUCUUCCCAAAUGUAUUCAGAAAUAAAUUUAUGAGUUUCCCAACCAUCUGCCUAGAAUAAAAAUAUUUAAGAAAGAAACAAAGAAAGUAUAACCAUAAUGAAGUUUAUUAUCUGGUUUUGACUCUAUAUCUACAAAGAUUGAGUAGAAUAAGGAUUAAAAGAUGUGAGGACUCGGUCAUUGCUCAGUGGUCCACAUGCAUUCCACAUUAGGCCCAAAAUUAUAUUGAUCAAUUGAUGUACUUUUCACCCAUCAACACAAUCAUAAUUUGCUUCCACAAAUUCUCUUACUUUCCAAGUUUUUUGACCCGGACGUUACCAUGAUGUGUAUGAUCACAAGCAAUGACAAUAAUGCUGGGACAAUGUCUUCACUUGAAUUACACUUAAUACUACAAAUUAUAAAUUUACUGCACUAAAACAAUAAGAGACGGAGGCUUACAUCGGGUGUUUUUCCUGAUAGUCCCCAGCCGUUUGUCAGAGACAAAGAUGCCAAUGGAAGAAAGCAGGUGAAAAAUGUUAGAAACUUAGAAGUUGAGGAGAAGAAAACGUGAAGAAGAAAUGCUGUAGUUGAAUAAUCAUUAAUAAGUAGACCAAAUAAAUAAAUAAAAAUUGUUUAAUAAAUGCUUCAGUCUAACAUAAAAAAUUUGUACUUCGUCUUCUUUUUCUUGUCUAGAUGGAAUUUCCAAUAUCGAGUCUCAAAAUUUAAUGCUAUCAAAGCUUAGAAGUGAUUGUAGUUCCAACUCUUCAGUUUCUAGUUUCAACCCAGAAAAAUUACAACAUAUGAGUAGCUGCAGUUAUACUAAUAGACUACGAUUUAACUGUCUUCUACCAAUUAUGAAAACUCGCUUAUACGAAAGCCAAAAGGCUAGCUUUUUGUUCAAGCUCCUUAUCACCAUAAUUCUCCUGCUCUCCAUCUCGUCUUAGGCUCUUUAUUGACUAUAUUAUCCUCUUUUUUGUAUAGUUAUAAGUAAAGGGUUCUUCAACACGACAUCUGAUGGUAGCUUUUCCAUUUUAAAUACGCUAAGAGUGCUAUUUAUUUGAAUUCUUAGGCAUCAAAUUCUAUGAUUUUGUUAGCUUCAACAAUGCUGUGAUAUCCAAGUUUGGGCAUUCACCAUACAUGUGCCACAUGUGCCGGUAAUAUUUUAAAAAAUUAGAUAUUUGUGCAUAGAUAGAAAUGCAAAUGUGCAAAAAUAGUAGUUCCUCCUAAGUAUUAUUCUCUAGUGAGCAAUAAAAUUAUUUGUUCUACACAUCUCAACUACUUCUCACUAUAGCACCUUCUGCAUUCAAACCCUACUGACCUAGCCAGACUAAAAAAUUAACCAAAAUGUGAUAAAUCAACCACAAAGUAGAUGCCCAUUGAAGAUGCCACAAAGAAAUGGUAAUACGAUGAUAAGAGGAAUCAUGAUGUCAGGAAUCACCUUCUCCUGUUGGAGUUGCGACAUGUGAGCACAGUACUAUAUGCAUAUAUGCUUAACUAGUUAGUGGCAAUCAUAACAAGAGCCCGUUUUGAGAAAGCCACUGUUGAAUUUAAAAGGCUUACCUCCUUUUACUCUUCGAAAACCUGGAAUGGGCUGAGCAUCAGCUACCAUUUUAGAAAACACAUUGUCAAAAAUUGUUCGAGUCUUGACACCAGAUAACUCCACGCUAAUCUGUUAAUAAGAUAUAAAUAUAAUUUAUGGACAAAAUUAACAGCUGCAUUGACCAUCUAUAAACAUUAUAUUGACCAAGUAUUCUUUCCCAAGUCCAGGAUAUCAAUUGUCCCCACAUCAUUUUUACUUUUUUGUUGAACUUCCAUCUCAUUGUAUUUACAUGCUCAAUCAAAAGACUAGUGAUUGUUUGCUGAUAGAAUUAUCUAUACCUUCAGUUCUUUAGCAUUGCCAGUACUAGUAGCAGUAACUGAAAAGUCUUCAAAUUGAGAAGAAGAAACUCCAGGAUCUUUGACACCUAAAUUUAGAUGGAAGGAUUAAAUAAUAGUAAACCCAACAAUAGCACAAGAUAGCAAGAUGAGAGCAUACUUGGAAGUUGGAAGAGAAAAGUGUUUGGUUUUUGCACCUGAUGACACGGCACAAACAGCAGGACAAUAUUUAUGGAUUGCUCUGUAAGAAAGGGAAGCGCUAAAAUCAAAUAAGGAACAUGCUUAAAUCUCAGUAAAUACUCAGAAAACCCUGCAAGUAGACUUGAUUAUAAGAAAAUUUGAGGAAAUAAUGAAACAGCUCCAGAUAAGAGUCAUAAAACAAGUCAAGCAAAAAGAAUAAGUAAACCAACACCCAGAAAAAGUUAAUCAAACUGUUAAUGAGUUCGCAUGUGAAGUGAAAAUUUUACAAGCUAAUUGCCAAAAAGAAAGCUUUUUUUAAAAAAAAAAAAGGAAAAAAAAGGGAAAGCAAUUAAGAAUCAACUCGGCUGUUGUUUUCCAGAUUCCCUGAGUGUGACUAGAGUCUUGCAAAAAAAUUACUAUAUCUCAAGCUGGUUAACUCAAAACUCAUAUGGCUGACUUUAUGAAUUAGUAUUACUUUGCACAAAAUUAUUGAGCAUUGUAUUUCAUUUAAAAAGGCUUCUUUUGGAAGAAAUGUCUAGAAUGAAGUGGUUAAAUAUAUAAAUUAGCUCAAAACACAGGUGUUUAAUUUCAUAACUAGUAAUACCUUACGCGAAAGGCUUGGGUAUUGUAUUUCAUCUGGAGUGAACAACAUGGUCUGAUAGAAAAAAAAUUUGGAAGAACUGUUUGCUUGUGGUGAAUCAUCUGCACAAGAACAAACCAAUUCCGUAAAAUCAUCAUAUACAAUUCCAUGCAGCAUCCCAUUAAAGGAACUGACAAAAGCUUAACUUCUGCUAUGAGAGAGUUAGAAUUAAUCAGUUCAAGAAAAAUGACUAAAUGUUAAAGAAACUUUUCUAAACAUCUGUAGUCAGAAACAAAUAUCACAGACCCCAUUACUUGAAAUCCACCACAAAAAAAAAAAGCAAUAGGUAAGUAUUAGAAAAAAAAUCUAGAAACUGAAGAACAAAUAAUCAACAAACAAGUUCCCAUUUCUGAGGGCAGAAAAUAACAUAUGUUUUUGGCAUACUAAAUUCAAAAAUCCAAUCAAAAUACUCUAUACACAGCUUAAACUAAACACAGAGAGAGAGAGAGAGAGAGAGACAGAGAGAUUUAGGUUAUGUUUGGUUCCUAGAAAGAAAAAAAAUGUUGAGAAAAAUAUUUUUCCACUAUCCUAUAGAAAAUAACAAAGAAAAUCAAAUAUAAUUAAAAUUAGCUAGAACCUUUUAUAUUUUUAAAGUAUUUAAUAUUUCUAUGGAUGAGUUAAAAUGAGUUUGAAGUAUAGAACUAGCAAAUAAAAAUAGAAUUAAAAUCAAUAUAUUAUUUUUAUUUUCCUUUACUUUAAGUCUAUUUUAUUUUCCUUUUAUUUUUUCUUUCCUUCUACUUUCCCUCUCAAAUUUUCUUUACCUUGUAUUUUCCCUCAAAUUUUCCAAGGAACCAAACAUUGUCUUAAGGAAAUUGAUAUAAACCCAUUAAUAACAGGGUCUGUGUGAAGACGAUGAUUCUCAGUGAUUUCCUUGCCAUGAACUUCUAGAACAAGAAAAAAAUCGAAAACCGAGAUUCAAAAAUGACUAUCCAAACAGGAAACAACACCAAUACCACAGACCCCAUGACUUGAAAUCCACCAAAAGGGAGAUUGCAACACAUAAUUAUGAGAAAACCAAUGCAAAUAUAAAAAAACAAAAAAAUCAAUAAACAAGACUAAAUUUUCAAAUGGGUACCAGAAAUAAUCACACAUACGCAGAGACCGGAAAGGAUGGAGCAUUCAAAGGGCUGUGCAUACCUUAGGAUUCAACCCCCAUGAGAGGGGGUUAACCGCUAUUUCCAUAUCUGGGUCUCUCUCUCAGUGACUCUUAUCAGAAACCAGACUCACUAUGGUGGUAUUUCUGGGUGAAUUCCGCAGUCAUGCUCUCAUGCCUCAUCGGGUUUAUUUUACCAAAAUACCCCUAAUAUUUUUUGAACAUAUUUAACAACACCAAGGACAUUUAUGUCAAGUGUCCACAUAUCAAUAAGCUCGGAUUAAUCGAGUCAUAUAAUGGUUUGUCAUGUCUAAUUGGGUGAGGUAAAAUUGUAGUGAGUUAAAACCCUAGGCAAGAUUGUAUUUUAACUUUAUUAUUUAUACAUUUUAUUUAAAAAUGUAAAUUAUAUUAAAAAUAAUUGUAAUUAAUAAAUAAGUAUUGUAAGUGUAAAUUUAUUUUUUAUUUUAUAUGCUUAAAAAGGAAAAAAAUUAUUUGAUUCAAUUGUAUACAUAAUUCAUGGGGACAGGGGAGAUGUGAGAAGAAUUUCAAAUCAAUCUUUGAUGGAUAAUUAUUUUCAAUACUUACGCUAGACUUAGAUUAAGUUUUUUCAAUUUGAAUUAAAUUUCAAUUAAAUACAAACCAAAAUUUCAAUAAUUUAAGUCAAUUCAAUUCAAGUUAUAACCCAUUCUAACCAUAUGUUCCAAACUCGCGGAUGGUAGUAUAUAUUCCAAAUUCAUAUACUACUAUAUGUAUAUAAUUAAAUCAAAUAAUUUUUUUUCCCUUUUAAGCAUAUAAAAUUAUAAAGAAAAAUCACAUUUAUAAUACUUACUUAUUUAUUAAUUAAAAUUAUUUUUAAUAUAAUUAUUUUUAAAUAAUGUUUUAAAAUACAUGAUAGGAUAGGCAUAAGAAAUUUCCAUAUAUACCCUUCAACAAUAACCCAUCUUAUUCACAUUUCUACUCUCAAAGGUGUUAUUUUCUCCAUAAAAAAUAUCUAUAUAAAUAUACAAUUACACAUGAUUUUAUAAAUUAGAAAAGUAAUAAAAAAAUUAAUAAAAAAGGAAUUUAUUCACUAAUAAAAAUAAUAUUAUAUAUAUGAUAAUAUAUGAAUUAUAAAUAUUACAAAAAAAUUAAAUUGAGUUAUUAUUAAAUUUGGGUUAUUAAAGGAUAAAUCCAAUGCAAUCCAAAUUAAAUAACAGAAAAGAAAAAAAAAAGAAAAAAAAAAACAACCAGAAGGUCCAGAACUUGACCCAUCACGUAUAAAUAAAAGAAGGAAAAAUAAUUGUAGGCCCCACAAAAACUAGCCGUUACAGUACCGUUUUUUCCCAUGAUUCAAAACUACUUUUUCAAAAGGAAGCAAAGACUAGUGUGAAUCUCUUCCUCACGGAAAGGAGAAGAAGAGAAGACGAAGAAGAAAAGAGUGGUCCACUUCUUCUUCAUCAUCAUCCUAUUCCCUUGAUUACGUUCUUCAUUUUUGCCAAUCUCUUCAUCGCCCUCUUCGCUAUUCAUGCUCUUUCACAUUCAGGGUUUGUAGUGAUUUCUGCUCUUUUUCUUUUUCUUUUUCUUUUUUUUUUUCUUUUUUUCCGAAUUUUUUUUGGGGGAUUGAUUGCAAUUUUUUUUUGGUUGGAAGUCGUUAAAACUCGCAGAUCUAAAUGUUUUUUUUUUCUUUUUAAUUUUUCUUUCUUUCUGGUGUUUGUGUUUUUAAUGAAAUUGGGUCAGAACCCAUAUGGGUAAUCUCAUUUUUUUCUUUGCUGAAGGUUUUUGUUGUUCAAGUUCGAUUGGGAUUAGGCUAGAAUCCAUAUGGGUAAAUUUCAAUUUAUUUGUUGUUCAAGUUUGAAUUUGGGUCAGAGUAGAUAUGGGUAAAUUUCAUUUCUGGUUUCAAUAUUUUGCUGUUCUAAGUUUGUUUGAAGUUGGAUCAGAACCCAUAUGGGUUUUUUCAUUUUCUGAUCUUAUCUUUUUGAUGUUCAAGCUUGUUUCGAAUUGGGUUAGAAUCCAUAUGGGUAAAUUUCAUUUCCCCUUUUGUUUCAUAAACUUUGAUUCAGUUUUUUAUAUUCAUGGAGGAAUCCAAAUCCACCAACAUUAUUUGAUCGAUUAGGGUUUUGGGAAAACCAUUUUCUUGGUUUUUGAUCUUUUCCUUCAUAAAUUUGAUAAAAGUUCUCUUAAUUUUCUAGGGAAACAAUGAGUGAGACAAUGGUAGAAGUGAAUGCACCAGUGCAUCAAGGCGGACCCACCAACAGCUCCACUGGGGCGGUUCCUCCGCCCCCACGCCGCCCUAGGGUUAGGGAAGUAAGCUCUAGGUUCAUGUCUCCGGUGGUUUCUUCUUCAUCCUCCGGUGAUCUUCAUCUCCUCAAUGGCAAGUCUCCAAUUUCAAAGCCUACAGAAUUUCACUCCAGGCAGCAACAGCAGCAGCGCUCCACCUCUGCGCAGAGGCGGCGGCAGAACCAGGAAUUAGAACCUUUAUCUUGUGCAGAUGAGAAUAGGCCUGAGAUGGCUCGGAGCUUGGAAACCCCAUUUGUAUCACAGUGUAAAGCUCCCUUGAUGUCUUCACAGAGGAAGCAACGGGUGGUGAAGCUUUUCAAGGAGAAUGGAGGAAGAGGGGAGCAGCAGCUUCCAGAUGGCCUGCGCUCGAAAGUAUGCGAUGGUGGAAAGCCGAUAGGAAGAAGUACUAAUGGUGUUGCUUCUUUGAGGCCUGAUACACCAAUUGUCAGUAGUAGUAUGGAUAGGAUUGUUUCAUCAAGAUUCAGGCUUAUGACACCGAAUUCUCACCGGUCCAGCAAUGCCAGUGCCAUGCCUGCAGCCAGUGCUGCUACAAAGCUGUUGCAAUCAAGUGGGAUGUCAUUAUCAACUCAAACCUCUAGUGUAGGUGGUAAGGUUGACGGGGUCUCAUCCCAGCAAGACACUUGUGCAAACCCUUCUUCAUUGGUUGAUGACAAUGAUGAUAAAAUUGACCAAAAAAUUGCCCAAAACCGUGCUAAUGAACCAGCGUUGAGUGAUUCAGAAUCAUGCAGCAGUAUCAUUCAAGGGAUUAAACCUAUUAGUUCUUCAAGUCCUGUUCAAAACUGCAAGACACGGUCUCAUAAUGAAUUGCGCUCUUCCAUGCCUGAGGCUGAUAUGUUGCCAACCAUGUCCACUAGAUUGCUUGCUGAGAGAAAUUGUGGCAGGGGUAAUGUCAAUGGAGCUGAGUCUUCGAAAUUCUCUGCUUCCCCUUUCUCCCGUUCUCUUAAUUUGACGCCAUCGAGUUCUGAUCAGUCCUUGUUCCAUUCUAUCAAAACCAGUGAAAAACUAGCAUCUGUUUUGUCCAAGCCUCAUACAAACUCCAUGAAGAAUGGGAGCAUUUAUCUGCCUCCACUUCCUCCAUGCACAAAGCCCGGGACAGAUGCAAGAAAGGGAAGGAAAGUUUCCGGUCAUCAAGAAGAUGUACAUUCUCUAAAGCUGCUUCACAACCAUUAUCUGCAGUGGAGAUUUGCCAAUGCAAAAGCAGAGGCCACCAUGCAAGCUCAGAGAAGAGAAACCGAGGUUAGUCACUUUAUCUUCCACAUCUUGAAUUAUGGAUUAGCAUUCAAGAGCCUUAAUACCUAUAUUUAUUAUUAAUUUAGUCUAUUUGUUUGUAAUCUGAUGAGAUUUUUAUUGCAAAAAGGAUGAGAGGACUGACUACCUUGGAUUCUAGUCAUUAAACAAACAAGAUUACUGAAUGACUAAUAGAUGAAAAUCAUCAAGACAUGGAAUAGGGUUGUAUGAAAAGGAGUAAUAAGGGAUCAUAUAGUUUGCUGGGAUAAGGAUUCCAGCUUCAUCCUCUGCAUGCUUAAUGCACAGCAAGCACAGCAGGAUUUGAGGCACAGGAUUUUGAGGAUAGACACUCGGAGAAUGAUUUCUACCCCCCUUUUCCCUGAAGAUGGAUAAUAUAAUAUAACCUCAUAAAAUUUUGCUGCAAUCUUACUUAGCUGCCAAAUGUAACCACCAUUAAAGGUAGAUUUUGACAAGACAUUGGCAACUUCAAUUAAGAAUUACAAAAUUGUCAGUUUCAAGCCUCAGCUGCUGCAUACUUACUGCAUAACAAGGACAGGAGGAGUUGGCAAGAAGGGCCAAGUAAACAUGAUCAUUGGAGACCAACAUCAAGAAUAUACUUUACCAAUGACUAUGAUUUAUCAUGUUAUCAGAAUAUUUCCUUGAUGUUUAAGCUAAGUUUGUCAUUUGACUAGUCUAGCUUUUGAGAGAUCUUUUAAUUCGUUUGCCCUUGUAUGUAGUCAUUCUUAUAUCUGUUUUCAAUUAGUUAUCUGCCGUUUCCUUAAUUUCAAGCCCUCCAAUGAAAAGGUUCCUUUUAAGACAAGGAUGUACUUGACAUUGUUACCAUACCAUAACAUUUUCAUUUAAUUUCUGCCCACCUGUAAAUAGUUCAAACUUUCAUCAGAAUCCUGUGAAAAUGUCAUGUAACUAGAGCAGAACAUUUUACGUUGUCGUAAUUAUAAUGGAAUAACACCCGCUCUCCCUUUUCUUUGGAAUGCUUUACUAGUGAAACUCUUCAUUCUUUUUGAGAAUACAUUUGUCAUCAUUUUUCCCCCAUAUUCUUAAUCACUUUGUCAUUUCCUUGUAGAAAGCACUCUAUUCUCUUGGGGUCAAGAUAUCGGAUCUAUAUGAAUUGGUGAAAGGGAAACGCAUUGAACUUGGCUUGUUGCAAAGAACAAAUAUUUUGGUCACAAUUCUUGAAGCUCAAGUAAGGCUGCUAGAUUGAUGACUUCUUUCUUUUAAUGUUUUUGCAUUGAUGAAAUAUGGUUUGCCAUAUUUUCAGUGCUUGAGUAAUUAGUUGAAUGGCAUCAAUAGGAUGUAUCUAACCUCACAUCAUGCAUAUAAUCCUUACCUCAGAUAACAAUAUCCACAUCUCUCAAUAGAAUUAUGGGAACAAAACUCAUAUUUAGGGGUAUGAUCCCCAAACCCCAUGUUGAUUUCAAUGCCUGGUUUCUAUCAAAUAUUAAUUGAUUUUUUUUUUUUUUUUGACUGGGAAGGAUAUAGCUGCAUAUAUUUGAACAAGAAAUGUAAUUUCAAUUUUUAUUCAGCAAAUAUCCAUGGUAAACUCAUAUAAGUGAAGACUCCAUACUAUGCAUGCAAUAUAUAAUGUGAUGAUGUAUGAAUUUGGUCCAUUCAUGGGCAGCAUAAGUUAUAAAUGCUAAGGAGAUUUAUGAUAUCGCUUGAAGGGUCUAAGAAACCAUUGACCUAGGGACGAAUUUAUGACACAUGUUCAUUGUAUAUUAGAUUCAGAUGAAUGCAAGUUAAUUAGCUAGCUCUUCCAAGGAUGCUGCUUUGAUGUGAUGAUAAUUCAAGAAACAGACAUGAGUACCCUGAUUUAGAACAAACUUUUCAUUCUUCAAGGAUAGAUAGAGAAAUAGACCAAAGCCUCAAGAGUGCUUGUCAAAUCUGCAACACAAAAGUGCCCAUGAGAUCAAAAAAUAUAGCCAGGAACCAUUAUAGUUUCAUAAAAGCCAAGUAACUAAGCAGUCCACACAAUUCAGAUGGGAAGGGGGUGUCUUCUGCAUUGAGGUAGUGGGUGGGGGGACUGUGGUGGAGGUGGUUAGCCACAGUACUGAGGAUUACAAGCUGUGUUUCAUCAAUGAUGGAAACCCAUCUGAAUUGAGCAGGAAUUCCCCAAGGAGGUUUUAGCAGGAAAAUUAAUUUAGUUUUAAAGGGAUCUGCUGGUUGGAGAUUUUCUAGAGUUAAGACUCAGUAGGAAAUUACCACACUAUUGUCAUUAUAUUUUGGACAUGUCAAAAUAAAAAAUGAAAUUUUAUUUUUCAUGAAUAAUAAUUUUGAGGCCCCUAUUAGGUUUCUUCAUCUUAAUUCCUAUUUAUGUAUUAAAUCCCGUGCAAGUAAGUCCAUGUAUAAAAUCAUUUUUCCUUGUUUGCCAUUGAUCAAUCAGACAUCUAAUACAUGUAAAUGUAUACACUAGGGAAUGUUUUAGUCAGUUUCCUUCAACCCCGUGUUUGGUGUUUGUCUCUCAAUUCCCACUCAUAUGUUAGUUCUAAGCUCAAUGCACAUACACACACACACACACAAAAAAAGGUUUUUUCCAUGUUUGCUAUUGAAAGGACAAUAUCUGUUGACUUUUUUAUUUUUUAUUUUUUUUUCCCUUCACAUCCUUUUUUCAAGAUACUUAUGCCAUCUUGCAACUUCGGUAAUGAUAUUUUAGAUGCCAUUUUUGGAUGAAUGGUCGAUUUUGGAAGGGGAUUACUCUGUUUCUUUAUCAGAAGCAAUUCAAGCCUUGGUGAAUGCCUCACUUCAACUUCCAAUCAAUGGAAACAUACGGGUAUGAUAUUUCCUCCUUUAUUCAUCACAUAUAGUUGAACCAGUGUUGUUUCUACUACCCUUCGGCAUAUGUUGUGCCAUUUACAUUCACAAUUCACUGACCAUUAGGUAAUCAUUCUGCAGGCUGAUAUAAGAGAAGUCAACGAGGCACUGUACUCAGCAACGAAGAUGAUGGAAAUAAUAAUUUCCAAUGUACAAAUGUUUAUGCCAAAGGUGCGGUAGAUGGUUUCUUUCUCUUCUCUCUCUCUCUCUCACUCUCUUUGCGUGUGUUUGUAGACCGCCAUAACAUGUUAUUAUAGCAGUAAUCUGUACAAAGAAGGAUAGGCUAUGGUUUGGAACAUAGAACAAAGAGAAGGCUAAAUCCAACAGUCCAUGUACAAUGAGAAACUAGAAGAAAAUAAAACUUAGGGUGGAAGAAAUCCUCAACAAAACGCCAUGCACAUUAAGGCUUCUUGCUUGGCCAGUCCAAGUGAAGGAAAAAAUCAAACUUCUUGGAUCCGUCAAUAGUCUUGUGAAUCCAAAUAAAUUCCCAAGGCUUUCUUUUACCCUAGAAACCACAGCUGACCAAAUCCCUACCAAAAAGGCCCAUUAAAAUCGCCAAGAAUGAAAAAAAUAAAGUCUCUCUAGAAGUUAUUUACACAUCUGGCCAUAACCUGUUGAGUUGAGACCCUUUGAAGGGCUUUCAAAAGAAGCCUCCAUUUGCUAUCUUCAGUUUGAGCAUAAUCUUGUAUACCCCAAAAUCCUUACUGAAGUUUCUCAGCCAAUUAGACAUAUAGGGCCUUUUGUAUUGUAGUCCUCUUAUCAGUUUCACAGUAUACAGUCAAUAAUGGAAUAGGGUAGAAGUGUGAACAGUGGAGUACAUCAAUCGGACAUGAAAGAAAAAAGUGAUAUUCAAGUUACCUGUUUGUUGUAUGGUGAUGAUAUUGGGCACAUACGAAUGCAUCCUAGUAUCUGAUACGGACCCAGUUGACAAAGAAUAAUAAACUUAAGUGGCCUUGGUUAGGUAGUUUCAGUAUGCUAUUUUUAUUCCCCAAACAUCUAUUUAUUUGGGCCUUUUUUAUUGAUAAAAGCUUCUUCAAUGCAGGCUGAAGAAAUGGACAAUUUGGUUUCAGAACUAGCAAGGGUGACUGGUGGAGAAAGAACUCUAUCUGAAGAAUGUGGAUAUCUGCUGUCUAGAACUCAUGCAUUGCAGGUCUGCCCCACCUAGCCAUCUUCUACUAUUAAUCUAUUAAUCAUUUCCAUUUGUCAUAUUCUGCCUAGCUAUGAAAGUGCCUUAUAAAGAUUAUGCCACCCUCACACUGAUACUGAUCUUUUCAACAAGUUUUCCUCAUGUCAAGUACAGUGCAUGCUUUUACAUGCCAUGAAAGUAACUUUAAAAAAAUCAUGCCAUGCUCACACUGAUACCAAUCUUUUCAACCUUAAAAGUUGAGUCCUCAGGUCAAGUUGCAGUGCAUGUUUUUACAUCGGACUUGAUCAUUCUGCCUAGCAUGAAAGCACCUUAAAAAAAAACAUGCCCUGCUCACAUUGAAGUUGUGCCCCCAUGUCAAAUGCAGUACAUGUUUACACAGAAAUCAUUCUGCCUAGCUUUGAAAGGGCCUCAUAAAAAUCAUGCUAAGCUCACAUUCAUACUGAUCCUUUUAACCUCAGACUCAUUCACAUGUCAAUGACACUGCAUAUUUGAUAUUUCUACUCAAACUCAUCAUUCUGCCUAGCUAUGAAAUUGCCUUAUAAAAACCAUGCUAUGCUCACAUUGAUACCGAUCUUUUCAACCUUAAAGUUGUUCUCAUGUCAAUUACAGCACACAUGCUACCUAGCUAUGAAUAAAAACCAUGUCAUGUCCUCACCAAAACGGAUCUUUUCAACCUCAAAAGUUGUCCCCAUGUCAACUGCAGUCCAUGUUUUCACAUCAAACUCAUCACCAUGCAACAAUGUUUCUGCUUGUAUGCAGACUUAGUUUGAUUUUCGGUUUAUGAAUCCUCCGCUUUUCAGGUCGAAGAAUGCAGCCUAAGAAGCCAGUUGAUUCAACAACAACGCAGCAGCAGCAGCAGCUGCAGUGAAACCCAGGAACAAUGAGCAUUCUUUCAUCACUACAGAAGGUUAACAGCCAAGAAAUUGACCUAAAAAUUCGACAUUCUUUUCAUGCCUGUUUUCUUCAGCUCCAUGUAUAAAUAAGCAUUCAUUUUGAUGUGAAUGAAAACGAGAGAGUUUGACAAAAAAAAAGCACAGAAGUGAAGUGAGAGAGAGAUGCAAGGUAUAUAGGAAAAAUUCAUCUCUGUUUGAAAGAGAGAGUUGUUGCUUGUAUUUUCAAAAUUACAGAGAAAAUGGUCUCUGAUUGAGAGAGAUCAAGGAAAAAUGAAAAUGGGAUAUUCAAUUCUUUUUCUCUUCUUUCUUUGUAAAAUGAUCUUGUUGGUUUGAUACCCAUUUUUGGGAAGAUGCCUUGAUACUUGAUUUAGAAAACUCUCAGGUUGUGCCAACCCGCUACCGAUCAUCUUUUGCAGUGUAUGUAAGUACUAAGUACACAACACUCAGGAUAAAAAAUAGGUGGAUGAAACCAUUUUUCUUGUUCGAGUUCAUAAAUAAUUUUUUUUUGAAAAUAAAAAAAUUAUUUUUCAAAAACCAUUGUAGCAUUAAACAAAAUAAUAUAAAUCAACAUUUUUAUCAUAUUUGUAAAAAUGUAUUACUUAAAAACACGAUCAAUUAAAUGAUGUCAUGUAUAUAUUCUCAAGUCUUUUUAUUUUGAUUCUAUACCCGUUUUAUUUAUAUCAUCGUUUCAUGGUUCAUACUCUUAUCACACGUAUUCGGUGGUUUGAUUUUUUUGUUUUAUAAAUAUCAUUACAAUAUCUUACGGUAUUUUUGAUAAUUGUUUUUUAGAAUAGUAAUUAGUUUUCCAAAACAAAAAAAAACUAAAAAAGAGUUUGAUAACUAGAUACUAUUUCUAUUUUUUGUUUUCAAAAAUAGAAAAUAAGGUAUUUUCAAAUAAAUAUUUUUAAAUUGUUUUCUUUUUUUUAGAGUUAUUUUAAAUAAUAAUUAUACAAACAUAUAUAAUGAUUAAAAAUAAAAUUAUAGACAUAAAAAUUAUUUUUAAAACAUAUCUUAAAAUAUUAAAAAUAGGUUAAAAACAUUUUAGAUUUUAAUAUAGAUUUUUGUUCUAUAAAACAUUAGAAAACGGUUUUUAAAAACUAUUCUUAAAUGUUAUUUUUCAAAACCGUUUUUAAAAAUAAUUAUCAAAUACAGCCUUAACAUUUUCUUUUUAUACUUUAUAGAUUUACAUCAUUUUACUCACCUCCUUUAUUUGAAUUAAACGGGAGAUGAGUGAAAAUAUAAAAUGAAAAGAAGAGGAGAGAUAUCUGAUAAAAUUUUAGAUUAAUAGUGUAUUUAGUCAAAACCGGAGAAAAUAGUUUUAAUUAAAGUUGCAGCGAAUUAACAUAAUUUUUAAUUGUUAGGUUAUAAAAAAGGAAAAAAAAAGGGGAAAAAAUUUCAUUGGCUGGCCUGCAACUCUUACUGACAAAAGAAAAACUUCAAAAAUUUAAAGGAAAAAGAAAGAAAAUCUUUACGGAGGAGGGAAUGGCGUGCAUGACGAUGGCAAUUUCUUCACAGUCUCUCAAUUUCAACGUAAGAAAUCCUAACCCUAACUUCACUCAACUCUUAAUAAUUAUGCAAAAAAUAAAAAUUAAAAUGAAAAUUUACUUUCAAGUUCGGGGCUUUUUAUGCAUGGGUUCUAAUUGGGUGUGUUUGGUCGCUGGGAAAACUGAGGAAGUUAAAAAAAGAAAGAUGGAAUUUUUGUUGAGGAAGCUGAUUAAUUUUCAUUUUCCUUUCUUUUAUUUCCAUUUCCUGCAUUAGUUCGGCUUCCAAUCAAGCAGAGGGUUGGCGGUACUGACGAAUGUUGGUUAACUGCAACGCGUUUCGUGAACUUUGUUAAUACUCUUGAUAUUAUUUGAAUUUCAACGUCAAAGAGAAAAACGGAGAUUGAGGAAAUGGAAUUGAGUUUGAGAAGUUACUGCUCUUAGGAGUCUUUGAAUUUGCGCCAGUGUGGCUCUGAGAAUCAUGGAAACUGCAAUAUAUUUUCUUCCAAGCUUUAUUUUUUGUAUUCAUGGUCUUUAAUAGCUUUGAAUAUGCUCACAUUUGCAUCAAUAUAUCCAAUUUGACGAGUUUUGGUGUAUUGGAAGCUAUUGUAUUAUUCUACUGAUAAACACACAUUCAUCUUAUUGAAUAUGCUUCAAUUUGGAAAACUAAUAUAUGAACAGAACCACAAUCAGCUCAGCUUGUUUCAUUUUUAAAUUGCUCAUAGCAUUCUAUUGUCUGCCCUAAUCUUAUGAAUAUUGAGUGCUUUGAGGACUAUGGAGGCUGCUACUUCAUUUGCAGUUUUUUUCAUGGUCUAGUCCUUUUUUGCAGCGGUUUUUUGUUAGGUGUUGCCAUGAUCAUGUUAUCAGCUGUCAGAAUACCACAAGCAUCAGUUUCCCUCAUAGGCAACAGGAUCUAUGUGGGAGGUAAUCUUCCUGAUACUUGAAGAAUUGUCCUGUGUUCCUGUAAAACAAUCUGUCUUUUUUUCAUUCUAUAACUGCUUUCAAGAGAGGGAAUUAAUAUCAAUGUUAAUCUUUAUUUAGCUAAAAUGAAGCUUACGUACCUUCAUAUCUCAUGCUGGUUACUUCCUGGAACUUAUCUGAAUCUAUGAUGUGUGUACCAUUUGCUAUUAUAGAUAUAGUUUUUUUUUCUUUUUUCUUUUAUCUUUAGAUGGGGUGGGGGGUCAGGGUUAUUGUUGUGAAAGGCGUGCCUAGGCCCAAGGCACAACCACUCCGUAGUUAUAGCACUCCACUUGCCAAGGCAUGUGCCUUGUUGGACAUGCACAUUUCAUCUACUUUCUUUGUCCUUUCUUAACACUUCUAUUAUUAAACUUUCUAAGCGUAUGUUGAAAUUUUAUAUAAGUUCAAUUUUUUUUUUUGUUGAAUACUUCUUUUAAAUGUUUAGAACCUUAAAUUUUUUUGUUUCUUGGUUUGGAUUUUGGAUCACAUUUUAUGAAAUUGAUAUGCAUCCAAUAUUGUGUUUCACUUUGCUCAAGCACAUGCCUUUUGUUGUUUUGCACCUAAGCCUUAGGGGACUUUUGUGCUUUUGGUGCGCCUUGAGCCUUUUGAAACUAUGGUUAGGAGGUGGUUCACAUUUUGGAAGAUGUUUUUCAUAACAUGUACUCUAGAAUAUUAAUGAUGCAUUGGUUUUGGAUCCUUGCUACUUCCAUACUUACCAUGCCUUGUGUAUAUAUAGUUUAUUAUUGUUAGAGUGCAUGAUAUACAGUGUGGGCCUAAAUCCUACUAGCUUAAGGUUUUAGGAAGAUUGGUGGUUCAACAUGGUAUCAAAGUCUUGUUUGGUGGGAGUUCAUGUGUUCAAACCUCACUAUCGUAUAUUGAUAUCCCCCAUUUAUUAAGAAAGCCCAAAAGAGGGCGAUUCUGGUUAUUUGCUUAUGCGCCUAUAUGUCUCUCCACAUAGGUAUGGGGCUGCACAUGAAGGAGGGGGUUAGAGUGCAUGAUAUACAUUGUGGGUCCAAAUCCUACUAGCUUAAACAUUUAGGAAAAUUAGUAGUUCAACAGUCAUAAUACUUAAAGUUAUUUGAUGGUAUGGAGUUAAUCGGAAAAACAAUAACAGACUGAGAAAUGAAUUUAACAGAAACAAUGUACUUUAUCCAAACUGAACUCCUUAAGGAGCCAAGUGGUAGCCUGGUAAACAUGUGAUUUGCUCUCUAUUUGGAGUUGUUUAUCCACACUACCAGAACUGACGACUCUCACAAUAUAAUGAAACAUUCUUAUACCUUCCUUCCAAUUUUUAAAAUCGGAGAUCUAUUCUUUUGAAAUUCUAGCCAAGUGUAUGUAUCUUUGAUUGAUUUAGUGUGUGGCUCAUUUUCAAUCUCUCUCCUGCUUUAUGCAUGAUUUGGUUAUCUCUUUGAAUCUUUUGCCUGCCAGUGCAAUUAUGCUUCACUCAUAAAAAGAACCCUUGAGCAUUUGAAAGUUGAAACUCUCUAUUCAUGGCAACUUGAUGUACUUCACUUCCUUUUUUUUUUUUUUUUUUGUGGAUCUCGUGCCUUAUAAAUUAGAUUUGGAUUUUGCGGUUUUCAGGCUAUUGUAUCCCUGUAACCUCCACCAGGGAAGUCUCAGAUUUUUGUCUAAGCCGAUAUCUGCGGUUGGUUCAGGUGAACUUAACUUCCAGUUAUGACGAUGAAUUUGUGCAGUUUAUUCUCAUCCUCCUUACACCAUUUAUAAUGACAGUAUCCACAUGAUUUGCAUUUUUUUUUUUGUGUCGUAGGUUCAAAGGCAUCAAUUAUUGAUCCAAAGGACAAUGACAUAACGAUAAAAAAUGCCAAGAUAGUUGUAGAAUCUCAAGAAGAUGAUGAGAUACAAGUGAGCCAUCCAACUUGACUUGCAUUUUCAUGUUUUAGCUAUUGUGUCAAAUUAUAUGAUGCCCUAUUUCUGAUUAGCCUUAUUUUCUUUUUCAUUUCAUGCAAUUUUGGUGAUUACAACUUCAUUUACCAUAUUCAGCACUAUAUCAUUCAAUAUGUGCAAAGUUCUAAUCUUUUCUUCCCAUCAUUUAGCUCUUCUUGCCUAAUUUACCUAAUGGCAACUUUUUUUUUGUUUUUUGUUUUUUUUUUGUUUUUUGUUUUUCUUCUUUAAGAAGUUUUAUUCCAUAUUAUCACUUUUGCAUUUUGGUAGUAUUAUAACUUUAUAAAUUAAAUUAAACUAAAACUUCAUCAUUAAAUUUUUGCUGAAGCCAUUUCUAACAGACUGGGGAUCUAACUGCUGGGAUUCACUUGACUGUGAAGAGUACCAGAGAAUCAAGCUGGGUUGAGCUUGGCUUAUAUGUAUGAUGGACCUUAGAAUUCAACCUUGGUGUAGCUGGAAUUAGUUUGUGUAUGAUUUCUCAGGCUCACACCCAAAUACUCAAAGAUUUCAGCUCAUUUUCCAUUACUAUUAGUGUAAUCUACCAUAAAAGUUGACUUAUAAUACAUUUUGAUGACAUAUUCCAAAAAGGAUCAGCAUUCAAAAUUAGUUAUUGUGGAGAAUUUAUCUAGUUCAUCAACUUAUAAUUUAACCCAAAACUUGAACUCGUCUAAUCCUACUUGAUUCUGGUCUGGCUUGGUUAAAUGUGCCUGAUACUAUGCCUAGGAUCAGCUUGUGCUGCUACCUGUACAUAGUUUAAAAGGUUUGUUCACUGGAAAACAAUUUGGAAAGGUUACCUUUCAUUCUUGGGCCAGUAUUCUCAUUGGUGGUGCCUCUCAGACUAAGUUUUGGUUUGAUACUUGGCUUCAGAUUUUCUAUUGAAAGUCUCUUCUCCAACUCCGUUCAGUAUUAAAUAUUGUAGAAAUGCCUGCGGGGCUGAUAUCUGGGAUGGGAUCAUUCAUCCCUUUGACGGUGGACAAACCUCUUGGAUCUGGAAAUGGGAUUGAUGCAAGCUUUUCUUCACAGAAAUAGUAUAUGGGAAAUGGGAAAUGGUGCAGUUCAUUUGGAGAGAAUUUAAUAGAAGAUGCUUUGAGGGUGUAGAGUGUUUGGGGUUGAUGGCGUAAACAUGUUUUCUUAAUACUUUUGACCUUUUGCUCUACUCUUGUUCUGCAUUGUUCCUUGGCUGAUUGGUUUUAGUUUUUGUUGCCUUUGGCGCGCCUUACCUACUUUUUAUGCACAUGGUUGUGCUCCUUUCUGUUAGGUGCUUUUUGAUACAAUUUUGUUUUGCCUCUCUAGAAAUAGUAAGUAUUGAGACUCUUGAAGAAGUGGCUGAAGUAGAUCUUUUGUAUCUGCUGAAGGGAUGUGCAUGUUGUAGCAAUACAUUUGCCAUUUCUUAACCUUUUUAGAUGAAACAAGAUGAUGUCUCUACAUAAAAUUAACUUUGUCACAUCUGUAUAGCAUUGCACCUCAAGGAAUUGUUAGUUGAUUAACUACCAGUUCAGUUUAUGAAUGCAGCUUUCUAUUUGAUUUAUCCUGCCAUGCUUUUGGGUUUUUUUAUUGGUUAAUUCUCAUGAUUUUCCCUUUUUUCUUUUUAUCAGCUAAGAGUGGACGUGGCAGGGGUGGACACUCAGAGGGUGUUUGAUCAUGUUUUGACAAAUUUAGCUCGUUCUGCACCACCAAUUCCAGGUUUUCGCAGACAAAAAGGAGGUAAUUCACUCUAUGUUUUGAUCAGAUUAUGGCCCUUCCUCUGUGCCUACAUUUUGGUCAGUUUCUCAUAGCAUUUUACCAUUUUUUUUUUGUUUCUUUUUGUGAUUUUCCAUCUUCAAAUAAACUGAAACUACCUUUGUUACAUGGAGUUUGGCUAGCAUGUUCUGCAGACUUUUCUGAUAUUUUUAAGGGAAAUAGGAAAGAAAAUUUUCAACAUUUUCCUCCUCCAUUUCCUUAGGACUUUUUUUCCUUACCUCUGUUUUUUGCUAUAUCCAAACAUAAAGAAAAUAACAUUUUUAUCAUUUUUCCCUUUCUUUAAUACUUUCUGAGGACCAACUAUAACCUAAACAAUUUAUGUUCUUGUAAGUGAUAUGCGAAAAAAACAUCAUGUAUGGGACUUUAAAUUUUAUGUAUGCUAGGGAUCAUCAGAGCAGAUUGUGUUUUUAGGCUAACUUGAUUGAUUCAACAACUGCGAUUGUAUUUCAUCCGAGGAUGUUACUAUUCUGAUGCUAUCUCACCAGUCUCCUGUUUAUAAAAGUCUGUAUGCAUAGCUUAGUUUUAGCAUGGAGCUUGUGAAUCCGAGAAUUCUAACAUUCAUUGCGUUUUGCAUGUGCAUGGGGAUUGAUCCAGGAAAAACAUCAAAUGUAAGUGGAUUUUCAUUUUCUCAUGUUUUCAUUAGGUUCAUAUUGGUUGAUACAUGCCUCAUCUCUCAGUAUUCCUGGUUGCAUAUUAACUAUGACCUAGGGUUUAUAUGACAUCACUUUCAAAAAUAAUUUCAGUUGUUUUUGGUAAUAAAAUUUUGUUUGGGAACUCAAAUACGAGAAGCAGUUUUCUCAGCUUAUUCUCAUUUUUUUGUACAAUGUAAAAGUUCCUAGAACAUCCUUUCAUAUUUUUAAUUAUUUCUUAAAAUAUUCUGCUACAAAAAGACUUGAAACAUAUCUUAAAUUUAUUCUCAAAAGCAACCAGAUUGAGAAUUUUUUUUUUUUUAAAAAAAAAAAACAUUUUUAAAUAAAUAAUCUGGCAAACUUUUUUUUUUUUUUUUUUAAGUUAGUUCAACAACAGAUCUUUUCACUACCAGUUUCACUUAAACAGUCCAACUAUCGUUCUCUCAUUUCACCAAAGAUUUUGUUUGUUUUUUGGUUUUCCACAGGUCCCAAAGAGUUUUCUUCUACAAAUCCUGGGGGAAGAGCGAGUCACCAAGUUUGUCAUACAAGAAAUAAUUACGGCCACUGUCUCUGAUUAUGUAAUGAAGGUAUGCUAUUGUAAUUGUGAUCACUUCUCUUUAUAAACAUCACAUUCUUGGAAAAGUUUGCACAAUCCUUAGGGUUUCUUCACUGAGAAUUGUUAAACACAUUCAGCUAGAAUAAAUUAUAGGUAUGAAAUGACAAACUACCAUUUUCUUCAACCUUUCAACCCCACUCAUCCAAACCCUACCCUAUAAUUUUAAGUGAUAACCAUUUUACAUUAUAAUUUACCCACCCAAACUCUAACCUUAUAAUUUAAACAAUAAUCAGUAGCAUUACCAAAAUUAUUAGUUUUUGAUUUUUUUUUUUUCAUUUCUUUUUGUUUGUUCUGUCAUUAUGUAUGAGAUCUGGAAAUGUAGAUUUUGAUUGAACACUUUUGUUGCCUCUGUAAUUCAAAUUGGAGUUUUUUUUUUGGUUGAAUUUCACACUUGUGAACGACAAAUAUAGAAAAAUAGUUGCAAAGUGAAAGAGUUUCAAAUUAAUUGAUGUUCAAAAUUAAUCCCAUUCUACAUGACCUUAGGGUUUUGAUGUUUAUAGAAUAACAUAUGAGGUUAUCAUUGACAAUUUUGAUACAGCUUAUGGCAAUAGUGUUUGAUGUUGCAAGAAUAUAUUUUCAAUGAAAAUGGGGUUAGGGUUUGGAUGGGUGGGGGUUGAAAGGUUGAAGAAGAGAGUAGUUUUGAUAUUUUACACUUAAAGGAAAGUUUAAGUGGAUGUGUUUAACAAUUUUCUUCAUUCACAACCAGGAAAAUCUGAAUGUGAAGGAUAAGAAGAUUACAACAACACCAGCAGCUGAAGAACUCAAGUCGUUGUUUACUCCAGGAAAUGAAUUCAGAUUCAAUGCGACAUUGGAGCUUGAGAAAUCAGAAAGUGAAGCAACAAGUUCAAGCUCCUCUGAGAUGGAAUGAUCUUCACCUUGCCUGAAACCAUUGUUCCUUCAUUUUUUUUAUUGAUCUCGGGUUUGAUAUCAGGUCAUCUUCAAAGGUAAUUGAUGCAACAUCAAUACUUUGACAUAGAAAUCUGUAUGCAUAUCAUUCUGAAGAACUCAAGUUCUGUUUGGUUACAUUCAGGACAAGAAAAAAUGUUCAAUUUUCUCCUAAUGUGAAUUUAACAUAAAUUCUUCUGGAUUUGAUUCGGUACAAUAAAAAUAUUUACUUCCGUAAUCAGCAAAUAUUUCAAAGUUGGAUACGGACAGGAAAUUGCUGUAGGGCGAUUGUUAGGCUCAUUUCCAGCUAGCGAGAGUGAAAACUGUGCAGAAAACACCUGAGUCACUGUUUUUCAAGCUUCUUCCACAAAUAAAAAGCUCUUCGGAUAAUCGGAUCUGCAGAAAACCCCUCUGCAUAAGCGCUGAUGGCAUUCAAGAGGCUCGUGAAUUUUUCCCCAUUGUCCUGUAUCAAUACCAAAAAAUGCAAUCUUGUCAGGUAUGUGAGUCCGAGAGCUGCAGGAACUCGGCCUUUGCUGCCUAAGUUAAACUAUCGCUGACCUGAAUGGUUACUCGUAUGAAGUGAGUCAACAAUGUUUAUCAGGCUGAUAAAUACUUAAGAAGUGGAAGGGAGAGCCUCUAAACCUUCGUCUAAAAAUCUUAGAGAUCAGGAAGACCUAAACCCCGACUAUCUGAUGCAAGUGCAAUGAACACAUGGUAUGCAGAGUUAUAAACUUUGGAUCUGUUUUUGGCAAGUCUUCAAAAACACUUCUCAAAGAUCAGUUUUCAAUUAUUUUAAGAACAAGUUUUUGUUUGAAAAUUUAAACAAGAAAAAAAAAAAUUUCAUCCAUUCUCUGUGAAGGCACCGUACACUUUUGUGCCAUGCAAAACUUCCCAGCAUAUUAUUAGUGUUCCCAAUUGUUUAUCAGAACACUCAAUAGCUAAAAAUUUGAAAACACCUCAAUUUGUUUUUAAAAAUUACCUUAUUUUCAAACAAGGAAGUUGGAAAGCUGUUUUCUAUUUUAAAGAACAAAAAAAAUGGUUUGUAAGAACAGUUCCAAACAGGCCCUUUAGUUCUAUAUCAGGUACUUGGGUGAUUAACUUCUUGGGCAUGCAUGGGGUGCCUGCUUGUGGGUGAGUCCUAAUUCAGGUAGUAGAGCUUCAACUGAAUCAAAUAGUUUUCAAGAUAAUAAUUUGACCACUCGGUCCCAGAAACUUCAUCAGUAACAGCUUGAAUUGGAGUAACUAACUACAAGUUCAGGAGGGAAGCUCUUGAGGGUCAGGUUGUUUACGAACCUCUGGUUUUGUAAAUAUGAGAUCUUCAGUGGUGAAUGGAACCAUGUAGAAUGGAAGAUCACACCGAAGCAAUGCCUGCCAUGACAUAAAGCCUUAAUAUAUUAAAAGACAAAUCCAUUGAAAAGCAUAUUAUGUGUUACAUGAAUGAAAAUGACUGAAACAAGAGUUAUUCGUUCCACUUUGGAAAAGAAAGUUGGAAAUCUGCAACUUUCAUUGCAUAAAGAAGGAAAAAGAAGAAAUAUAUUUGUGAGUUCUGUACUGAACAUUGCAGCCAUUUGCUAGAAGAUGCAUUCUGUUGUCUCAGAACCCAAAAUAUAUACAAUAAUAACUGCCAAGGGCAAGUAGGUCAGCUAAAUACCAGUCUGUACAGCAGACAGACAUUUAAGGGAAAAAAUUCUCUUUUCCUCUUGUAGGGAAAUUCUAAAUCAUGACUUGAGAAAGACCUAGUGAAAACUAUCAAUAUGUACUGCAUUCAACCCUAGAUGAAGGGGGGUUAGAUGCAGAAGGGAAGUAAACUGGCUGUGCAGAAAGAGAGAAUGAUGGAUAUAGUUUGGAAUGUUCAGUCAUCAACUUUGCCAUGCAUGAGUUCUUAUGAGUCAUACAGCCAAAAUGGAGAGAGAGAGAGAGAGAGAGAGAGGAGCAUAUGGUGAGUUGCAAAUAUAGAAUAAUUAAAGAGAAAAUACUUCAAGAAUACCCCAAGGUCAUCCAAGGAGUAUCCCCUUUUGAAAUUUUGUUUGGAAACACCUAGCUAUGAAGACAAGUGAUAGAAAAUACUUCCUGGAUUCUAUUCGAACUAGUCAAUGAGUGCAUCAAAAAGUUGGAAAAGAAGAGGGGAAAAAUUACACGGAGAAGCUGUUGAGGUCUAGGAGAGCAGGCGAAAGUGUAAUAUUCGCUGGGCAAACAGAGCAAUAAUAUUGACUAAAACCUUAAAACCAUGCACUUGGAUGGAAGCUAUUUGAGAUAAAGGUGGAAGGAUGGAGUUCGGUAACCAAAUGUGGAACUUCAUAAACAAGCUAAGAAAUCAUGUCCAUGAUCAAAGUUACCACUAUUCAAGAAAAAUGAAGUUACAAAACCAAAAUACCAAAGUGGACAUGAUUACCAGGUUCUUGCUUAGAACAGCCUGAUCAGCACCUGAUAUCAAGGCCUGCAAGUAAAAAUUCAGAUUUGGAAAGCAUAUGACUAAUUACAGUAUAUUAUCUUCAAACAUCACUUGGCCAUGAGCACCAUACAGUUCAUGUUAAAAAGGUAAUGCAUAUGAACAAGAAAAAAAUAAUGCAACCUAGUAUUUCCUCUCAACAAACAGAAAAAUAAAGGAGACAGCAAAACAGAUUCUUAUAUUUCUAUCCUAGAGUCUCUGUUUACUAGGACACAAGUAGCUAAAUGACUAUUUAGUAGUUUUUUAACUUUGAUUAAUAAGUUAAGUGCACUAUUGUAUUUCAAAGGUUUGUGAUAAAUUCUUUAUACAACAUAGAACGAAUCAGAACUGAGUCAACUAAAAUAGCAAGACAAGUUUAUCACUGUUAGAACCAGUAUCUGUGGUGAUAAUAUAGAAUUAGUUUGAAAUCUACAACAAUAUGUUGCAACCUAGUACUCUAGUACGCUUAUAUGAUAGGUGAAAUCCUAGUCCAUGUGAACAAAUUUUAUUUGGGGCUUAAUCCAUCAACAAACAGCCUACAUGUAUAUACUUCUAGUGUUUUAUUGUUCCUAUAAUCUCAAGCUGAUAUAAAAUUCAAUAUGCAGUCAUUGGCUGUUUAUCGAGGAAUCAAAUAAGAAAUGCUAUGUAAAUCAUCGAUUAUGGCCUCAUUGCAAUAUGUUUUAUUUAUAAUGGCUGAGCAUGACUCUUAAUAUGUUAUCAGUUGUUAAAGUGUACACAUGUUCUGGAUGGGACUAAAAGUGGAUCCAUAUUAAUCUAGGUCGAGAUCCGGAUCGGUCUACGACCUUAGUUCUAGUGUCAUAUAUGCUUAUAUAAAUAUAUGCACAUACAUGUAUAAGGACCUAAGGAUGGGAUAUGUGGAUCUGAGAAAAAUAUGAUCCAGUGAACUCCAUCUCAUGCCCCUCAUUCAGACCAGCUUAACAACUGAAAGGGAAAAUGGAGCUACACCCUGUUCAUUAUAAUGGAUUAGCGCUACCUUUCUGAUACGUUCCUCUUGAACUUGAUCAACACAUUGCAACAAAUUCUCCAAUGUACCUAUUCAUACAGGUGAGGACCAUCAAUAAGUUGGCAUAUUAAGCAAUACAGUUUAAGAAGAGAAACCACAAGAAGACAACAAUAAGUACAAUUUGUGAAAAAAGGCAAAAAAAAAAAAACAAGAAAAAAGAAAAAAGAAAAAAGAGGCUAUUACACCAAAUCAAAUGUUGGAUUUUAUGGUAAAUUAUACAUUCCAGUCAUUUGAGUGGCUCUAUAUAUAUAUAUAUGUUCAUACUUUAUAGUCAUCUAGCAGGGACUAGCACUAUAAGUCCAUAUGAUGCUUGAGAAGUUGUAUGAAGAGAAAGGAAAAGUUGGAAAAACCACUAUUGAUGUACCAAAUUUAGUGAUCAAUUGCACAGCAUGAACAUUUCCAAUUCCUUCAACACCUGCAUUUAAGAAAAAAUACCAAUGUAUCAUCAACCAAAUUGUAAAUGAGUUGACUUAUCAUUGAGUAGCAAAAUAUUAUGUUCAGACUAACAAGAACAAAUCUCAGGGAUUGAUUAAAGCGGAUAAAGAAACAGAUUAAGGAAGAAAAAGGCUCCAACAAUGUCACAGGCUUGAACUUUGAAGGAGUGGUAUAAAGGAAAUAUAAACAGUAACAGUACACUCACAGCAAACUGAGAGCUUAUUUAAGUUAGCCAAUUUAAAUUCUAUCUUUAGAUGGCACCUUUGUGUUUCCUGUGAAGAUAGUUUGGGUUUGUGAGGACUUCUUAGGAGGUUGCGUUCUUUGCUUGGAAGGUGGUCUGGAAGAAGAUUUUGAUGACUGAUCAGUUGAAAAGGAGAGACAGGUUCUUGGUUAAUUACUGCAGUUUAUGCAAAGUGCAAGGAGGAAACCGCUAACUAUGUUCUCAUCCAUUAUGGGAGGCCCACAAUUUGUGGUAUCUAGUGUCUUCUUUGUUUGAGUUUUCUUGGGUGGUGCUGUUGACAGUAAAGGACUUGUUUUUGUUAGUAUGCUAGUUCUGUGGGGAGAGGCACUCAAAAGUUUGGAGGAUGGUGCCUUUAUGGUUUUUUUGUGCAUUUGGGAGGAGCACAAUCCAAGGGUUUUUGAGGAUCUAAAAAGCUUAGCUCAGCUUCUAAAGAGGGAUAUUUGAGGAUCUAAAAUUUUCAGAUCAGGCUCUAAAAGAUUCUUUGCGCAAAGUUUUGCUUCAUUGGUCUAGGAAUUUAUUUGUGGGUGGCUAUCUACCCUUUUUGGAGUCUAUUGAUUGUUUGGGAGGGCUAUGCCUUAUUUUUUUUUUUUUUGAUAAGUAAGCACAAUUUGUAUUAAAGGGCAAACCGCCAAAGGCAUACAGGGAGGGCUAUGCCUUAUUGCUGUUUGUUUCUUUCCUUCCUGCCUUUUGGUGCUGUCUUAUACUUCCUAUAUACCAGGGUUGCAACCCAGAUGCCUCUAAUGAUGAAGAAGACUAGUUCUAUAUAUAUAUAUAUAGAACUCCUCUACACUAGGAAAGAAUUACCAUUCCCUAGCAGUACAAUUCUUAAAAUUCGGGGAUCAGAUUGCUCAGAUUUACAGUAAAGGAUAAAAAAGACCACAAUAUCAGAAACUAGCCUAAAUUAAACACAAAAUAUACAACUCAUUUCUAACUUUGUAUUAUGUUUACUUUCCAACAGCCUCUUGAUCCUUUUUGUGGAAAGUACUUUUCAAUAGGUAUAUUUUCUAUUGGAUCUUUAACCAUUAUAAGUACAAAUGAACCUGGAAUAUUAUCGCUUUUGUCACCAACAAGUGAGAUUACAUCUACAAACUGAGAAGGCUCCAGAUUUCCAUAUCUCUUAGCAAAAUCCUCCAUUCCAAAUGAGGUCAUCCUGGGCAAGCAAGAACAUAAGUAUCAAAACUCCAAUUCUGUUACAGCAGAACAAGUAAAAUUAAGAAAAUGAAAAAUGCAACAAAGAACAUGAUACCAAGACAAAAGUUUAACUGUCAAAUUUCAACUUCAAGUUCUCCUUGGUCGGUUUUAAAUAUUAUCAAUUUUUACUUUAUAAACAAUGGUCUGAGGGUUUCUUAUCAACAAGCACUUGAUGUUCACUUUAAGCAAGGAAUUUAUACAACAAUAAGAAUUAUUAAAAUCCCCAACAAAAGUGUGUCCAAGCGCAUAAAGGUCUCGCCAUUAAUCAGUGUCUUCCACUUUUCAUCACCCAAUUGGUUAGAAUUAAGGAUCAUGUCCAAAAUGUUAAGAAAACAAUGACUGUCUGAAGAUGACAGUGUCCUUAAAAGUUUCCACAGAAUUUUGCUACCAGUCAAAACUGAUCACCCAAAUUACUUAAAUCAUCAAUGACCACCCAAAUUACUUGAAUCUCACUAGAUUUUUGGGCUGUUCAUUCUCUAAUUUCUCUUAAAAUCCAUGAUUCAAAAAUCAGGAAAUCAAUAAACUGGCAAAGAAAAAAGGCAUUUUUCUGGUUGACUUCGUCAGGGUUUUAUGCUCCCUUGAAUUUUGGUAGUCCAUCCUUUCAUCUUUUGCCUUUGGGUGGGACACAUAGGUUGGCUUCUAUAGGGACUUGUUUUCUCUCUAGUUUUCUAGCGUGAAUGUGUUUUUUUCUUCACCCAAAGACACAUGAUCCUUCUUGGAAAUCUCUCUAUGCUUAGUACAGUUACCAGCAUAAUUUCUAAUAAACAAGUUAAUUAAUUUCCUACUACUAUGAAUAACAAUAUGUUAUUAUUCAUUUGAACAGUUUUAAAUUGAAAAUAGUUUUCUUUAUGUGAUUUCAAGAUUGGUGUGUUGACCCAAACUCUAAGUGGGUCUAACCAUGAUUCCAAUUUCCCAACCCAAGUGGGUUGGAUACAGUCUGAGACUGCUUGACCUGAUUCAGAGAUGCUUGCCAGCUUCAGAAGGAAUAGAGAACCAAUUUCUGAAAACAAAAAUCUUUUCCAGUAUAAAUAACCUGUUUUACAGCUCAAACAAGAAAAUAACAUCAAUUAAUUGGCCUUAUUGAGGUAAUCAAACCAUAUAUGUUUAAAAUUGGCCCCUUGUAUGUGGCUGGCUGGUUUGGGUUUUCCAAAACAGUCCCUGUAAUUAUAACCGAGGUACAGAUAAUAAAACAAAGUAAAACUGCAAGAUUAAGGUGAUACUAACUCAAAUCCACGAGGAGCAAUUCGUAGAAGACGUAGUGAAGGAGAUAGAAUCUGAAAAAAAUCUUUAUCUGGGGAGACAACUCUUACCUGUUAUCAUGGCAAUAAAAUCUGGAAUCAGUAUUCAAACAAAAAAUACAUAAAUUAGUCCAUGUCUUAAUCCAUUGUGAUAAUACCAGAAAGUAGUGGAAUUUCUUAUUAGCAUUUUUUGGGACAUAGUGAGUUUUCCCAUUUUUUCUGUGGAGCAUCUCCUUUCAGGGAGGAAGUUUGGGGGUUUGGACAAGAGACAAAAGAAGGUUUGAUGCAUGGCUCCUUUAUGCUUGCAUGGAGGGAAUGUAACAUAAGAAUUUUUUAAUGAGGAAGAGCUGCCUGAUCAGAGAGUGAAGGAGAUCUCCAUUCCACUUGAAGCGAUUUCAUGCGUUGUUGGGAAGGGAAAAUUGUAUAUUGUUGGAAUAUUUAGAUAGCCUUGACUGUGGAUAUGCCAUUCUUUUGGCAGCUGUCCUGCAUAGAAGUUUUUUAGUUUUCUCUCCUAUUCUUGGUGCCUAUUGUAUGCUACCCGUGUACACAGGGUGUGCCCCUCUUUUGCAAGGCACUUCUUAAUUUUGGUUUCCCUAUUUAAAAAAAAAAAAAAAAAAGGAAAAACAUAAAUUGCUCUAAUCAAGUACUUUUCUCUUCAAGUGAGAAAAAUUGUAAAGCCUAUAUUCCAGAAGGCCACCCCACUAAAAAUAUAGGAAAUCUCUUUCCUUCAUUUACGGGUCCAAGAAAGUGCAUAGUGGGAAAAUUCUGGUCAGAUUUCCUGCAUAUUCUUCCAUUUUUUUGCCAAUUAUUGCUUGAAAAACCUACCUUGUAUCCAGCAUCAACACUCCUUACAGACAAAGUUCCAAUUACAUCAUCUGCUUCAACACCCGGUACCUGCUUUUGAGUAAACUUGUUAAUAGUUAGCACUUACUGUCAAGGUUGAUUUAUCAUAUAAACUGAGCUAUACAGCUAAUUACCUCAAUCACUUUUAUAGACAUAGCCUUGAUGGAAGCUUUCAAGUAUUGAAGUCCCUGGACAAUUGUAUCAGGUGUAGGUGGACGGUUGC